rnacentral:lncRNA from 1 species
AAGAAUUGGAGAUGAUGUGUUAUGGAUCAGCUAGUUUAGUAUUUGGGAAGAGAGCACUCCUUGGGCAGGUUGUUUUGGAACCUUGCAUUGUCCUGGCAAUAGACAUAUAUCAUGUGAUGUCUCCCGACCCAUUUGAACCACCUCCUCCUUGUUCCACCAGUUUGUGGGGCUCUCCGCCCUGCAAAACCUCGGAUUGCCCUUCCAGACACAAGCGUCGAUCUUGUAGUCCCCGAACGUGGCCACGAAGGGCCCUUCGACCAAUUGACCAUGUCACGCUCACCCCGUGUCCCCCAGAUGUCGCCAGACUGUCAUGGUCUGCCUUUGAUACAUGAUGUCAGCUUCCACAUCCUCGAUAUCGAGGAUCACCACCUCCAUUUGUACCAGUAGACUGAAUCGAGUCGGGAGCUGACUCAUACUCACUAGCCUGAAAAAGGUGGAACAACAAUAAAUGAAUUUAAGAACUCAAUAAGUAAAUCACCUAAACCUCGUAUAGACAAAUGCCUUAUUUCGGAAAUCUACGAACUUGAUGCCCACUUGUAGAUGUCAAAUUAAUAACAAAACCUUUGCUUUGCCUUAACUAUAAGCAUGAGGGAAACUCUUCCUCUACCUAAACAUUCGUCCUAUCAAGAAUCUAUAAGAUAUCUCAUGCCCAUAAAAAUUCUAAAUAUGCCGAUUGAUAACUUCAAUAACAUACACGUGUUUCUUGGGUAUAAUGCAAUCAAUUGCCAAUAAUAUUCCCACGUGCCAAAUGUUAGUUUCUAAAAUAUUACCAUGGCCUUUUGAGACUCAAAUAAUGACUUCCAAAACAUCCUCGUGUUCUCACAUCACAACUAACGCCAAUUAUAACAUGCACGUACCUUUCAAGUCACUAAAAAUGACAAUUAAAUUUUGCACGUGUCUCACACACAACAAAUAAUGCCAUAUCAAAUAUGCACAGGACAUAUAACAACUUUCAAAGUAUUCACAUAACACUCAAAUGCCCCGCCCACAUUUAGCGCCUUGAGAAUCAUAUAAUACCCCAUAAUAUUAUGCUAUCUUAGGUCCAAUUAUUAUACAUACAUAGCCAAAGAACCUAUGGCUCUUCCGAAAUUAUCCAAGGCAUCAUCCUGCCCCAUCGAGCAUGGCAUCCAAACUCCAUCGGACAUCGUUAUGAUAAAACACUCCCAUGAAUGGUAUUCGAACUCCCUUGGGCAUCCGAAAUCCAUCAGGUAUUGCCCCGACUUCCACCAGUGAUGGGUUUUUCAUGUGACCACAUGGAUUAAGCACACAACCGAUUAUUAUCUUCCUCUUUAGCCCAAUGUAUGAAUGCCUCAAUGACGUACCAAGUGAAGUGUGUCUCAUGGCCUAUCGAAACUACUUCAAUAAAAUAUGCUUAGCACGAAACGAGAAUUGACCUAGGUCCUAUUUAGAUAAACAACGAUACACCUCAAUACCGCUAAUCUAAGAGAGAGACUAGACCUGACGUGCUUCCACACAUGUUCAAGGACCAUCGCAAGUCUCACCUCAAAGACUCGAGGUGACUUCAUGCAUCGACCAUGUAUAUGAGGACUACCUCAAAUGAACAUAAAACUUUGCCCUCGAUAUUGCUCAACAAUACAUAAAACAAGAACAUCCAAUAAUAACAAGGUUUUCAAAUAACUCAACAUAGGUUAUGACAUAACCAGCUUACACAAUGGAACAACGGCUUUUUGAAACCAAACCCGAACAUGAACAUAAACAGAUCGUUUCCAAUAGCAAUAACAAACCGAGCAACCUUAACAAUAACUUAAGCUUUCUUUAUUUACCUUAAACCUAAUAAACCAAUCAAACUCAUGAGCAAACCAUGUAAAAUUAAUACAUGGUUCUAACCUCUCUAUGAUAGCUUGAUCCUAACUCCUAAUACAAGCAAAACCAACCUAAAUUCAAGCCACGUAACAUUACGGCCUAGCCGGCGUUUACGAAAUUUACUUACAAACACUUGAGACACAGACGGAACCGAACGACAGACGAUUUGAGCUCAUGGCGGCAAUGAGGGUGCGACAUGAGAUGAUAGGCAGCUCAAGACAACGAGUGGUAGUGCAAUGGCAUAAGACGACAGUGGCGGCAGUGCAGCGACAUAAAGGAGAGAAAGAGGGAGAGAGAGAGAGAGAGAGAGAGAAGAGAGGGUCAACCAAAGGGGAGAAAGGGAGAGAAAUGAGAGCAAACGAAGAACUUGGGUAAGAAGGAGAUGGAAGAGAGAAAAUUUUAAUCUAAGCAUUAAUGGCAAGCUCAAUUAUUGUCCUAAGCCACUAAUGACUUCUUGGCUUGAAGAGCAAGAAUGGUUCUCCACCACACAAAUGCCCAAGCUUGCAUUUCAAGCUUCAAUGCUCUGGUUGCAAGAGAACUAGUCUAGUUAUCCUAACUAGAUUAUUCCUUCUCCUAUUUCCUUCUUAAUGGGCACCUAUCCUCUUUGCAUAGUGUGACAUCCUAGUUUUCAAGUUCUGUCUUGGAUUGAAUAAGUUGGGCUUUUCAUCGACACGCCUAUAGUUCUUUGCUCGUAGUUGGCUACUCACGAGUUAACUAACCUAUCAAGUGAAGCCGUUAAGGGAUUUUAAUGCAAUAAACUUGAUAAUUCGACCAGGAAUCGGCUGUUCGACCGUGCUAGUCUACAAGGGUCACUAUGGCAUUGUUAAAAUUGAUUAGGGAUCAAGGAUAGGUCGACUCGAUUGAGAUGUAUGAUCAAAGUAUGGGUGAUUCCACCUGAUUCCAAAAUUAUCGUCGAUCGGCACUAGACCGAUUUUUUGUCGUUUUCGGUACUCUGUGCCCAUAUUUGAAACCUUGAGAUUUUCACAAUAACCUAGAGUCGCCAAUGUGUCGAAGAUGUACGUUGUGACUCGAAACAAAUCGAUCACGGGUCAAUUGCACAAAAAAUUCCAGAAAGCUACCCGGUAGGCUAGGUCACGCUAAAAUUGUGCCAAAUUGAAAUUAACCGCAAAUUUGAAUCCGAUUUCAGAAAUUGAAAGUUCUGUAAUGUCAUGAUGUAUUUUAGGACCAUUGACUCAUCAUUCAAAGAUUUUUCUGAAAACUGAGAUUUUUGGCGAAAAUGCAAAAUAUGACCGUUUUUGUCCGGAAAAUUCAAUGACCAUUUUUUAUCGUGUUUUUGGGACGCAAGUUGGUUCCAUUGGCGAGGAAAAAUGUCAAUUUGGUCAAGGACCCCUUGGUGGAAUUUUGGGGAAUCGAAUUGAGUCCAAUUGGAGAGAAAUUGGUAUAAUUUGGGGGAAAUUGAGUGCAAAUUUUAGUAGCCCCCCUUGGUCCUCAACUUUUGGACCACUUCAUUAGCUUGCAAGAGAAGCUUGGUGGCUGCAAAAGAGCCAUGGAUGACAGCCAAGGGCUGGUGGGGCCUCUUCAAGGGACAAGAGGAUAGAUUGGAAGCCAAAAGGGUCCCUCCAAGCUUGUGUUGUCCCCUAUCUUCUUCCCUCAGUUGCUUUCUCCAUUAGAGAGUGUUUUGUGAGCUUCCAAAGUGCAGAGAAAACCUCAGCCUCCUCCCCCUUGCCGUCGAGUAGCCCGCCAAGGCCGCCGGAGCCCCAUCGUGCCGCGUCAUGCCCCCGUGUGAGCCUACGCCCCUAUCGAAUCACCCUUCCAGUUUUGUUGCCGUGUCGUCUCCCUCGAGCCUCUUCAAGCCGUCGCCGUUCAAGCUCGCCACCACCGCCGUUUAGCCUCGCCUAUCCUCUUAUUCGCCUACCUGGUCAUUGGCCCUCCUUAGCUUGCCGUUUCAACCGUCAGUUCCCCCUCCUUCAGUCCAAGUAGAAACUGAACCAACAAGGAUUCGUGGGCCUUCGAGGCCCAUUUUGGACCCCUUCCGGGCCUUGCUUGGUGCCGCCACUUGGAGUUUGUUGUCUGUCUCCGCUUUGCUGUCAUCGUGGACUCAUCGGAUUUCAAAACCGGUGAGUUUACUCACUAAACUCUGCUUAUGGAGUUAAUUAUACUUAAGUAUUGAUUAGUUUAUGCUAAUUAAGGUUUAGGUGGUUAGUUAGAAUGGAUUACUGAUUUAACUACUCGUUUAUGCAUGUUAGGUUAUUAGAUCGACUUAAUUAGCAACUAGAUAUGUUGUAUUAUUUACCUAGAUAGGUUUGGAAAUUUUUUGGGCCCGUUUCAGUAUUUAAUUAGGCUUUUCCGGCCUAAGUUGCAUUUAUUGGUAUUUAUUUAAUUAAUUUUAGUAUUUAUUUAAUUAUUUAUUAUUUUCCGAAAAUUAUACCAGGAUAGCCGAUAAUCGGAAUUUCGUGCUGAUCGCAAUGGUAUAAUUGGUUUAUUUAAUUGAGUGUUGAUUUGUGCAAAUUGAGUGAGAUUUAUAAUUUUGGGUAUUUAUUCCAAAAUUAGGUAUUUUCAAUAUUUAAUUAGAAAAUACAAUACCGAGCAUCGGUUUACAACACCAAAAAUGUGUUUAUAGACUAUUAUAAUUAGUGGGAUUCUAUAAAUAAAUAAAUAAAAGAUAUUGUAUUUUGGUUAAUGUCAACCGUGUACCCACACAAGAUUAUUUUCACCAGGUACUAUAAAGAUGGUAGAUUUUCAGUGAAUGAGAACAAUAUACUAUAUCAGCCUGCAGGCUUUGAUAUAUCAGCUUCGGUGAGCAGUAUACUCUAUUAGCUUUGGUGAGCAAUUGUAAGUAUCGCACAGCUUUGGUGAACAAUAUAAAUAUAUAACAACUUCGGUGAGCAUUAUUAUAUAUCUAUUGUCAGCUUUGGUGAGCUAUACCAUAUAAUUUCAACUUAGGGUGAGCUGAAUUGGUUGAAUUUUAUAGAUAGUAUUGAUGGUAUGGAAUCGAGUGGAUGGAUUGAUGAAUGGUUUGAUUUGAAUUGAAGUAAUUCGUUGAAUAUAUGAAUCAUACUGACUUGCAGGAAGGAACUGAGGUAAAGGUAAGUCCUCUGUCUUGUGUGUGCAUAGAUAGUCUUUUGGCGUAUUUCCUUCCUAGUCGGGGUUUAAGGGGUAGACUUGCUGAGACGUUGUCUCACCCCAUCGUGGGUUAAUAUUUUCAGGUUCUUAGAUAGCGGAUCCUCUAGAAUGUCAUGGUCGUCCCAUAAGGGUCACCGAGUGAGUUUAUACCUAUUCCGAUCCCGGAAGCUUUUGGGUUUAUGAAUUGGUAGUGACCAUUGUCUGGGUCGAAGAGCGUCUACAUUAUGUGUUCCCUAAUCGAUUCAGAGCUUGGUUCCGAUACGGACCCAACGGUUUCCAGGUGGGUCCUCUCAGGUGUUUUGAAAUUUCCACAAGGAUAAUUGAUGCCUCUCUAUGGGAAAGUGCUGUGGACCCUCCCGAUGGUGUGGUGGAGAACCCGACGUCCCGUUCGAAUCCCGUGAAGAUUGAAGAAUCGACGAACGAGUCUGACUAGAUAGUCAUAGGAUGAGAGUGCUAGUAUGAACAAAAUAAAGGAGUUAGGGAAGAGAAUAAGAACACGAGAUUUAUAGUGGUUCGGCUUAAUCCAAGCCUACGUCCACUCUCCCACGAUAACAGCCUUCUUGGCUGGAUUCCACUAUGCAAUCAACAAGAGAUUACAACUCCGAGUGCAAAUACUUAGUAGAUCACACUAUCUCACUAAGUCACUCUCUUGGUAUUUCUCUCACGAUUACAAACGUUUAAGCUCUCAAGAGACAAGUAUAUGAUCUAAAGUCGCUCAGACUUUGGAAUUAUAAAUUCUACGCUCCGUCUCUUACUUGCUCAUCGGUCCAUGAUCUCCUUAAAUACUCCUCCACUUCCAAACUACCGUUGGACAGUAUCCCGGAGAAUCGUCUUCCAAUAUACCCAUUGGACAGCUCUGUAUCUUAGAAGAUUUGGUAGCCGUUGAGUGACAAAGGUAAAAUCCCAAAUUGAUUCCGAUCGCCCAUACAAACGAAAUCUUGGUUUCCAUAAGUAAAGCUUCUUCGUAUAGAAAGAUCUUGUCUUCAACAUCCAAUUGUCAAUCAAAUAGAUUGAGUCAAUCAAAUCAAUCUUGAUGUGGAAUCCAAACCAGAUCACUAGCCGUUGUAUGAUUGGGCUUGAGUUACGAUUCAUCGAAUCUGGAUGUAAAGUCUGAGUCUUUAGACUUUACGAUAUAAGUCUUGAGACUUUACAAUCUGGGUCUGUAGACUUUACAAUAUGAGUCUGUAGACUUUACAAUCUGAGUCUGAACAUAUCUGCUUCUGAACAGAUUUAGCUUUAAGGUCUGUACCCAGUUCAGCUUCAGCAUAGAGUCUGUCUUCUGGUUCAUCAUUCACGUUCAGUCUGGAAUUUGUCAGAGUGAACAGACUUCUGAUGUAGAACAGACUUUGACACUAAAGUCUGGCAGUCUUCAGACUUUGAGUCUUGAGUCUAACAGUCUUCAGACUUUGAGUCUAGAGUCUAACAGUCUUCAGACUUUGAGUCUUGAGUCUGGCAGUCUUCAGACUUUGAUAAUAUCCUCUACAUGUUCUAACAUCUGCAUGGCCUAUUACUCAACCAUCAAAUAUGUUAGUAGCCUUUGAUUUAUUUUGUCAUCUUCAAAACAUCAUAAGGGAUUUCCCUAACAUAGGACAGAUCGUUUUGAGGAUCGACCCUUUGUAGACUUUUGUGAAUAUAGACUAGCCUUGUAAAUGACUGCUGUGUAUAAAAGUGUGUUGUGGUUUUCAAAAUUUGUGGCCCUGUUUUAUUCCAUUCCAUUUUUGAGUUGUCUGGGAUUUAUUUAUUCACUUCCGCAUGUGCAUUAAAAUGAAUGGGUCGGCAACAUGUCCUGGGACGUUACAAAUUAAUCGACCACCGAGGGAUGGGCAUGCGCUCGAGGAUUGGGGCGUGACACAUAGUCCCCCUAAAUUUUUGUCUAACCUCAAUUUAAUCUCAAGAAGCUAAGUUAGUUUCACCUCUAGGGUUAUUAAGGUCUAUGUCCAAAAAUUACCACAUGUUUCCAAUCAAUGCACUAAUGUACUAACUUCCAAAAUUCUAAGAAUAGGUUUAAGCCUUGCAAGACAACUUGUCUCACAAGUUUAUUCGAUUUAGGCGUGUAAAGGGGGGAGUCUCAUUGGCUUCUAAAUUCACUCUCAAUAAAUCUAAAUUUAAGAGGACAAGAUAUAAUUAAAAGAGUUGUAUAAUUGUUGUAUUGACAGGACAAGAAUAACUUAAGAUCACCUACGAUUGACACCCGUAGUCAGACCGGGUUUGUGACUAAGUUUUGUUCGGAAAUGGCCCUAAUGUGACCUACGCUAAUUAAGCGGCAUUGAUAUGGUUAGACCUAAACUAAGUUUGACGUCUAUCUGGGGUUCUAUGCGUGACCUAUGUUUAAGCCUGGUUGGUCCAUGAAUGACUUUCAACAGUUAUGUAAUCAUGUAGAAUCAAUUGACUUACCUUUGUUCAUGACCAUGUGGAAUCGAAUAAGGGUCGUUCACAAACGGUAUAACGACCAUGCAUAGUCACCUGCGACUGGUAUAUACUUGAGCUGAAUCAAUCUAUAUCUAUCCAAUGAUUGACUUGUGACGACACAUUGUCGUCCACAUCGAUCCUUAUGGUCAAACGGUCCUUUCAUGUUCGAACACUCUAGUCUAACUUAACUUGAUCCAGAGUUGCCUUACCCUAAUCAAUUAGUUGGCUCAUAAACAAUCCCUAAGAUUGACUCACAACAUAUUCUCGUUAUGGAAUUAAAAUUGGACAUGGCCUAAACUACAUGACAUGCAUAUGAUAUUUUUGGUGUUCUUAUUAAAAUUCGCAACUAGAAGUAAAUUAACAUAUGAAUACACCUAAAGUGAGAUGUUAUCUAAUUUAAGUUAAGAAAUGGACUCACUUAAAUCCCGUCUUAUCUUGGAAAUUUAUCUCAACAUGUAAUUCUAUUUUUAAAAAAAAAAAAAGCUAUCUACUCUAGAUAUUAUCUAAACACGCAUUUAAAUUGAAAUAGGAAAAUGUCUAUCUAGUCCUAUCAUGCAAUUUGAAUGAUAUGAUAUGCCAUGCAAUCUUUUCUUGAAUUUUUUUUUUCAUUGAAGCUAGCAAUUCUAGCUAAACAAAAUUUCAAACAUAGCAAAAUCCAUUGUUUCAUGUCUUAGAUUAAUGGAUAUCAUAAUCUUGAUAGGGCACUUACUUAGAAUCAAACAUUAAAAAAAAUUAAAAAAUGAUCCAUCAUCUCACGGCUCAAAUGAUAGAUUAUCACAAUCUUAGUCAACGUAAUUAUCCAAUAAUAAGUUGAAAUAAUUAAACAAAUGAUCCAAUAUCUUUAUGGAUCAAAUUAGUACUUAAACCAACUUUAUCAAUAAGCCUUAAUUGGAUAUGCCUAAUAUCUCAAAUAUCAUAUCGGAUAGCAAUUAAUCCAAAUUGAGUAAUGAAAUAUUUCAAUUUAAUUGGAUAAAGCUUGUUACCUAAUUUGAUCGGACCGGAUCUCGACUUGCGGAUAGGUCUCAGCAGUUGUAUCUCACGGUGUGGCGCUUGGUCGACUAUGUGCUUGACAAGAGGGCCACGGUAGAUGAUCCGCCGAUGAUGCUCAGCCUGCAAAAAAAUUAAAAUCAAAGCGCCGCGGCCGAGCUUUGGAGCAAAGUCGGAUAACUCGCUGGCUGCCUCACGGUACAUCAACUCCACGGGUUAGUGUGAUUUUUGUUUGAAGGACACCAUAAGUCCUGAAGUUCACUCAUAAGCGACUCACCAUAAGUCCUGCAAGAGAAACACGAGGCAAAAUUGUUAAUCGGCUGUGAUGAUGGGGCGUGCUGCAAGCGCAAGAAAUAGUCCGAAUUUGUCGAUGGGGCUCGCUGGACUCAACAACAAAAGCCACUUCAAUGUGGCUGCAAGAGAGACCGUCGCGUGCCUUCAAGAGCGACUCAAGGGCAGCUUAGUGCGAUGCUGCUCUGAGGGCUGGAGUCGCGGGAGCCGACGUCAUGGCGGUAAAGAUCAGGACGGCGGCUCGUCAUCUCAGUCCAACACGGGGUACGGCGUCGCGGCUUAAAUGAGGGAAGCGUUGUAGCAAGCGGGAGCGCAACGCUACGGUGGGAGGACUCACGAAGCCGAGACUACGAGGAAAAGACCUCGCUCUCCCUCUAUUCUCUCUCCAGAUUCUUUUGUGUACCCAGUGUUGACCGAGAGAGAGAGAGAGAGAGAGAGAGAGAGGGCCCUCCCUCCUAUUUGACGAAGCAAAGGCCUAUCUUUUUGUCUUCUUAUCCCUUUUCUUACGGACGUGUGUUGCUCUUCUUUUGUGUUCUCAUUAUGCGGACUUUCAGAACCUGCAGGAAGAACAAAAGACAUUUUCUCUCCCUCUCGCAAUGGUGGCCGUGUAUUCUCUAUUGUCUCCCCUCUUCUCUUGCAAUCCACACUUGUUUUUACAAUGCCCCAAAUAUUUUCUUCCUUUAUUUCAUCAACCAAAUAUUCUUUGUUUUGCUGAUUGUAUCUCGUCUCAGAUCACUCUUUUCUUUUUGUCUAAUCAAGCUUUGAUUUUCCCGAAAUUCCAAAUCUUGCAAAGAUGCUUGCCAAAUGUCUACGAGCGUGCAAUAUCUCCUUUGUAUGCUUGCCUUAAUCGACAAUAAAUGGAUAUUUCUUCUUUCUUGUGCUUUUUAUUUCUUAAUCUUUGGCCAAAUAUUCUCUUCAGAUUUCCACCAUUUUGUUUUUAGUCAAUCUUCCAUCAUUAUCCUUCUCUUGCCAAAUUCGCACGUAUUCAGCCCAUGUUUCCUCUUUGCUGUCUUUCCUUGGCCGAGAAUAUGCUCUCUUGAUUUCAAAAGUUUCCAAUUUUAUAUACUCAUGUGUGGCACAAGUAAUUUUCGGCCACAUGGGGUAUUCAAUGGGCUUGAAUUUCAUGCUUCCUUGGGCUCAGUCUAAUUAUUUACCUUACAGGGUUAAUUAGUCCCAUAAGCUUAGAACUGUUUACCACCCGCCACCAAUCCAAUGCAAAUGCAAUUUUAUGGGCCUAUUGCUAUUGAAAUGCUCCUAAAAAUCUAUAUGCAAUUGUAAUAUUUUUUUGCAUAGGGACAAGGGAUGAUCCUUGAUUUUCUAUGCAAUGAAUGACUAAAUGGGUUGCCAAAAUUUAGGUGUUAAUAACCUAGCAAAAAUCCAAGUCAAAGCCCAAGUUCAUACCAAACCAAUACUUCUAUCUUCUAAAGUAAAUAGGCUAUCCAAAUACUUUUCUAACACAACCCACAUGUGCAUUCAUCAGUAGAUGGUAUAUAAAUAAAAUCAUAGAAAAAUUACCAAAUUAAAAAUUUGUAGGCAAAAAAGUCAAAAAGAAGACCUAAAACUUUAUCAAAUAAAACAAAACAAAUUAAAACAUUGAAAUAAUAAUUCAUCUCUCUUACAAUUCUACAACUCUAAUGUCCAGCAGCAAGCUACCUCGCCACCGGAUCUUUGCUUUAGUCAAGCCAUCGUCCAGCCCUUAUGGUGGCUGGACCAUUGCCAUUGCCAUAGCCUCUAAAUUGCGCUCUUGCCAAGAUGUAGUAUAAAAGUCGAAAGAACACGCUGUUAUCAAGCAUUCUAUCAUUACAACAAGCGGAGAAUCAGUUGAUAAUCGAGAGUAUUUGAAAUCUGCCAAUGCCAUUUCAAACGGUCGCAGAAUAUUGCAUAUUCUUUAAACAGUCGCAGAAUAUUGCAGAUUCUCUUGUGAUAAUCUGCUUAUGAUGCUUUUCGCGCAUAAUUUCAUUCAUACACAUUUUCCAAAACUAGCUCAUACGUCAUAUCAAAGCGAGUCGCUAUUUUUUUCCCUUUAUUUUUUUCACGCCCUUUAACUAAUAUAAUAAUGGGUCGCAAUCCGCAAGUAAGCUGACGACUUUUUUUUUUUUUUUUGAUCGGUAGCUAACGACUUUAUAAGCCUUUCUUAGUAUGGAAGUUUUCAUACUUGCCUGAAGGGUCGUAGUUGCACAUAACAUACUACCGACUAUCGUUACACUUAACCCUAGUACAACCGACUUGGACCUAUUCGGGCCAACCAUCUGAGUGUAGUAUAAGUAGUCGCAUGUACUCGCGCCAGUUUUGGUGUUGUAAUUGUAGUAUUGCUUCUCCACGACCCACAACUUCACAGCGUAGGUGCCCAUGAACGUGCCUGUGCCCCUGGCGAGGUUCUUGCUGUAGGGCCCAUUGGAGUGUAAGGGGCUACAGUCUCUGACUUGUUGGUUUGCGUAGCUCUAGGUGUAGGCGGCAACAAUAUUAACCCAUGUCAUGUUCACCACGCUAACUUACUUUUGGGCAUCAUCGUGAGAGUUGAGAUAGCCUUGGGGUGAGUUUUGGGCAUGAGUAGGUUGAAAGAAAGAAAUGGAGACAAGAGAGAUGAUGAAAUUUAGAGAAUUCAUGACACUUAAGGAAUUAGUAAUUCCUAAAACAAAUUCGACACUAAAUCGAACCCCUAAAACGAAUGCGGAAGACGAGCCCAAAAACAAACAUGUAUCACCGAUCAAAGAUAUACCACGGAAUCGAGCGUACCUUAUUGUUCACAGAUUAAACACCAACGUUGAUUUGAGGAAGAAAAACUGAUCCCGUUCUAUCGAGGAGCGUGCUGUUGCUAUUAGGGGGAGAAAAACAGAGCGUACGGUUUCUUUCUAUGUUCUUUUUUUCUUUUUCUUUUUUUGAGGGAGAGAGAGUGAAAAGACAUACGUACAUCUAAAGGGGUGUGAUCCCUUUUUUCUUUUCUCUUUUAUAUCUUCUCCAAGAGACGUAACUCUUCAAUGUAAUACGUUCUCCCAAAAGUCAUAACACCUGGUAUCUAAACAACGCAACAUUUCACAUCGCAUCCGUUCCUCCAUGGGCCCUUAUCUUGGGGGCCAGGCUUUUAGGCCCAACAUGGGCGAACGGGCUCACUUAGGCCCAUCAACAUAUAAAUAAAACCAUCAUCUCCCACUCGCACAUGGUGGGCCGAACAAGAUCCUCUUUACCUCUCUACAACAUUUAUACCAGUGAAUAAUCCAUGCGACCAGCAUACUUUGAGAGUUUGUUGCUAUACAUCUAUUAGGAAUAUAUAGUAGCUCAUAAUGGGCAUCACCCUUUGAGUAUAUUUAGUAUGCAGUACCCUAGAUCAAUCGAUCACACUUGUAUCUCUCUCUUGAUCUCUUUUUAAUCUUUGAUAUAUUGUAUUCACAAUUACGAUUAUCCCAAAGACAGUCAUAAUUGGUCGACUAGUGAAUACAAAACUUAGAAUGUGAUUCUCCAUUUUUUAUCUUCCUCUUUCCUUUAAACUCUCAAUUUCAGUUCAGCUUGCUUUUCUAGAAAUGUCCCAUCAGAUCGAAUCAAUUCAUGAUCAUUGGCAACAUCCUAAGAUAGCAAACACUAAAUAGAAAUCUUGAGAAUAAGUAAGAGUCAUGAGGGCACUAAAUUGAGGAACUCUUUUCCUCAAGAGUCUCACACGGCAUAAAAGUUGAGAUUAAAUUUUGCCAUUCUUUUUGGCCGUCUCAUGCAUACGUAGUAUGAAAUACGUAUUACGGUAUUAACUCCUUUCCCAUGGAGCGUAUGUCUACACCAUCAAUACCGUACAGAUGAUAGUUCAGACAUACAUAAUAUCUAACUUGAGUUCACAUAUCUACUCAUUCACAGAAUUCAUCAGAACUCACAUCUGGCAUCAUAGACAGAUAAAGUAAAAUAUGUGGGUUAUUUUACUUUCGGACAUAGUAAAUAUUAUGUCAUCAUCUUAAUACUCAGUUAAGGUGACUUAUGUAUUUUAAGCUUGAGCUCUCGAUUAUCACCUAGAUAAUAAGCUUAAAAACUGUCUCAUCUCUAUUUAUUACACAGUAAAUAGAGGCGAUUACCCAUGUGAGUGGGCUAAUAUUUUAUCUGUCCGACAUACUUUAUCAACUUAAUAUAAUGCACUGAGCAUUAAGAUGCAUAAACGUCAAAUAAAGAUUUAUAGGCAUUAAUGAUGAAAAAACAAAAUCAUCAAAUGUGAACACUUAUGGAAAUUAUAAUAUUCAGUACAUUAGCCUUUACGCAGUCUUAGAGAUUUUACAUUACCACAAAACACAUCUCUAGGUAUUGGCUUUGUCAUAGGAUCUUCUACUAUUUUAUGUGUAGAUAUGUACUGUAAGUUCACAUCUUUUCGUGCAAUCAUAUCAUUGACAAAAUUAUACUUGGUAUCUAUAUGUUUGGUCUUGUCAUGAUAUUUUGGAUCUUUGGUGUACGUUAUAACUGCUUGGCUAUCACAGUUAACCAAUAAUGGAUUUGCAGCAUACCCAAUAACACCUAAAUGAUUCAAAAAUAUCUUAAGCCAAACACCUUCUUGUACUGCUGCUGAUAAUGCCAUGAACUCAGCCUCCAUCUUGGAUAAGGCUAUACACGUUUACUUCUUACUGCUCCAAGAUAUGGCGCCAUUAUUCAGUAAGAAAGUAAAACCAGAGGUAGAUUUUCUUUCAUCUAAAUCUCCUCCCCAAUCAGCAUCCGAAUAGCCUUUAAGUCGCAGAUCCUUUCCUUGGUAAUUCAACUUGUAAUCGGCAGUUCCCUUCAAAUACCUCAGUAUUCUUUUAACGGCUUUCCAAUGUGCUUGACUUGGAUUAGAAUGGUAUCUACUCACCAUUCCAACUGCCAAACAUAUGUCAGGUCUUGUACAUAUCAUAGUGUACAUCAAGCUCUCAAUAGCACUAGCAUAAGGAAUAUGUUUCAUUUGUUCCUUCUCUUGUGGAGUCCUUGGACAUAGUCUAUGGCUCAAUCCUUCAUAAUCAAUUCCUUUCUGUUAAUUAUACUCCUUCGCCACAAGGCGAGCCUUAUACAUUUCUAUCGAGCCAUCAGCUUUACGCUUUAUUUUGAGAACCCACUUGUUCCCAAUAGCUUUGCAUCCUUUUGGAAGAUCAACCAGUUUCCAAACAUGGUUUGACUUCAUUGACUCCAUCUCCUCUUCCAUUGCAUGUAUCCAUUUUUCCUUACUAGGGCAAUUUAGAGUCUCAUUAACAUUUCUUGGCUCAUCCUCAUCUUGUGGAGCAACUAUGAAAGUUUCCCCUUCAAUGUCAAAACGUCAACAGGGAAUACUUUUGCGACUUGUUCACCGUAUGGGAGAUUGUACACUUUGCACAUCAUUCCCCAUCAUGCUCCCACUCGAAUUAGAUAAUGACGAUAUCAUCUCAUCAUGUGGUUGUAAUUGAGAGUGAAUUGAAUUAAAUUCAUCACUUCUCAUGUUACUCCCACUUGGACGAACUCCAUUAAGUUCAUUAUCUUGAUCCAAGGUUUCAAAUAGGGAGUAAUCCUCACAUAUUUCGCAUUUCUUAAGAAAUUCAUUCUCUAAGAAUGUGACAUCCCGUGAUUCGAAUUAAGUUAUACUUCCACUUUCUUGCUCACCUAUGAACACAUACCCUUUCGACUAUUCAGAAUAUUUUAUGAAAAUACUCUUCUUUCCUCUGGGACCCAAUUUCCCAAACUUGUGAGAGGGCUCAUGAGUAUAGGCAGCACAACUCCAUAACUUAAGGAAACUUAAGUCCGGUUUUUUGCCUGUCCAUAACUCAUAUGGAGUGGAAGUAACUGAUUUGGAAAGCACUCGGUUAAGUAUAUAUGCAGCAAUUAACAAUGCAUCACUCCAAAAAAUGAUAAGUAAGUUAGCAUGCACCAAUCAUGGAUCUAACCAUUUCCAAUAGGAUUCUGUUCCUUCUCUCUGCAUCACCAUUUUGUUGAGGAGUAUAUGGAAUAGACAACUGUCUUUCUAUUCAUUUUUCAUCACAUAAUUUUCUGAACUCAUCAGAUAAAUAUUCUCGACCUCAAUCGGAUCUCAAUACUUUUAUUUUCUUGUCUAAUUGAUUUUCUACCAAGUUCAUAAAUCUUUUGAAACAACUCAAUGCUUCAGAUUUAUGAGAAAUCAAAUAGACAUAUCCGAAGUGAGUAUAAUCAUCUAUAAAUGUGAUGAAAUAAACAGUCUCAUGCCUUCCUCUCACAUUCAUCGGACCACAGACGUCAGAAUGGAUUAAUUGCAAAGGAAAUUAAGCUCUUUUACCCUUUCCAAAUGAUUUUCUUGUCGUUUUCCCUGCUAGGCAAUGCUCACAUAUGGGUAAAUCGACUUUUUCAAUAUUGCCUAACAAGCCCUAUUUGGCUAGUCUAUUCAUACGUUGUUGGCCAAUGUGACCAUGUCUAGCAUGCCACACACUCACAUCAUUAUCAUAUGAAUUAGAAGACGUAAAAAAGGAAUAACAAAUGUUGGCAUUACUAUAGUCAACCUUUAAUACAAUAAAACCAUCUAGAAAAUAAUCACAACCAUAGUAAUUUGUACCCAAAUACAAAUCCACACCACUAUUAUGGAAGUUCAUAUUAAAACCAAGUUUAACCAACACUAAAACAGACAUUGAAUUCCGACGAAUCUCUGGAGCAUACAGCACAUCAUGCAGGAACAGAGUGCGUCCAUCACACAUGUUCAAUUGACAGAUGCCAAUUCCUUUUACUUCUGCUCUAGAGUUGUUUCCUACAUAGAUCCACUUAGUUCCAGUCGGUACUCGUCGGAAUUCCACAAAGAAUUCUCUAUCUUUCGCUACGUGGUCUGUCACUCAUGAAUCCACAAUCCACAAAGGAUUAGACUCAAUUAAAAAUACAGAACUCGACACAUAAGCAAAGUUUUGAAAAGUACAAGGAGUGUAUACCUUCUUUGGCUCACGACAGUCGUGAGCAUAGUGACCCUUCUUGUCACAAUUGUAACACUUCACCCUCGUCAGCUUUUUCAUUCAAGGACGUUUUCCUCUUUCAUGUUGGUCAAGCUUCGGUUUCUUCCCUGAAGAACUUGCUCCCUUGCCUUUCCUCUUAUCGAACCAGUUAGAAUGUUUGCGCGUGAAGCUCGUAGCUCCAUGUGAGCUAGAACCAGCAUGAUAAAUUUCAGCUUCCGGCUUAGCCGCCAAGAGGCGGUCCUAUUCCAGCUCAAGAUGACGCACUGCAUCAUCAAAGGUUUUAAUAUUUUCAUUAUGGAUUAGGUGCACCUUCAUAUGCUCCCAACUCUGAGGCAAGGAACGAAUCACUACUUGCACUUGCUGCUCAACAGUCAGGACAUGGCCUGCAUAUUUCAACUCAUUAAUCAUGUUUGACAUCUUUCUAAGGUGUUGCUUCAUGGUCUGAUCAUGAGGCUUCUUAUAAGAGUCAAACCUAAUAGUGAGCUACCUCAGUCUGGUCACCGAAAUAUGACCAAAUCUUGCUACCAAUGCUUCCCACAUUUCCUUGGCAUUCUCAAAAUGCCUAAACUCUCGUAUGACGUCAUUUUCCAUGCUACUCAGCAACGUAAUGCGAGCAAGAGAGUUCUUUCUUUUCCAAGCAGCAAAUGCAUCAUUAUCUCUCUUAUGCUGUGCAAUGUUUCCUUCUUUAGGUUCUACUAUGGUUAGGUUAAGAGCUUCCAGUGUCUCUUGCUCUUCCAUCACAUAUUGGAUUUUCCAUGUGUCAUAUUUCAUAGUUAUCGCCAUUGAGCUUCUCACUUUUGUUUAGCUCAGCGACAAUGCUCUUUGUGGUUGAAGCCAUUUGAUCUGAACAUAUUAGACAUAUAUGUACGAAUUAUUAAUGCCUAUCAUUUUUUUUUUUGGUAAAAUUAUUAAUGCUUAUCAUUUAUGCAUCCAUUUUGCACAAAACCAUCAUAUUAAUGAAUAAUUUCAAAUAAGGUUUCAGAAUCAAAUGGUCACUAUGUUCCCAAUUAUCAUCCAAAAUCCUAACUUAGAGUUAUUAUUAAUAUAACAUUCUAUGCAAAAUAAAUUCUUUGAAAUUACAAAAAUUUCUAUGAACUACCCACAGCAGUUAAUAAUAAUAGAAAGUAAAUGAUAUUUGAUAUCAAACAAUGAUAUAGUAAUAAUUGUCUUACAUAAUACAACUAACAUAUCAGUUGCCACACCAACAACAACUAGGUAGAAAACAUUACAUAAGAUGUCCACAAAGAACACUAAAUAAAGACCAGCCAAAAACAUCUAACACCAAGUCAACAUACGAACUGGGAAAAAUCCUCUUUUGUUCAACUUUUUGAUCUUUUCCCUUAUAACAAUCCAGUAAUAAUCAUCUAUAAAAGCCAUCACAAUUUUCCUAUACGAAACAGCUCUAUUGACUUCCCACAAGCGAUUCAACACUCCUUGCCAUUCUUGUGGAAGAGUGUUUAUGAAAAAUCGCACCAUCUCAGACUAUGGCAUGGGACGACCAUUCCAUACGACCUUUUGUAUCUUCCCGUUGACUUCAAGAACAUGAUCAAUUAAUUCGCCUCUCUCCCAUCGAUAAUCAGUCAACUCGGCUAUCAACCUAAAAAGUCUUUCCUUUUGUUUAUCGGUAAUUACGCGGAUAGGUGUGCGCAACCUAAGGAGAGGCAUUGUUCCUGCAACAAAUGCAGAACAAAUAAGGAUUUACAUAUAAUCCACAUAGACUUAAUUGGAAAAAGAAACACUUUUUUUUUUAAACGGUCAACAGUUAACGGUCGUGGUCAAUGGUUACGGUCAACGGUCAACGGUCACGGUCAUCGGUCAGCCGGGUCGGAGUCAACGGGCAGUCGGGUCGGACCGGACGGGCCGGGUCAGGCUGGUCGAACUGAUCGGGCCGAUCGGACAAACCGACCGGCACGUGCCACGCUCGUGCCUGGCUGACGUCACGAUGACAUCAGCCGACGCGUGCGUGGCACGCGCCUGCACUCCGCGCGUGCAUCACACGCACCUGGAUCGAAACGGCGUGUGCGACGCACGCGCUUACGAGGGACUAAGUCGGCGUGUGCAACGCACGCGCCAAUAACCCCCGUUCGUUCCGGCUACGCGUGGCGGCGCGUCUGACGGCCUCCGGCUGCGAUCCGCCACUCGUUUUUCUUGUAUCAACGAGGGCUUUGAUCCUACGCUUUUAGAAAAAAAAAUUUUGACUUAUAGAAAAUCAAAAAACAGGACAAACAGAAUCGGGUCUCGGGUUUUUCUAUCCCCGAUCGAUCGGCAACGGCUUUUCUCGAAUUUUCAAUAAAAAGAUAAUUCAUAAACAUGAAAAAAAAGGGUUAGGAAACAUGAACUGGGGCUUUGAUACCAAUGUUGGGAAUUACUAAUUCUCUAAAACGGAUUCGACACUAAAUCGAACCCCUAAAACGAAUGCGGAAGACGAGCCUAGAAACAAACAUGUAUGACCGAUCAAAGACACACCACGGAAUCGAGUGUACCUUAUUGUCCACAGAUUAAAUACCAACGUUGAUUUGAGAAAGAAAAACUGAUCCCGUUCUACCGAGAAGCAUGCUAUUGCUAUUAGGGGGAGAAAAACAGAGCGUACUGUUUCUUUCUAUGUUCUUCUUCUUCUUUUUUUUCUUCUUUUUUGAGGGAGAGAGAGAGUGAAAAGAUGUACGUACAUCUAAAGGGGUGUGAUCCCUUUUUUCUUUCUCUUUUACGUCUUCUCCAAGAGACGUAACUCUUCAACGUAAUACGUUCCCCCAAAAGUCAUAACCCCUGGUAUCUAAACAACGCAACCUUUCACAUCGCAUCCGUUCUUCCAUGGGCCCCUAUCUUGCGGGCCGGGCUUUUAGGCCCAACAUGGGCGGACGGGCUCACUUAGGCCCAUCAACAUAUAAAUAAAACCAUCAGUUAUCAUUGGACUAUUUAUAAAAUAUAUAUAUAUAUAUAUAUAUAUAUAUAUAUAUAUAUGAAGAUUUUGGGGGCUUCAACUUAUCAUGUGCAAUGAACUUAUCAGGGAACGUCUCCUCUGGACAAUACAACUUUGCAUUCAAAUUUAGUUUGUUCAUGAAAUGACAAAAUUAGUAAACUAAGUGGUGCAUGGAGGGAAUUGGCUUUGCUUGUUCUUUCUUUCCUCAAAUGGAAGUCAACCAAAAGGCUUUAGUGAAAUUUGAAAUUUGAGCAAGUUUGAUAUGAUAAAUUAAGAAUAAUGUUAGACAUUAUUUGGAGUAAUGCUAAAGACAUUGAGAUUAGUGCAUGAAAUUAGAUUAUUAGGUGAUGUAUAUAAAAUUUAGCCAGGUAUUAAGAACAUACAAGUCUUAUUCGAGCACCCAAAAGGGGAUGUUGAUCAUUUGUCCCGUGUACAAGUCGUCUGAGAGUCGGUCCGGAAAGUACUGCUGCGAGUCGGGCAACCCCCUUCUCUGUAAUUUGACCUGCUCAGACUCGCCUCUCGGCCGCACGAUCCCACCUCAGACACUGCCUAUGUCAUCCUCACCCGUCGCUUGCCUAUUACAUGAUCAUGCCAGCUGUCCAUGUCAGUUGAGUGUUCAUCCCCCAAUAUCAACUCUCACAAAUUCAGACACAACUCCCGCUUCUCCCUCUCCCACGAAACUAUUAAUAUGGCCGACAUACCGACAGCACAAGUCUGAAAUUGCACGGAUGCGCAGGGCCUGCCCUCACAUCACUAUUCAUCAUUGAACGGUUGGAUGUGUCGGGUAUCUAUAUUAAGUGCAGGACCUCGUGCCAAACUGAAUCUAAGAUGAUGAAUCCCACUUAUCAAUAAAUAGUUUUUCACGUACCUCUACAGUGAAAAUGAUGGAAUCUUUUUUUCAAAAAAAUAAAAUAAAAUGACAAUCUGGAUUAACUAGGUAGCACGGACACAGCGACACGGACACGCGACACGACACGACACGACAUGCGACACGUUAUUUUUCAAAAAGUAGAGAAUUUUGACACGUUCCAACACGUUAUAUAUUAAAUGAAUAUUUUUAUUUUUAAUUAAUUUAAUUCAAAUUCAGUAUUUUAAUUUUUCGAAAUUAUAUUUUAAUCUCAUUUAUUUAUUUUUCCAUUAAAAAAAAUCUCCACUAAGGUCCACCCCACCCUCUUCUAGUUCUUUCCCUCAUCCAUUUCCCCCCUCCCCCAAAAUGUAUUUUUCUUUACCUCCCCACCAUCGUUCGUUUCCCCCCACCCCCAAAUUUAUUUUUCUUUCCCUCCCCUUCACUGACAGACAGGCUGUCCCUGUCUCUUCCCCUCCCCCAAUACGCAAUGGCCCAUCAAAAACCCGUCCCUAUCUCUUCCCCUCCCCCAAUACGCGAUGGCCCAUCAAAAACCCUAGCUCUGCACGACCCUUCCUCUUCUUGUUCCUCGUUGCUCGCUACUCACCGCACAAACCCCUUUCCUUGCCGCUUGCCGCUCACCACUCGUUGCCUCUCGCCGCUCGUCGCCUCUCACCGCUCGCCGCACGACUACCUUCCUCUCCUCUUCCUCCAAAUUAAUUUUUUUCAUCAAAAACUCUAAAUUGGUAUAUUUUUGACAAAUUUAUCUCAAACUGGUAUACUUAUGACAAAUUUAUUCUCUAUUAAUUUCCGUUAAACUUUAUUCUUAAAUUACUAAAUUGGAUAACAAGUGACACUUGACUGGUGUACCAGUUUGGAAUUUAAUUUUAUGUUCACCACAAUUAUAAAAUUUACCAAUUUGAGAUUUUUGGGGAUCAAAUAAAUUAAGUUUAGAGUAAAUUUAUCAUAAGUGUAUCAAUUUAUGAUUUUUUUUUCUGAUCAUUUGGGGUAAAUUUGUCACAUGUGUAUCAAUUUAAGGUUUUUCAUGUUCAAAAAAUUAGUCUUUGAUAAAUUUGUCACAUAUAUACCACUUUGGGAUUUUUUAGGACAUUAACCCUUAAAUAUUUAUAUACUAGAUUUAUCAAAUACUUACUCUUUAUAAUAGCUAGCUCUUCCAUUCUCUCUCCUUUAUCACUAUCUCUCUACCUCUGCCCCACACUCCAAUCGUGUCCCACUGCUGCCGUGCUCAAUUCCACCAUUGCUAUCGCUUCUAACGCAACGGAAACAAUGAUCACAUGAAUAGCAAUUCAUAACAUGAGUAAAACUCGUAAAUGUAUAUCCAAAGCGUACACUCCCAAAAUGUAUGUGUGUGAACUUUCUCAAUUUCUUGUACUUCCAAUUCAAAAUACUGUAGCUAAAAACCCUAAUGAAAUUCUAAGUUUCAAAUAAGAAAUAGACAUAUCAAUAAGAAAAUCCAUCCUACUAAACCUCAAAUGUCUAAAUGGAUAAUUACUCAAAAUUGAAAUAAAUCAUGUGAUAUCCUAACGGAAUUUCUAAAUCGAAAACAUACGUCCAGCGUCAUUCUACUGUCCUAGGAGAAAAACUUGACUCCAACAUGUUGGACGAGCUGCAUCAAUCGCCCACAAUUGUUAAAUAGCUUGACUCGAAUUUUAAAACGACAAAGGUAUGAUUUUUCAUAUCAACGUCGUCACUAUUUCUUUUGAACUGCCCUUCUGAGAAUUGAAAGUUUCCCCUGGGUCAUCGAUAUACGGUGGGACAAAAUCAUUCUUCAGCCGAAAUUCCCCAAGUUCAAAUCUCUUUUAAGAAAAGCUUAACCCUAGGUAAUUUUCUUCAUAACGUCCAGCAAUAAUCCGGUCACCCGAAUUAAUAGAUUUUAACCGGUAAUCAACUCAACAAGAAUUCUUCUGGAACUUUCUCUCCAUUAUUUUAAAGAUAAUUCUCAUUAGAAAAAAUCAUUUUCUAAUUCAGAAUCUUUUACCUUUCAAAUUGAAAUUACAAAACUUUAGUCACUCUGCAUUGCCGGAGCAGGUUUAUCGAAUGGUUGGCCAUGGGCUCGACAUUCCACCAGCGCUGCUUCAUUAACGCAAGCCGGUUUUCUCUUUAACCCACGAGCGGGGACCGAGAAGUCAUCAUGUUUGGCUUUCCAACUGAAUAAUCGCCGCAUUUGGUCACCGUUCUAUGCUUGUUGAGAUACACUAAUCAUAUUGUCGUAAAGCCUACAUCUCCGAAUCUUCGUUUGCAUGAUGGUUGUCUCCAAAGCCUUAAUGCUAAACACCUGUAUGUUUUUAUGCCUACCACGGUCGUCCCUAGACAAGAGUUUAGACAAAGCUCAAGCAAUUAUACCAUUAUUCAUAUGAUGUCUAGUUUUUAGAUGCGCUAACUUUUCUAUGCAAAACAUUUAAUAUGGACCUAAAAGUUCAAUGCGAAAUAUCUGAAUGUUUUAUAUGUACACAUCCAUCUUUCUCAUGUAUUAUUCGACCAGCUGUUGCAUCAUCAGCAUCAUUGAUGUACGUAAUUAAGCCCAAUCUCUUAGGAUGGUUGAAUCAAGCAUGGCCUUCUCGUUAAACACAUGUGGCCUAAUGUUUCAGCUGUGUUAGGUUUGUACUACUUUGUAUUCUCUAGGCCUCACAUAAUGGGAGCUCGGGUGAAAAUCUAGAGUUUUAGAUGCCCAGAGAUCAAAUCUGAAAAUAGCCAAAAAAAAAUAUCCCUCCACACCGUUAGAAUGCAUUAUAGAAUUAUAAUUACAAGGGGGGAAAACCAAUACUUUGCAUCAUCUACUGUCAUGGUUAUCUUAAUUUUCAGGUGUGAAGUUCACGGUUUUUAAAGAUUCAUGAGUCAAAAAAAUAAAUGUACAUAACUUAGAGGAGAAUUUAUGCAAUCUUUUCAAACUAAGGGGAUAGAGGGCAUGCAUAUGUCCCCAAACUAUCAAUUUGUAUAUGUUAUCUUUUGAGUUCUAAAAGCAGACAAAUUUUUUAGGACAUAACAAAGUGGAAGUUUAGGAUCGACAAUUGAAAGUUCAUAAAAAAGAAUUGCUAUUUAGUAUUCUUAAUGGAGACUUUGUUGUAUUUUGGAGAAAAUUUGCUAGUAAUUAUUAACAACGUUAUGGGACAAAUAAUUCUUUUAAAAAAGUGAUAUCAUACCUACUUCAUUGGUCUUCCUGAUCGUUCAUCAUAUUUUUCUCAAUAGGACAACAAACUAUCAUGUUGAAAUAAUGCCCCUUUAUGAUGAGGCAAGAGCUUUAGAUGCACCAAAAUUAAAUAAUGUCAUGUGAAUGGUGAAGGCAAUUCCCUUCACCGAAGAAAAGUUGAUCUCUUUCAAAAAUUAUUUCUUCUUCUUUUUUUUCUCGCGAUUUCUGAUUUUCAAGUGAAGGAAUUUUGAUCCUUGAUCUAACAUCCUCAGCUCCAAGCUCCCAAGCAUAUCAUCAUCCCUAUCAAGCCCCACAUCACAUCGUGAAAGGGAAGCUAUGUAUGAUCUCUAUGGCGCAUUUCUCUCUUGAGUUCAUCCUAUUACAUCUUUCAAUCGAUUCUAGUACAUAACAAUGGCCAUGUCGACCAUAUAAUGAUACAUUUUAUUCAUUAAGCUUGUUGGGAAUAACGGAUCCUCAAAAACCGGAUUCAACACUAAAUCGAACCCCUAAAACGAAUACGGAAGACAAGCCCGGGAAAACAACACGUAUCACCGAUCCUAAAGCACACCACGAAUUCGAGCGUACCUUAUUAGCCACAGAUUAAACACCAACGCCGAUAAGAGGAAGAGAAUUCGGUCAUGUUCGAUCCGAUGACGUCAAUUUGCCUUGAAGGGAAAACGGGGUCGCGUUUAGCGUUUUCUUUAUUUUGGAGGGAGAGAGGGAGAGAAUACGUACGCUACUUUUUUUUUGCCAAAAGGUGCGUUCUCCCUCUCUCUCAUCCCUUUUAUACCUCCCUCCAUCCACGGGCCCUAUUCCUGUGGGCCGGGCUUUUAGGCCCAACAUGGGCGGACAGGCCUUAAGCCCAUCACUAAUAAAACCAUCAUCUCCCACUCGCACAUGGUGGGCCGAACAGGAUUCUCUUUACCUCUCUUCAACAUUCAUACCGGUGAAUAAUCCGUGCGACCAGCAUACUUUGAGAGCUCGUUGCUAUACAUCUGUUAGGAAUAUAUAGCAGCUCAUAACGGGCAUCACACUCUGAGUAGAUUUAGUAUGCAGUACCCUAGAUCGAUCGAUCACAUUUAUAUCUCUCUUGAUCUCUUUUAAACAAUGAUAUAUAUAUUGUAUUCACAAUUAUGAUUAUCCCAAAGACAGUUAUAAUUGGUUAACCAGUGAAUACAAAACUACAAUAUGAUUCUCUAAAAUCGAUCUUCCUCUUCCCUUCAAACUCUCAAUUUCAAUUCAGUUUGCUUUUCUAGAAAUGUCCCAUUAGAUCAAAUCAGCUCAUGACCAUUGGCAACAUCCUAAGAUAGCAAACACUUAAUAGAAAUAUUGAGAAUAAGUAAGAGUCCUGAGGGAACUAAAAAUUGAGGAACUCUUUUCCUCAAGAGUCUCACACGGCACAAAAGUUUAGAUCAAACUUUUUGCCACUCUUAUUGGUCGUCUCAUGCAUACGUAGUAUGAAAUACGUAUUACAGUAUUAACUCCUUUCCCAUGGAGCGUAUGUCUACACCUUCAAUACCGUACAGAUGAUAGUUCAGACAUACCCAAUGUCUAACUUGAGUUCACGUAUCUACUCAUUCACAAAAUUCAUCAGAACUCACAUCUGGUAUCAUAGACAAAUAAAGUAAAAUAUGUGGGUUAUUUUACUUUUGGACAUAGUAAAUAUUAUGUCCUCAUCUUAACACCCAGUUAAGGCGACAAAUAUAUUUUUAAGCUUGAGCUCUCGAUUAUCACUUAGAUAAUAAGCUUAAAAACAGUCUCAUCUCUAUUUAUCACACAGUAAACAGAUGCAAUUACCCGUGUGAGUAGGCUAAUCUUUUAUCUGUCCGACAUACUUCCUUAACUUAAAAUAAUGCACUGAGCAUUAAGAUGCAUAAAGAUCAAACAAAGAUUCAUAGGCAUUAAUGAUGAAAACACAAAUUCAUCAAAUGUGAACACUUAGGGAAAAUACAAUAUUCAGUACAUCAGCCUCUACGCAAUCCUAGAGAUUUCAUAUGGCCACAAAGCACAAUUCUAGGUAUUGGCUUUGUCAUAGAAUCUGCUACCAUUUUAUGCGUAAUAUGUACUGUAAGUUCACAUCUUUUCGUGCAAUCAUAUCUUUGACAAAAUUAUACUUGGUAUCUAUAUGUUUGGUCUUGCCAUGAUAUUUUGGAUCUUUGGUGUACGCUUUUGCUGCUUGGCUAUCACAGUUAACCACUAACGAAUCUGCAGCACUUCCAAUAACACCUAAAUGAUCCAAUAAUCUCUUAAGCCAAACAUCUUCUUAUACUGCUGCUGAUAAUGCCAUGAACUCAGCUUCCAUCGUGGACAAGGUUAUACACGUUUGUUUCUUAUUGCUCCAACAUAUGGUGCCAUUAUUCGGUAAGAAAACAAAUCCAGAGGUAGAUUUCCUUUCAUCUAAAUCUCCUCUCCAAUCAGCAUAAAAAUAGCCUUAGAGUCGCAGAUCCUUUCUUUAAUAACUCAGCGUAUUAUCAGCAGUCCCCUUUAGAUACCUCAGUAUUCUCUUAACGGCUUUCCAAUGUGCUUGACCUGGAUUGGAUUGGUAACUACUCACCAUUCCAACUGCAAAAACAUAUGACAGGUCUUGUACACAUCAUAGCGUACAUCAAGCUUCCAACAGCACUAGCAUAAGGAACAUGUUUCAUUUGUUCCUUCUCUUGUGGAGUCAUUGGACACAGUCUAUGGCUCAAUCAUUCACCUUUUGCAAUAGGAGUGUCUAUGGGUUUACAAUCUUGCAUACGAAAUCGUUCAAGAACCUUAUGUAUAUAUGUUUCUUGCGAAAGAUAUAACGAUCUCUUCGAACGAUCUCUUGAAAUCUUAACUCCAAGAAUGUAUGCAACCUUACCCAUAUCUUUCAUCUCAAAGUUGGAAGAUAACCAACUCUUGACAGUAUUAACAAACUCCAUAUUGUUUCCGGUAAUUAGUAUAUCAUCAACAUAUAAUGAUACGAUCACAAAUUGAUCUUUGGAUCUUUUGAUAUAUACACAAUGAUCCUCGUCAAUCAUUGUAAAAUCAUAUGCCAUUAUGGCAUUAUGAAAACGUAUAUAUCAUUGUCGUGACGACUGCUUAAGGCCAUAUAUCGAUCUCAAAAGUCGACAUACCUUUCCUUUUUGGCCUUUCACUAUGAAACCAGCAGGUUGUUCCAUAUAUAUUUCUUCCUCUAAUUCUCCAUUGAGGAAAGCAGUCUUUACAUCCAUCUUAUGUAACUCAAGAUCCAUACUAGCCACUAUUGCUAGAAUAAUGCGAAUUGAGGUAAAUCUUACUACAGGAGAAAAUGUAUCUUCAUAAUCAAUUCCUUCCUGUUGAUUAUACCCCUUCGCCACAAGGCGAGCCUUAUGCAUUUCUAUCGAGCCAUCAGCCUUUCACUUUAUUUUGAAAACUCACUUGUUCCCAAUAGCUUUGUGUCCUUUUGGAAGAUCAACCAGUUCCCAGACUUGGUUUGAUUUCAUUGACUCCAUUUCCUCUUCCAUUGCAUGAAUCCAUUUUUCCUUACUAGGGCAAUUCAGAGCCUCAUUAAUAUUUCUUGGCUCAUCCUCAUCUUGUGGAGCAACCAUAAAAGUUUCCCAUUCAAUGUCAAAACGUCGACGGGGAACACUUUGGCGACUUGUUCGCCGUAUGAGAGAUUGUACACUUAGCACAUCAUUCCCCAUUAUGCUCCCACUAGGAUUAGAUAAUGAUGACGUCGUCUCAUCAUGUGGUUGCAAUUGAGAAUGAGUUGAAUUCAAUUCACCACUUCUCAUAUUACUCCCACUUGGACGAACUCCACUAAUAUCAUUAUCUUUAUCCAAGGUUUCAAAUAGGGAGUAAUCCUCACCUAUUUCGCCCUUCUUAGGAAAUUCAUCCACUAAGAAUGUGACAUCCCGUGAUUCAAAUUCAGUUAUACUCCCACUUUCCUGCUCACCUAUGAACACAUACCCUUUCGAGUGUUCUGAGUAUCUCAUGAAAAUACUUUUAUUUCCUUUGGGACCCAAUUUCCCAAACUUGUGAGAGGACUCAUGAGUAUAGGUAGCACAACCCUAUAGCUUAAGAAAACUUAAGUCCGGUCUUCUACCUGUCCAUAACUCAUAUAGAGUGGAAAUAACUGAUUUGGAAGGCACCAAGUUAAGUAUAUAGGCGGCAGUUAACAACGCAUCACUCCAAAAAGUGAUAGGUAAGUUAGCAUGCGCCAUCAUGGACCUAACCAUUUCCAAUAGGGUUCUGUUUCUUCUUUCUGCAACACCACUUUGUUGAGGAGUAUAUGGAAUAGACAACUGUCUUUCUAUUCCUUUUUCAUCACAUAAUUUUCUGAACUCAUCAGAUAAAUAUUCUCGACCUCGAUCAGAUCUCAAUGUUUUUAUUUUCUUGUCUAAUUGAUUUUCUACCAAGUUCAUAAACCUUUUGAAACAACUUAAUGCUUCAUAUUUAUGAGAAAUAAAAUAGACAUAUCCAAAUCGAGUAUAAUCAUCUAUAAAAGUGAUGAAAUAAACAGCCACAUGCCUUCUUCUCACAUUCAUUGAACCAUAGACGUUAGAAUGGAUUAAAUGCAGAGGAAAUUCAGCUCUUUUAUCUUUUCUAUAUGGUUUCCUUAUCGUUUUCCCUACUAGGCAAUGCUUACAUAUGGGCAAAUCGACUUUUUCAAUGCUGCCCAACAAGCCCUCUUUGGCUAGUCUAUUCAUACAUUGUUGGCCAAUAUGACCAAGUCUAGCAUGCCACAUAAUCACAUCAUUAUCAUAUGAAGUAGAAGACGUGAAAAGGGAAAAAAAAAAUAUUGACAUCACCACAGUCAACAUUUAAUACAAUAAAACCAUCCAGAAAGUGACCACAAUCAUAGUAGUUUGUAUCUAAAUACAAAUCUACACGGCUAUUAUGGAAGUUCACACUAAAACCAAGCUUAACCAACAUAAAAAAAAAUAGACACUUAAAUUUCGACGAAUCUCCGGAGCAUAUAGGAACAAAGUGCGUCCACCACGCAUGUUCAGUUGGCAGGUGCCAAUUCCUUUACUUAAGCUCUGGAGUUGUUUCCCACAUAGAUACACUUAGUUCUAGUCGGUAUCGUCGGAAUUCCACGAAGGAUUCUCUAUCCUUCGCUACAUGGUCUGUUGCUUCUGAAUCUAUAGUCCACAAAGGAUUGGAUUCAGCCAAUAAUGUAGAACUUGACACAUAAGCAAAGUUUUCAAAUGUACAAGAGGUGUUUACCUUUUUCGGCUCACAACAGUUGCGAGCAUAGUGACCUUUCUUGUCACAAUUGUAACACCUCACCCUUGACAUUUUCUUCACUUGAGGACGUUUUCCUCUCUUGUGUUGGUCAACUCUUAAUUUCUUGCAAUAAGGACUUGAUCCUUUGCAUUCCCACAUAUUGAACGAAUCAAUACGCUUGCGCUUAGAGCUCAAAGCCCUUUCUGAGCUAGAACCAGCAUUGCAAAUGUCUAUUUUCGGCUCAAAUGCCGUUAGGCGGUCCUCUGCCAGCUCAAGGCGGCGCACGGCACCCUCAAGAUCUUCCAUAACAUGGUCAAGAGCUUCUAGUGCUUCUUGCUUUUCCAGCAUAUAUUGAAUCUUCAUAUUCAAUAUUUCACAAUUGUUGCCGUUCAUAUCAGCAAUUACGUUCUUAGUUGCUGAAACCAUCGAUCUGAACACAUCAGACAUAUAUGCACGAAUAAUUAAUGCCUAUCAUUUAUGCAUCCACUUUGCACAGACCCAUUAUAUCAAUGAACAAUUUCAAGUAAGGUUUCAGAAUCAAAAUGUCACUAUGUUUCCAAUCAUCCUCCAAAAAUCCUAACUCAAAAUUAUUAUUAAUAUAAUUGUCUUAUGCAAAAUAAAUUCUAUGAAGUUACAAAAACUUCUAUGAACUACCCACAGUAGUCAACAAUAACAAAAAGCAAAUAAUAUUCGACAUCCAAAAGAAUAACAAUGUUUUCACAUAAUACAACUAUACAUUACACUAAGCAAUAUAUACAGAGGAAAAAUAUCAACAUAGAAAGAGAUAUUCACAUCAAAAACAUCUCAAACUAAUCUAAGAAAUAAAUAAGGAAUGUCUCUUCUAAUCUAUCAGUCAAAAUAUCUGAAAAAUUUGAAGGCACAUUUGCCAACCAUGGAAAAACUUUUGGAGAGCUUUCAUGUCGCCUCCAAGGCGCAUUCACUCUGCGUCAUGUGGCGCUCAAUCUAAGGGUUGAAGUUUUAGUCAACUCAAUACUAUAAUACUCUCUAACAAAAGCUACCACUAGCCUUCCAUAACCUGGGACCACGUUGACCUCCCAUAGCCGAUCUAACACUGCUUGCCAUUCAGGUGGAAGAGUGUUCAUCAAAGCUGGAACCUUUUCAAAAUCCGGCAUAAGAUAACCAUUUCAGAUGAUUUCCUGUAUCAUCUGAUUGACCCUAACCACAUGUGAUACUAAAUCACCAUCAUGCCACCGAUAAUUAGCUAACUCUAUCAUCAGCCUUUUAAGUCUUGCAUUUCCCUCGUCCGUUCUCGGGAUUGCAGGUAUCCUUGCAUAACGCACCAUAGUUCCUGCAACAAAUGCAGAACUAAAAAUGGAGUACUUAUAAUCCAUAAUGUACAUAAGGGAAAAUACAUAAUUUUCCAUGAUUCAUGCAGCAAAUGCAGAAUAAACAAUGGAUUACUUAUAACUCACAUAGGCAUGAUUGAAAAAGAAACAAAUUCUUUUUUUUUUUUUUUGGGGUCAACGGUCCACGGUCGACGGUCGACGGUCGCCGGGUCAACGGGCGGCGGGUCGGGUUGGUUGGACCGGUCGGGACUGUCGGACCGGUCGGACCGGUCGGGACGGUCGGACAAGUCGGGCCGGGUCGGACGAACCGACCGGCACGUGCCGCAUGCGUGCGCGGGCUGACGUCACGCAGACGUGAGCCGGCAUGUGCGUGGCAUGCGCCAGGCUUCCGCUCAUGUCGGGUCGGGUCGGGUCGUCGGCCGGUAAUCGACCGGCCAAUGGUCGUCGACGAUGACGUCAUCGGUGACGUCAGCACGCGUCGGUUCGCCGACCGGCGCGUGCCGGUUCGCCGGCCGGUGGCGCGCACGUGCCGGUUCGCCGACCGGCGCGUGUGGCGCACGCGCUAGCCGAGCCAGUGCUUUAGGCGCGUGGCACCCACGCGCAACGGCUUCUGGUUGCGCGUGUGGGCGCGUCCAGCGUCUCCCAGCGACGCACGACCCGUCGAUGGACUCGUCUCGACGAGCUCUUUCAUCCUAUGUUUUCAGAAAUCGAUUUCGACUUACAGAAACUCAAAAAAAUGGACGAACAGUGCUUGGGUGUCGGGAUUUCUCGCCCCGAUCCGUGUCAGCCGAAUAUUUUCGCGAAAAAUCAAUCAAAAAACAUCAAAGGGAUCGGGAAAACAUGAACUAGGGCUCUGAUACCAAUGUUAGGAAUAACGGAUCCCCAAAAACUGGAUUCGACACUAAAUCGAACCCCUAAAACGAAUGCGGAAGACAAGCCCGGGAAAAUAACACGUAUCACCGAUCCUAAAGCACACCAAGGAUUCGAGCGUACCUUGUUAGCCACAGAUUAAACACCAACGCCGAUAAGAGGAAGAGAAUUCGGUCCUGUUCGAUCCGAUGACGUCAAUUUGCCUUGAAGGGAAAACGGGGUCGCCUUUAGCGUUUUCUUUAUUUUGGAGGGAGAGAGGGAGAGAAUACGUACGCUACUUUUUUUUGCCAAAAGGUGCGUUCUCCCUCUCUCUCUCUCAUCCCUUUUAUACCUCCCUCCAUCCACGGGCCCUAUUCCUGUGGGCCGGGCUUUUAGGCCCAACAUGGGCAGACAGACCUUAAGCCUAUCACUAAUAAAACUAUCAAAGCUGAUAAGAGUUAAGAAAGAGAAUUGGGAUAAGACCCACGAAGGAAUUCUCACCAUAGAAUCUAGGUUGAGUUCCUUAAAAAAUGCAGUCCAUUAAAUCAGAUAAAAAUAUAUAAGAAUACGGGACAGGUAGAGUUUAAUUUUCGGGACUAGGCGGUAAUUCGUCGAUAUUUUUUUUAUAUAUUGAUGAAUUGACCAAGCAAGUAUAUCAGCUCUAAUUAAUGAACAAAGUGUUAGUAAGCUUUUGCCCAAAUAACAAAUUAGGUGUCAAUGGUCAAGUUGCCUAAUUUUGUAUUCCAUUUCAAUCCAUCUUAUCUAUUGCAGCCUAGUAUAUUACUUAGAAAGGUCAGACUCAUCAUAGCUGAAAAAUCCUUACCCGCUAUAAUUUACCUCAAAUAAAUUUUCAUUUUAUCUCGAAUCACGUUGUUUUAAUACUAAGACACAAGAACACACCAAAAUUUGCAGUCAGUGAAUUCAAAUUUACGAGUUUUAUGCUUGCAGAUUCAGUCACCGGAAUCGAUACGAUGUUGUUGUAUAUAACUUGGCGGAUGAAAUGAUUAAGCUAUACUUUGGGAAAGUAUUGCGAAAGCUCUAGAAAUACGAACUGUUGGGACGGUGCAAUACAAAUUAGAUACCUUUAUUUGGAAAUUUACAGAAAGAAAAAGAGCUCACAAUCCGAGCUCGUUAACAAAUCCCAGUAGAUGACGAUGAUUUUGGUAGAUCUAGGCUCUAACAUUCAUCGGCAGUAUUGCGCAUGCAUGUUAAAAACCAAUAAGGAAGUUUUAACAUUAUAUUUAGUCUUUUUCAAUGAAGUCGUUUGGGACAGAAGUUGGGGCGUCACGACCCAGCACUAGUCACCAGUGAGCCAAGUUCAUCUACGGACAGGCCGAUUGUGAUUACCUUACCAAUGUUGCUAGUCGAGGUAGAAGUAAACUCCAAACAUUUACUUCCUAUUUCGAAGAGAAAAUCAUUCUUUUACACUAGAAGUUCUGAUUUUUUUUCUUCACAAGUCACAAAAUCUGCGCUUCGCAUAGGCAUACCUGGAUAUAAAUGUUUUAUCUGCAUAUAUUGGUAUUUUUACAAGUUACCUUUAUCCGUGUUAGCAUGUAAGCGUAGUUACUUAAAAUCUCGACAACGUUGGUACUUGUGUUAUUUUUCCCAAUGUGUUGGGUCUAUAUCAAUGCAUAAAUACUAUUAAAAAAAAAAAACACUUACGACUUACGAUCCUUAAAAACCGAGCUUCUGAAGGAAGAAAUUGAAUCUAGUUCUUCAAGAUACAAGUCAGCAACACACACCUAUAUCCAGCACAUAUUGAGAAGCAAUUCUCCAUGAAAACAAGCUUGAAUCAAGCUGGAACUUGUUGAUUCUCACCUCAAUUGAUGAACUAAUUCGUCAUACCAAAAGCAUCAUCUUCUUGCAUAAACAUGACAAAUCAAGCUUCAUCUCCAUGGAAACCCCAAAAUCAUCUUCUCGAUUUGUCCCUCUUUACUCCGUCCCCUUCUUUCUAUUUUUAUUUUUCCUUUUUCUUCUCUCUCCCUUGUCUUGCUUGUCUCCACUACAACAAGGAGACCCAAUUAGAUUAGCCACCUUAAUGAAUCAGUAAAUCCAAUUAACUAUCCAGGUGCCCAAGAUAGACUUUAAAACCAAGAUAUAAUGGACUAACGUAUUUAGAUGCUUCAUUCGCCACUUUCUAGAAAUCAAAGAAACCGUGUAAAAUUGUUAUUCAUUAUUCAAUUUAUGGAUCCACUUUUAUUUCUUGAGCAUUUACAUAAUUUACGUAAAUAUGAGGCACUUUUCAAAUGUUCGCUAAACAUUAUAUUUACAUGGAACCACGAAAUCAACCGGUCUUAUCCCAAGUUGCAAAAAUAUUCCUUAUUGUCAUAACCUCAUAAUGUCUCAUAUGAAUGUCCACAUGUCACUAGGUGUCAAAAUUUCAGCCUACAAACACUAUUAAUGAGUUACCCUCAAUGUUGAGCAAACAAAUUAUCGACGAACAAGUAAUUGCCCACCUCUUCUUGGUCGGCCACUUUAUAGGAAUCAAAGAAAGCAUAUAACAGCAGUAUUAGUUAUUAAUUUAUAAAUACACUUCUAAUUCUCGGUCACUUUUUUUAUUUGUAUAAAUAUGAGGCACUUUCCGAGAUUCAAGAGAUGACUAUCAUGACGUAGCACUUUUUCCAAUGUGGCAUUUAAUUAUAGGUGUAAGCGAUAAAGACCGAAAGCCCAAAUUGGACCGGCUAGAAUAGGCCCCCAUGGGAUUUCGGGCUCCCUCUUUUUUCAGGCCAGUCCGAGCCUUCAAGCUUGAGAUGCUCAAGCCUAAAAUGGCCCAUCUCCAAAUUAAUUUUUUAACAAUAGACUAUGCAAUAUAGGUAUAAAAUCUAAAAACUUUAGAAAGUUUGUUAUUUAUGUUCAAAAUAGUUUAAUAAAGUCAUGAACGAGUUCAAAAUAGUUAGAUAAUAAAGUGAUUUUUUAGGCAAAAAAUAUAUUUAUUUAUUUAUUUUAAGUCCAGAAACAGAAAAAUUUUGGCUAGGCCUGAGGGGAUGUUUGAGAGGACAUUUGUUACAACAUUGAAAAGAAAAAUAACAAUAUAAGAAGUUAAAUUUUGUUUAAUUGAUCCUACCCUUUUAUGUUUAAUUCCCAUUUUAAUAUAAUCUUUAGAUUGAUUACUGACUUCACACCUUUUUUAUGAUAUGGCCAAGCCAUGCAGCCACCGUGUCAUUUAGUAAGAAAUUUACAUGUAACAUUACUCUUGAAAUACUUGUCUGACUAUGCCCACUGAAACAUUGCAUUUCUAGACACUUGACAAGUUGGGGCAACAUUUUAAAAUGCAAUGGGUGUUCAUGCCAAUCUGGUGCAUCAUAGUUCUCAACUGGGGUGGUUAAUUUUCACGUGAGACUAAUGGACAUACUCCCCUAGUGAUCGUAUUGGCCAAGAACUCUUGAAUUUUCUUGAUUGGAAUAUUUCUCAUAAUUAGGUUCAAUAGUCUCUUAAAAUUGUUAAUUAUCCUAGAGAUUUCACCGCAAAAGCCUUUUUUUAUGCAUCGUUUACAAAAGCUCUUGAAGAAGAAUCCACUCCAAUGGAAAAGAGAGCAUACCGGUGCAGUUGUGGUGCUAAAAGAGAAAUUGAUGCAUCUUCCCCCACUGUCAGUUCCUUUUAAUGGCAAGCGAAUCUUGUGAAUUGAUGAUAGUGAAAAGUUUUGGACAGUAAUUUUGCUUGAAGAAGUCAAGGAAAGAGAUACAUCUAUGAACAAAAGAGCGGACGGUUUUCACCUGUUGAACUUCACUACCACUCUACAUUCAAAGAAACUUUAGCCGUCAAAUAUGAAAUAAAGGAAUUCGAAUUCAAUAUGAUUGGUUAUCAUUUCUCUAUCAAAUAUAUAUAUAUAUAUAUAUAUAUAUAUAUAUAUAUAUAUCUGUCCUUUCCCCAUCCAAAAUGAAGUUUAAAGCCAAACUAUUUUCUCAUCCUCAACUUAUUUGAUGCGUAGAAUAGUUUUCCAAAUAUUCUUUUGAAACCAAACCCAUUAAAUGAGAGAAGAACCUCCUCGUAAAUCUUCUCUGAAGACCCAAAGACUUCUCAUCCUUUUACAUGUUCACUUUUGACCGAUUGUGAAUUGAUAGCAUAAGGGAAGGGUGAAAAGAGCCCCAUCAGGGUGAUAUGCCCAAUGUCCUCCUUGAAAACCACAAUACUUUCCUCGUCAGACAAUAUUUUUCUACAAGUCAAGGAAAGAGAUACGUCUAUGAACAAAAGAGCAGACGGUUUUCACCUGCUAAACUUCACUGCCACUCUACAUUCAAAGAAACUUUAGCCAUCAAAUAUGAAAUAAAGAAAUUCGAAUUCAAUAUGAUUGGUUAUCAUUUCUCUAUCAAAAAAAAAAAAAUUGUCCUUUCCCCAUCCAAAAUGAAGUUUAAAGCCAAACUAGUUUCUCAUCCUCAACUUAUUUGAUUGGUAGAAUAGUUUUCCAAAUAUUCUUUUGAAACCAAACCCAUUAAAGGAGAGAAGAACCUCCUUGUAAAUCUUCUCUGAAGACCCAAAGACUUCUCAUCCUUUUACAUGUUCACUUUUGACCGAUUGUGAAUUGAUAGCGUAAGGGAAGGGUGAAAAGAGCCACAUUAGGGUGAUAUGCCCAAUGUCCUCCUUGAAAACCACAAUAUGUUCCUCGUCAGACAACAUUUUUCUACAAGUCAAGGAAAGAGAUACAUCUAUGACAAAAGAGCGGACGGUUUUCACCUGCUGAACUUCACUACCACUCUACAUUCAAAGAAACUUUAGCCGUCAAAUAUGAAAUAAAGGAAUUUGAAUUCAAUAUGAUUGGUUAUCAUUUCUCUGUCAAAAAGAAAAAAAAAUCUAUCCCUUCCCCAUCCAAAAUAAAGUUUAAAGCCAAACUAGUUUCUCAUCCUCAACUUAUUUGAUGGGUAGAAUAGUUUUCCAAAUAUUCUUUUGAAACCAAACCCAUUAAAGGAGAGAAGAACCUCCUUGUAAAUCUUCUCUGAAGACCCAAAGACUUUUCAUCCUUUUACGUGUUCACUUUUGACCGAUUGUGAAUUGAUAGCGUAAGGGAAGGGUGAAAAGAGCCCCAUUAGGGUGAUAUGCCCAAUGUCCUCCUUGAAAACCACAAUACUUUCCUCGUCAGACAACAUUUUUCUACAAGUCAAGGAAAGAGAUACAUCUAUGAACAAAAGAGCGGACGGUUUUCACCUGCUGACUUUCACUACCACUUUACAUUCAAAGAAACUUUAGCCGUCAAAUAUGAAAUAAAGUAAUUUGAAUUCAAUAUGAUUGGUUAUCAUUUCUCUGUCAAAAAAAAAAAAAUCUAUCCGUUCCCCAUCCAAAAUGAAGUUUAAAGCCAAACUAGUUUCUCAUCCUCAACUUAUUUGAUGGGUAGAAUAGUUUUCCAAAUAUUCUUUUGAAACCAAACCCAUUAAAGGAGAGAAGAACCUCCUUGUAAAUCUUCUCUGAAGACCCAAAGACUUCUCAUCCUUUUACAUGUUCACUUUUGACGGAUUGUGAAUUGAUAGUGUAAGGGAAGGGUGAAAAGAGCCCCAUCAGCGUGAUAUGCCCAAUGUCUUCCUUGAAAAUCACAAUACUUUCCUCGUCAUACGACAUUUUUCUACAUGUGAUAAUAAUAAAUGCUAAACAUAUUGUAACUGUGAAUGCAUUGAAAAUUUGGGCCUCCUUCCUUCAUUGGAAAUCUGGCUUCUUCACAAAUAGAGUGUUUGUAGAUAGCUUGUAGCUAGAAUUUUUGUAGUACAUAACACCUUGUAAGGAGCACUUCUAUCUAAUUUUUCCCCUAAUAAAUACAAUCUCAUAAACUUGUCCCUUGAAGAGGAUAUUUGUACUUUGCAAGUAUAGCCAGGCAUGUUUUCAAUUGAAUGAGAUCAAUUGAAUACACUAUAUCUCAUAAUGAGCUAGGGCAGCAAUGACAAAAAUAACAUAAAAUGCAGUUGAUGGAAUGUUUAGUCUUCAUCUCCAUGGACUUCUCAAUCCCUCCCAUAAUUGACGGAAAACAUGAGGCACCAAUUCGUCCAGUCUUUGACCUUCAGUUUGUCAAUUUGUCCUUUUUUGGAUUUUGUCCUCCCUUUCUUUUCUUUUUUUAUCACCUUAAAUAUUAGUGUACAAAACCACAUAGCAAACUACGAGUGGAUAAUAAAUCAUAUUUAAUGCAUCUUCCGUCGUUGCCUGAUCUUUAUGAUGGCAAGCGAAUCUUGCGAAAUUGAUGAUAGUGAAAAGCAUUGGACAAUAAUUUUGCUCGAAAAAGUCAAGGAAAGAGAUACAUCUGUGAACAUAAGAGCAGAGGGUUUUCACUUGCCGAACUUCACUACCACUCAACGUUCAAAGAACAUUAGCCUUCAAAUAUGAAAUAAAGGAAUUCGAGUUCAAUAUAAUUGGUUAACAUUUCUUUGCCUGAAAAAAAAAAGAAGAAGAAAAAGGCCAUCCUUUCCCCAUCCCAAAUGAAGUUUAAACCCAAAUUAGUUUCUUAUCCUCAACUUGUUUGAUGGUUAGAAUGGUUUUCAAAGUACUCUUUUGAAAUCAAACACAUUAAAGAAGAAAAAACAUCUUCAUAUAUCUUCUUUCAAGAACCAAAGACUUCUCAUCCUUUUAUAGGUUCGCUUUUGACCAAUUGCAAAUUAGUAUCGAGAGGGAAGGGUGAAAAUAACUCCAUUGGAGAGAUUAGCCCUAUGUCCUUAUUGAAAUCCAGAAUACUUUCCUUGUUAGACAACAUUUUUCUACAUGUAAUAACAAUAAACACUAAACAUAUUGUAAAUGUAAAUGCAUUGAAAAUCUGGGCCUCCUUCCUUCAUUAGGACUUUGGCUCCUGCACAAUAGUACCGUGUUUGUAGAUAGAUUGUAACUAGAAUUUGGCUAGUACAUAACACCUUGUAAGGAGUAGUUCUAUCUUAAUUUUUCCCUAAUAUAUAGAAUCUCAUGAACUUGUCGCUUGAAGAGAAUAUUUGUACUUUGCAAGUAUAGCUGGGCGUGUUUUCAAUUGAAUACAUUGGAUGUGAUAAUGAGCUAGGGCUAGCAACAAAAAGAACAUGAUAAAACACAUUUGAUGGAACAUGAGGCACCAAUUCAUGAGGAGUUAAGAUAUAUGAAAGUUAUGACAUUCAAGUGGUCGAAAAAAAGUUUAUGACACUAAAGUGAUCGUCAUACCAAAGUUUUGGUACUUAUAAUGUUCUUUCCCAACAAAGUUUGUUAAAAAGGGAAAAGAGAGGGGCAACUUUAAUAAAAUGAGAUAUAGUUUUCUAUUCCCUUGUCAUUCCUUCUCAAGAUUACAUGAAAGUCCUCUCAAGCAUUAUUACAAGCUGCCAUUGAAUUUUUGCUGGAGAAUCGUCGAAGCUAAUCAAAUAGUUUUUAACUUGUCAUAACAAAAUAUAUUGUAAUUAUACAUUUCUCACAUUGAUCUUCAUUAUUUCACCCACAGUUAUUUUAUUUUUAUUAAUUCGAUUUCACUAGAGUCAAAAUUCUCGCUAAAAUAAGAUCCAUGAAGAUGGAGAUUUGUCAAUGUAACCUCCUGAGAUUAAUUUCAUUUGACUUUUGUAUGCUUAAUAGAUUGUUGGACCCCUUCUAUCAUUUGGUAGUUGCAUGUAGAUCUUCUUGAAAACUAAAAUUUGUUUGAUCAUCCUUAUAAAGUUCGAAUAUGUUCAAUUCCUUUAUGGCCCCUUUACUUCUUGUGCUUGCAUUCAAAAGAUGUUCAGAGCAUACUUCAGUGUCAGCUUGAGACGAACUCGAGAGGAGAUCUGUUACAACAUUGGAAAGAAAGAUAAACAUAAUGAGAAGCUAAUUUCUUAUACUUGAUCUUACCCCGUUUAUUUCUUUUUUCCCUUUUUCACAAUCUUUAGUUUCCUCUCUCACAAUCUCUUCCACAUCAUCCUUAUCUUAAAUGGAGUCCAAAAAUUAAGUUACAUACUGGUGAAGCAAAUUGACCUCAAAUAAGAUAUUUCAGAUCUAAUUCAUAUUUAUGUUUUUGAAAAGGUUUGAUCAUAAUAAGUGCGACAUUUUAAAACUAAGCUAUAUUGUCACGAAAAGUGAUUUUUUGCAGAUUUUGUGAAGAUUAUUCUGAACAACUUAUCUUGAACCAAAAUAGAAGAAAUGAACAAGUAACACUAUUUAAUAGUCGCUAAAGUAGCAUGGGCAUAAUUUGAGAGGGGACACAUUGAAUACGCAUUUGAUGGAAUGUUCGGUGAUCGUCUCAAUGUGCUUGUCAGUCCUCACGUAAUUGAUGGGUUACUAAUUGACUAAACAAGUUCAUCACUGUUUAAUAAAAAGUGAUAGGAUAUGAUGGAGAAAAGCCACUUUUCUGUAAUUUUUUUGAAAAAAUUCAAAUGUUAAUUAAAACUAUGUACAUAUAUACAUGUAUGUGUAUAUAUAUGUAUAUAUGUUAGGGCAACAUUUUAAAAUGCACUGGAUUCAUGUCAAUCUAAUGCAUCAUAGUUCUCAACUGGGGUUGUUAAAUUCAAUGUGAGAUUUACAUAAUCUAAAUUUAAUUAGACUCAUAUGAGUUCAAUGGACAUAUUACCAUAGUGGUCCUAUUGGCCAAGAAGUCUGAGAGUUUCUUGAUUAGAAUAUUUCUCAUAGGGAAGUUCAACAAUUUCUUAGGAUUGUCAAUCAUCUUAGAGAUUCCGUACCAAAAGCCUCUAAAUUUAUGCAUGCAUUGCAAUAAGCUCUUGAAGAGGAAUCCACUCCCAUGGGAAAGAGAGCAUAUCAAUGCAAUUGAGGUGUCAAAGGAGAAGUUGUUGUAUCUUCCCCCAUUGCAAGUUCCUUCUGAUGGCAAGCGAAUCUUGGGAUCUGAUGAUAGUGAAAAGUAUUGGAUUGUAGUUCUGCUUGAAGAAAUUGAUGAAAGAGAUAUAUCUGUGAACAUAAGAGGAAACGGUUUUCACCCGCCGAACUUCACUACCACUCUAUAUUGAAAGGAACCUUAGCCAUUAAUUAUGAAAUUAAGGAAAUAAAAUUCCAUCUUAUUGUUUAGCAUUUCUUUGUCAAAAUAAGAAGUCAUCCUUUCCCCAUAUGAUGAAGUUUAAAGCCAAAAUAGUUUCUUAUCCUCAAUUUGUUCGAUGGUUAUUAUGAUUUUCAAAACACUCUUUUGAAAUCAAACACAUUAAAGUAGAGAAGAACAUCCUUGUAGAUCUUCUUUCAAGACACAAAGACUUCUCAUCCUUGCACAUAUUCACAUUUGACUGAUCGUGAAUAAGUACCGUGAAGGAAGGGUGAAACGAACUCCAUGAGGGUGAUAUGCCCAAUGUCCUCCUUGAAAACCACGAUACUUUCCUCAUUUGAUGACAUUUUCUACAUGUAAUAAUAGUAGAUGCUAAACAUAUUGUAAGUGUGAAUGCAUUGAAAAUUUGGGCCUCCUUCCUUCGUUGGAACUUUGGCUUCUUCACAGUAGUAGCGUGUUUGUAGGUAGAUUGUAGCUAGAAUUUCGGUAGUACAUAACACCUUGUAAGGAGCACUUUCUAUCUGAAAUUUUUCCCCUAAUAAAUAAAAUCUCGUGAACUUGCCGUUUCAAGAGAAUAUUUGUGAUUUGUAAGUAUAGUCGGGCGUGUUUUCAAUUGAAUGAGAUCGAUUGAAGACACUGGAUAUAAUAAUGAGUUGGGGCCCAACAAGAAGAGCAUAAUAAAAUGCAUUUGAUGGAAUGUUCAGUCUUCGUCUCCUUGGACUUCUCAAUCCUCCCGUAGUUGACAGGGAACAUGAAGCACUAAUUUGUCCUUUAUUUGGUUUUGUCCUCCCUUUCUUCUUUGUUGUUACUCUCAACUUUUUUAUGGUGUUUCCCAUUAGAUGAUGCUAUGCUAUAUGUUAAUAUUAGUAUACUAAACCGCACAGCAGACUAUGAGUGUACUAUAAGUCAUAUUCGAUAACUAAUAACAAUAUGUCAUGUCAAAUUCAUAAAACAAUCUUAGCAUCGACAUUUUUUUUUUUAUCGUAAAAUUGAAAGCUAGCAAGACACUAAAAUAAGAGAAGCACUACAUGUACUGAGACUUUACUUGAGUUUCUCAGUAAAUGAAAUGGUGCACUGUGCUGUACAGCAUGUUGUCAAAUAAGAGUGGAAUCGACGUUAGUUUGUAAAAAGGGGAAAAGUGAUAAAUGGGGCAAGUUCAAUUAAAGGAAAUUUUGUGGCAAAAAUAUUAAAGGAAAUUUUGCCAGCCUUCUAAUAUUCAGUGCAAUCUGUAAUAUGCUUUGUUGGCUAUACUUCUUGGCCAUACUGAUAAUUAAAAUGCCUGUAUAACCCUUAACAUCAGCUAUAUGAGGCGAGGUGACGUUUGAAUAAAAGGCAAAGUCGGAAGAAGGGAAUUAUUCCCAAACCUCCGCUCUGUUCUCCUUGAUUUCUUACCGAUCUUUCUCUUCUAGGUCUAGUGACAUUGGAAGGAUAAAAUUGCAAUUUUGAUCAUAUAAGAUGAGUUGGUUCGACAAGUCUGCUCUCUAUUUGUUAUUCAAAUCCUACGGAUGAGAAAGCUUUUCCAAGGCCAUGAAGCCUUUGGUUGAAGGCUAAUGAUAUUUUGGAGACCAUCAAGCAGUUUCAUUUAAGGACUAAAAGAGGAAAGGGCAUGCGUGCUAGGAUAACAUACAUGUCCCAAAUUUCAUUAGUCUUCCUCUUGUUUUAUGGUUAUAUGCAUUGUUAGCUUAUUCCAUUUCUCUUUUUUUUUUUCCUAUGGGGUAAUUGUCGUCAAUUACAUGUCAUUUCUGUUGAAAUAAGUUACAUGUCCCUAUCCUAUUCCUCUUCCCAAUCGUUAUUAAAUUGAUGGGAAAUAUGAGGCACCGGUUAUUAAAUUAUGGCUUGAGUUUGAACUAGGUACGAGAUCCAACUCAUUUAAAGGAUUCUGAUUUCAAAAUAUGGUGUUCCUUUUUAAUCAGUAUCAUAUUUUGAUUUGUUGGGCGGUGCUACUUAACUAUUAAAUGUAUUUAAGGUUUGGUUCUGUUGAAGAUAAAUAUCCAAGUUUAACCGAGGGAGCAAACAUUAGUCGGACGCCACUCAACGCGUACAGUUUUAGGCCUUUUCUAAUAUCCUGAAGAAGACGUACUGCUGAAGUCUCUAUUUUAUAUCCCCGCGCGAGAGGACUCUCUCUUUAGCGAAGAAAAGAAGGGGACGCACCAGUAACGCUUUCUUUGAUCGCACGGAGUUCUACAAUCGGUGGAUUUUGUGACGCGAGUGCAUAAUGAGUCGUUCUAUUAAUAAACACUGUGAGUUUAGAUGUAAUCAACUCGUGGAAAACACUUGAACUUGCAAGUAAUUGUAACUCUAUUUUUCUCCGAUUUUUAGUGGAUUAUAGCUGCUUACUCUCCUAGCUGCAUAGAUAUCGAUUUUCGGACUGAAUCACAAAAAUCUCAAGAGUUCUUCAUUGUUUCUCAUUUAUUUUCUCUGCGAUUUCGCAUUAAUUAAUUACAAAAUUUGGUUAGUUUCCACAUUAUUUUAUAAUAAUUUAUUCAAUCUUCAGUCUUCAGUCUUCAGUCUUCAGGAGAGAGAAAGUUUACGGAACUUCCCAUGAUGGAGUUAGUCAAUAAUUGAUUUGUGCAUAGAGAGAGGAGGUUUAUAAAUUCAGCUCAGACUGAAAGUGGAUCACUGAACGAGAUGGGGAAGCACCUAUUUCUUAUUCUCAACUCUAUUCUCUUGUGGUGGUGGAGCUCAAUCACAAUCUCCAAAGCAUACUCACAAAACCAAACGGAUCGGUUCGCGUUAGCCUUCUUAAAAAACGCAAUACACAAAGACCCAUUUGGGGUCUUGAGCUCUUGGAAUGAUUCUACUCAUCAUUGUGAGUGGCAAGGUGUUUUGUGCAGCAAAAGACAUCUUGGGAGGGUCACAUCUCUGGUCCUGAGAUCACAAGGCUUGGAUGGCUUUCUAUCUCCUCAUGUAGGUAACCUCUCUUUUCUGAGGGUCAUAUUUCUGCAGAACAACAGCUUCCACGGCGAAAUCCCACCACAGAUCAGCAACUUGCUUCGGCUACAUGUUCUUAUUCUUAGUAACAACUCAUUUGGUGGGCCGAUACCCUCCAAUCUUUCCCGUUGCUUGAACCUCGAGAACCUGAAUCUCAUAGAUAACCAACUUGUGGGGAGAAUUCAUUCCGAUCUUGGUUCUUUAACAAGACUUAAACUCUUGGGCUUGUCUCGAAACAGACUUGUAGGUCCUAUUUCUCGUUCGAUUGGAAACCUCUCACUGCUACAACAGCUCUCCCUGAAAGAUAAUGUGUUAAGCGGAGGAAUACCUGAGGAAUUGUCCAGACUUAAGAGAUUGACGUUUUUCCAACUAGCUUCCAACAAAUUAACCGGUGAGGUUCCAGCAGGGAUUUUAAACAUCUCUGACAUUAUAUUAUUCAGUGUUAGUUUUAACCAGUUGCGGGGAAGAUUUCUCAAUGAUGUCGGCACCGCUUCUCCUUCUCUCUAUGGCCUUAGCGCCCAGAAUAACUUGUUCACCGGGACGAUUCCGUCAACGUUAUCGAAUGUCAUAGGUCUUGAGGAACUUUACCUUGCCAACAACAAUUUUCAUGGGCCAAUACCGAAAAAUCUAGGAAGGCUAAAGGGCCUUUAUACAAUUGAAUUGGGUUAUAACCACUUGCAGGAUGAUUUGAGUUUUAUUUCUUCUUUAGUUAAUUGUUCCAAUGUUAACAGUAUCGGGAUGGCAGUUAACUUGAUUCACGGAUCGUUGCUGAGAUCCUUCUCCAAUCUCUCCGCCAGAAUUGAGCGGAUUUCUAUGUCAAACAAUCAGAUCCAAGGAUCUAUUCCUUUAGCCCUCGGAAAUCUUUUCAAUUUGACUUUCUUGGAUUUAAGAAAUAACUUUUUAACUGAUUGCAUUCCUCAUUCCAUCGGACCACUUUCCAACUUGCAUAAACUUGGUUUAGGCGGGAACAUGUUGACGGGAGAGAUACCGUCUUCAAUGGGUAACAUUACGUUGUUAAAUGUCCUUCACCUUUCCUCCAACUUUUUCCAAGGCCACAUACCGCAAAGUCUCGGCAACUGCAAGCAAUUAAUUGGGCUUGCUCUUUCAAAUAAUAACCUAAUUGGCUCUGUUCCUGUCGAAAUCAUGGAUCUUUCUUCCUUAUCGAUCAUCCUUAAUUUAGCAAAUAAUAAUUUAAGUGGAUCUCUUCCAUUGCAAGUUGGAUCUUUAAAGAAUCUUGGCGUAUUAGAUCUAUCUCACAACAGACUGACCGGCUUAAUUCCGGCAUCCAUCAGCGAGUGCUUGGUAUUGGAAGGACUUUACUUAGAAGCUAAUUCUUUUCAUGGUGAAAUCCCCGAAGCUUUACGUCCAUUACGGGGUCUACAAGAGCUGGACCUUUCCAAUAAUAAUUUUUCUGGUCCAAUCCCGAGCUUUCUCGCAGGGCUCUUACUACUAAAGUACUUGAAUUUGACCUUCAAUCAACUAGAAGGACAAAUUCCAAAAGGUGGAGUUUUUCUUAAUGGGAGUGCUGUAUCGAUUUAUGGAAAUACAGAACUCUGUGGAGGUGUUCCCAGUUUGAAGCUUUCUCUUUGCAAAUCAUCAAGCUCUUAGAAGUCUUCUUCAACCAAGGCCAAAGUAAUAUAUGUGGUAGCUGGCAGUUUGUUAUGUUUAGCUUUGUUGCUCCUAUGUAUGUCUAUCUUUUAUCGCAAAAAGAAGCAGACGACAACCAAUGCCUCCACUUCAUUAUCUUUCGAGAACCAAUUCUUGAGGAUUUCUUAUGAAGAACUCCUGAGAGUGACUAAUAGAUUCUCUGAGACCAAUUUGAUUGGUAAAGGGAGAUAUGGCACGGUUUAUAAGGGGAUUCUUGAUGGAGGUGCCACGGUGGCAAUGAAGGUGCUCAAUCUAAUGCAAAGAGGCGCUUCAAAGAGCUUUAUCACUGAAUGUCGAACUCUAGGAACCAUUAGACACCGAAACCUCGUGAAGAUACUAAGUGUCUGUUCGAGCGUGGACUUUUGUGGCAAUGACUUCAAAGCUCUAAUAUAUGAGUUCAUGGCUAAUGAGAGCUUGGAGGAGUGGCUGCACCCUGGAACCAUAGGACGAGAUGGUGAGUGUAGCGAAUCGAGAAAUCUGAGACUAGUGCAAAGAUUAAACAUCGCCAUUGACAUAGCUACCGCGAUCGAGUAUCUCCAUGAGGGUUGCUAUCCAGCCAUCGUCCAUGGAGAUCUGAAGCCGAGUAAUGUGCUUCUGGGCAACGACAUGAUGGCUCGAGUUGGAGAUUUCGGGCUUGCAAAGAUCAUUUCAACGGUGUCUACCGAAGCCAUAGGAGUUCAAGACCAAGGUAGUUCAACUUCAACCGUAGUCAGAGGAUCCAUCGGCUAUGUGCCUCCUGGUAUAAAACUGUCAUAUUUUCUUGAUUAGUUUUUAUUUGAUUGCGAUAGUAAUAUGUGAGUGCCAAAAGUUUGACUAAACGAUUAUUCUUGACAUUAUGUUAUGAUUUGUAUGCUCUAACACCUCUUUCUCACAACUCAAUUCCUCUUUCCGCUAUUAAUAGCUUCCACAGAAAAAGAAAAUACGUAUCUUUUUGUACGAAAAGAUUAAAAGUAGCUUGCCCUAAUCAUAUUUUAAAUUAAGAUGAGAAUAAACCAUCGUAAUUUUGAUCAAUGAGUGGAAAAUUUUUAAUCCAUGUGAAUAAAUAGAUUAAGCAUAUUGUAUCAUCUCAUAUUUAUAUUUUCUUUUUAUAAUUCAUAUUUUGUCUCAUAUCAUGUUCAUGCCAUUAAAACAGAUUGCGAAUCUCUUUUGGAAUGUUAUGACUUAAGGUCUUAACAAUAAGUAGUUUUUCCUUUAUGAAAUACUCUUUCAUGACCAAUAAUUUAGUAUUUGAAAAAUAUAUUAGAUGACAAGACAUUUAUGCCAGAAACUGUUGGAGGAUACACUAAUUGACAACACAAUGGGCUCUACCCAACUAUCACUUCUCCUAAACUUAUUGGUCAGAGCAUAUUAGACAAAUUUACGCAUUUACAGGUAUAAAUCCAUCACUGUCAACAAAUCACCCUAAGUCUGUUCUUUUCCCCCCACUGUGUUCGUUUUUUGCCUGUUCUUUUAGGCAUUUUUUUUCUCGUCUUUGCAUAAAAGAAAGUGUGGUAUAGGUAUUAAACAUAAUUUGUAUCAUGAAAAUGAUUAGCCUCACAUGGAUCCCAUAUGUUUCCAGUCAAAAAACAAACUAUUCAAAUUCAGUUAACACAUAGACUUCUGCCAAGGCCUUCACCCAACAUAUUUUCUUCUCUUUCUAUUUUCAGCCGUAUCCUACUAGAGGACAAAACCACUUUUGAUGUUUAGGCAAUUUGUGUAGCAAACAUGAGACAACUUUUGUUGCACUUAGUAGUUUUGGAGAAGAAGUUUAUACAUCGUUAAUUGACCUUUGGUGCACUUUAUGAAUUCUAAAAUCCUAUUUCUCUACCAUUAAUGCAUUUCUCAACGGUUGAUGCACUUUAUAAGAGUUCAUACAACAAGCGCCAAACAUCAGCCAUAUAUAGGAAACUAAACGAAAAAUUAAACAGAGAGAAAUGAAAGCAAAAAACCAGUAGGGGGCUUUGAGACCCUUGGCCUUGCUCAAAGGAUCCCAUGGCCUCUGCCAUGCAUAGUGGGCCCGAUUGUGAAGUGAGUGAGGGCUUGCAAGCCAUCUCUCUAUGUUGGAUGUGACAGGCACGAUCCCUCACAAUUUUCUUUGGCAAGCUCUUGCAAAUGGACAUCAAGCAAAAUCCCAUGUGACUUAGAAGCUUUUUAUAAACAAUUGACUUCAAGAAAAAGUGUAUGUUUGUUCCUAUUAAUGUUUUGAUGAAAUUUUCAGAGUAUGGCAUGGGACACAAGGUUUCCACACUUGGGGAUGCAUAUAGUUACGGCAUUCUAUUAUUGGAGAUGUUCACAGGAAAGAGACCCAUUGAAGAUGCGUUUGGGCACCAUCUUAACCUCCACAACUUUGUCCGAAUGGCUCUUCCGGAUCGAGCAAUGGACAUUAUAGACUUGAGGCUUUGGAGUGAAGCUGGUGAUCGACAACAAGAGAUGAAAAUUAGAGAUUGCAUUAUCUCUGUAUUCGAAGUUGGAGUCGCAUGUUCGAUGGAAUCACCGCCGGAUCGGAUGGACAUGACUGAGGCAAUAAGGAAAUUACACUUGAUCAAGGUGAGUUACGAAGCCAAAGAGAGGAUGAUAGGUAUGUAGCUAAAUCAGUUUUCUCAUUUCAUCUUGGAACUUUUUCACUAGUAGAGAAAAUCAUCAUGCAAAGGUAGUGCUAGCAAAUUUACAUGAAUGACUCCCUAACUAGUCUACCUACCCAUACCUAUUAUGUGUGUUUUUUAUAAUUGCAUUUUAUAAUCGUUGAAAGUGGAUGUAUGGAGUUAAGUCCACCUAUUUCCACCAAGUAAUCAUGUAAAAUUUGAUGAAGUUGCUUAUUUGCCCAGUUCUCUUCAUUUCCAAUGCUAAUGUGGAUCAAUGUAUUGCUUAAUUAUCAUGGUUGGGCCAUUGCCCUUACCUCUCUCUCUGCGCACGCUUGUGUAUUAGAAUGUGACCUCACCGUGAGGUCACGAGCUCAAGGCCAACUCUUAAUGUCGUGCUUAAACGAGAGCCCACGGUCAAUUGGAGAUCAAGCUUGAUCAAAUCCAAAGGCAAGGAGAUGGAGACAACCUUAUCACAAGAUCAUGGGGUCAAGGCUAACUCUCAAUGUUGCUGUUGAGAGUGACCUCACUAUCAAUUGGAAGCCAUGCUUCAUCGAAUUUAGGCGACGUUGCCGACGAAAUUAUGUUGCAGUCAUGUUGCCAACACCAUUAGCCACCAUGCGAGACCCCCUACCUCCUCUCCAAACCUCAUUUUCUUUUAUCUUUUUUCUUUGCUAUGGCAUCAAAUUACAGAUUUUUUCUUUUUUCUUUUUUUUUUUUUUGGUCGAUACAGAUAGAGAGUUAACAAAGACAUAAAUGGGACAUGAUCAAAAAAGGAAAAUGGAUGCAUAUUUGUUGCACUUGUCGGUGUGCUUACUACAAUGUCUAAUUAUUAUCAUCAAGUCUUCCCACUCAACCAACCCUCUCUCUUUCUUCACCAUUAGCCACCGUCUCCGGCCGUUGCGGCCACCUAUCAUCACGGUCGCCUCCUCCACAUCUCACUACUUUCUCCUUCGUGUCAUCCACGACCAUCUUUGCUUUCUCUAUUUACUAACCCAAAACACUCUCUCCUUCACUGUCUCUUCUCUCAACGCCAAAUUUCUGAGGUCUCCAAACCACCAUUGAUGACCUAAUUUAGCCAUUAUGGCCUUUAAGAUCUCAUGGAAAUCUCAAUGGACAGGCUAGAUGUAGGAGGCAUCCCCAAACCUUGAGAUGGCAUUUUGAUCUCAUCAUCGUCGACAACUUGAUUGUAGAUGACGAGAGGAGCUCGACGCGAGGUCUUGAGACCCACCAAAGGCAUAAACUUGACAUUCUGGCAAGCUUGGCUACCCUCAAAUGAGAAAGGGAGAAAGAGCUAUGUGAAAGCAGGGACAGCGACCGACAUUAAAGCGAUAUGGGAGAGAGGGUGAACGGAGCAUGACACGAUCCCUUGUCAACACCAAUAGUAAAUGGUGGAGCGAAGAAGGUCAUAAUUUAUAUUGGCAGUGGAGGCACGUUAGUGACACGAGCCGCGUGUGGUUGUAGGGCUCAGUAGGGGGUGGACACAGACUAGAGGGAGAGAAAAGAAUGGCGUUGGGAUUUUGAGGAGUGAUUGGGGAAGGUGUACAAUUAACAAGAGAGACUCAUGUCUUGAUCUGGCAUUGGAGACAGCAGAUAAGUAAACCAAUGGUACAAUGGAUCUGCAUCCAAUGCCAUAGAUGUGGUGCAAAAUACAUAACACCACGGUAUAGUGACGAAAACGCUAAGCAAACAAAAACGACUCAUGGUAUGGACGGAAUAGGCUAUAUUAAGGCAAGUGCUCGUGAAAUAUAUACCAAACUGUAGGUCAACUAUCUAGUGUAACAAAGCUCAAGUUUGGCAUUAGGAUCAAAAUCAGGGGCACGCUGAAAACAUCAUGAAUUGAGAUUAGAAUAGGAACAAUCUAAUGCCAAUAUCAAGUCACAAUGUGAGAGGAUAUUGACUUUAUGUAUUGCUCAAUUGGACAAUGUAUUACACUGGAGGGAUAUUUGUAUCCAGGAUAAUAUACACAAGGAAGUAAUCUAUUAUGGGGUGUUUAACUCCAAACCAUCCCUUCUCAUUAUAUCAUGAAGCGUAAAAGUCGAAAGAACACUUUGUUCUCAUGCAUCCUUUCAUUACAAAAGCAUAUAAUCAGUUGAUGAUCAAGAACACUUAAAUCUACAAAAGCCAUUUCAAACAUUCGCAAAAUAUUGCUAAUUUGCUAGUAAUAAUCUGCUUAAGAUGCUCUUAUGAGCAACAUGUUAUACAUCCAUAUUUUUCUAAACUAGCUCAUGAAUCAUAUCAAGCUAGUCGUUUUUAUUUUCCCUUUAUUUUUUAUGUCACACCCAUUGUGACAUCCAGAUUUUCGGGUUCUAAUUUCGACUGGAUAAAUAGAGCCGUUUUCGUUCAAUUGAAGCCAUGGAUUGUGAAAUUGGGAUGCAAGUGGGCUACAUUGGUAAGGAAAAAUACCAAUUGGAAUGAUGAGGUGUUGAAUGAAAUUAUGGGAGUCAAUUUGAUUUAAUUCAAGAGGAAUUAAGGCCCAAUUGGAAAGAAAACCUAGCAAAAUUCGUAUGCCACACUUACCCCACAUUUUGGCCUAUUUAAAGGCUUCUAGAAGGGGCAUUUUUGGGCUAGAAAUGUGGGUGGAUGACAGCCCAUGGUGGCUCACGUGCGGAUGACAUAAGAGAAAGAGUGAGAGAGGAAAAAGGGGAAACCGAUUCCCCCUUUCUUCCUCGUCGUUGCCUCUCUCCCCUGCAUCUCCAUCUUCAGCUGCACGACACCAUGGAAGCUGAAGACCAGCGAACCAGCAGGUCGAAGCAGCGAUUCCUCUCAGUGCCGUCGCAGCAAGCAUCUGGAGCCGGAGUCGCCGCCGUCCGCCGUCCUGCUGCCUCGCGCAUCUUCGCCCCCUCUCCUCCCUCUGGUUCGAGCAGAAAUGAAAGCAGAAACAGAAGCAGCAACCAUCAUCGGUUGAAGGAGCUGCAAUCGCAUCGAAGCUGCCAUCACCGCCGCACACCGCCUCGCCACCGUUCGCCUCACGCUCGCCUGUCGUGCGCCGUCUGCAGUUGCCCGAUCGAGCUGUUGUCCAGCCUCUGUUUCGCCUUUGUUCAGUCCCGUUCAGCUGCCUCCGGCCACCGCCCAACCUCCUCCGGCCACCGUCUGGCCUCACCGGAGUCCCCUCGCCCUCCACCGACCUUGUCCAGCUCGACUCAGCCCCGGAUCCGUCCUCCAUCGCCCCCAACCAUCAGCGCACAGAGAGUGCAGAAAUGGGUAUUGCAGCAACUGUUUGGCCCGUUUUGGCCGCCUUCCCGAGCCCGGAUGCUUGGCCCGCUUUGAGGAAAGUCGAUCCUCGCGUCGAGCCCGUCGUUUUGAGUGAGUUUUACUCACUAAUGCCUUCUUAGUGUGCUAAUUAUACUUAAAGGUUGAUUAGUGUUAAUUAAGUGUAAUUAGGUUGUUAGAUUAGAAUUGAUUAGUGAUUAUUAGUUAAUUACAUUGUAUGUUAGUUGUUUGGUUAGUGUAAUUAGAUAGAGAAUUGCUUAUAGUAUUUAUUGGAUGCUUCUUGGGAUUUUUUCCGUCCCUUAUCGGGUGUUAAUUAAGCAAAUCGGGCCUAGGUGGUAUUUUUAGGAAUUAAAUAUUAAUUUUCGAAAUUAAUUAUUUAAUUAUUUAUUUCCUGAAAAUUCAACUGGGGUGGCAAAUGACCGGGAUUUUAUGCUGAUGAUCGUGGCGCAGUCCGUUUAUUUAAUUGAGUUUUAUAUUAUGCUAAAUUGAAUUUAUUGUAUUUAUUUAUUUAAUUUUCGCAAUUAAUUAUUUAAUUAAUUAUUUUCCGGAAAUUCAACCGGGAUGGCCGGUGAUCGGAAUUUCGUGCUGAUUGUCGUGGAGUGGUUCAUUUAUUUAUUUGAGCCUUAAUUUGUGAGAAACUGAUUUAUUAGUGAUUUUAGGAUUUAUUCCUAAAUUGAAUAAUCUUUGGUUAUUAAUUGAAGAAUAACCGGGCAUCGGUUGAUAAUGCCACUACAUAUAGCAUUGCCGAGUGGGGCCGUGAUGCCACUACAUAUAACAUUGCCGAGUGGGGCCGUGAUGCCACUACAUAUAACAUUGCCGAGUGGGGCCGUGAUGCCACUACAUAUAACAUUGCCGAGUGGGGCCGUGAUGCCACUACAUAUAAUAUUGCCGAGUGGGGCCGUGAUGCCACUACAUGUAAAAUUGCCGAGUGGGGCCGUGAUGCCACUAAAUAUUAAAAGUUGCCGAGUGGGGCCGUGAUGCCACUAAAUUUAAGAAAAUUGCUCGGUGGGGCCGUGAUUACCACCUAUAAUUAAGUUGUGUCCUAAGGACCGUGAUUCAUAAUUGGGAAUUGAAUUGGAAUGGUUGAAAUGACCAGAAGUGGUCCUGCUGAUAUAUAAUCGACUAGGUCGAUUGAUCAUUGCCUUGAAUUGAUAUUGUAAAUUGGUUGGAAUAAUGGAAAUGACCGUGAGUGGUCUUGUUGGUAUGUAAUCGACUAGGUCGAUUGAUCAUUGUCUUGAUUUGAUGCGGUGGAUUGAUUGAUUGAAUGGAUAUGACAUUGAGUGGUCUUGUUGGCGUGUAAUCGACUAAGUCGAUUAGAUCGAUGCUUCGAUCUGUGAUGUGAUUGCUUGGGUGUCUAUUUGAUCUGUGCUAAUAUGCAGGUGGAAUCUGAGGCCAAGGUAAGUCCUCUGACUCAUGUUGUGCAUAGACAGCCCUAAGGUGUAUUAGUUUACUAAUCGGGUCUUAGGAGGUAGAACUUGCUGAGACGUUGUCUCAGUGGUUAUUGAAUAACCAUUUCAGGACCUGGAUGAGGAGCCUAAGGAGCAUGAAUCUGACGAGGAGAUCCUUGUUGAGGAACCCGAAGAGGAGUACGUGGAGGAGGACCCCGAGGAUAACCCCGAGUACGACCCGGAUGAGGACUGAGAUCCCGUCCUGUCUUGUCAGACCUUGUUCGCAUGUGAAUAGACGUUAGACCAGAGUUGCAUAUAUAUAGUAUUGUAGAAUACUAUGAGAUGCAUGUAAAAAGAUGUAGUUGAGAAUUUUCAGUAAGGAAAAUAUAUGGCCUGCUUUUCUAUCCCAUUGCUUUAUUGUCUGGGGAAUUAUAACUGCUUCCGCAUGUGCAUAUAUAAAUGAAAGGGUCGGCGAUACAUAGUCCUGGGAUAUCGCAUUUUAAAAUCGACCAAAAGUAAGGGAUGUGUGCGUGCUUGAGGGUCGGGGCGUGACACCCAUGAUGCAUAUAACAAUAGGCCAUAUGUAAGCUUGUCACUCUAAAAGCCUUUCCUAGUAUGGAAGUUCUCCUUCAUAGUUGCCUGGAGGAUUGUAGUUGCACACAACGUACCACCACCCAUUGUUACACUGAACCUUAGCGCACCCGACUCGAACCGAGUUGCGCCAAACCAUUUGAGUGUAGUGCAAGCAGUCGCACCUGCUCGCGUAGGUGUUGGUGUUGUAAUUGUAGUUUUGCUUCUCUGCGACCCACAAGCCGACGGCGUAGAUGCCAGUGAACAUGCCAGUGCCCUUGGCAAGGUUCUCGCCAUAGGGUCCAUUGGAGUGCACAAGGCUGCAGUCGCUAACCCGUUGGUUCGCAUAGCUUUGGGCAUAGGCAGCAAGUGUGUUGUCCCAUGUCAUGUUCGCCACGCCAACUUGCUUCUGAGCAGCAUUGUGAGAGUUGAGAUAGUCUUGGGGUGAGUUUUGGGCAUGAGUAGGUUGAAAGAGAGAAAUAGAGACGAGAGAUGAUGAUGGUUAGAGAAUUCAUGAGGCUCAAGGAAUUAGCUGAUGUUGGUUCAAGGUGAUAUAUUUGGUGAUUAGUUAUGCUAUUUAUAGAAAAAUAUUUUCGAGGCUUCAACUUACCAUGUGCAAUGAACUUAUCAGGGAACAUCUCCUUUGGACAACACAACCUUGUGUUCAAAUCUAGUUUGAUUUGAAAUGAUAAACUAGUAACUGGUGCAUGAGGAAGUAGUUUUGCAUGUUCUUCCUUUCCUCAAAUGGAAGUAAAGUAAAAGGCUUAAGUGAAGUUUGAAAUUUCAGCAAAUUGGAUACAUAAUAAUAAGAAGAAUGUUAGACUUUAUGUCGAGUAAUGCUAAAGACAUUGAGAAAUAGUGCAUGAGAUUAAAUUAUUAGGGGACAUAAAUAAAGUUUAUCCAGUUGUAAUGAGCAAACAAGUCUUAUCCAAGCCUCCAAUAGGGAAUGCCCUGAUUUAUAUAUAGUACCAGCCAUCACCACUUACCGUCCUCCGAUGCUGCCCAAUAAGCCAUUCAAAAGUCACCACCAACUCAUCAUCGCAUCCAUCAUCCUUGUUCUAAGAUCCACCAUCCAUUUUCAACCAGACCAUUUGUCUCUAGCGUCCUCCACCCUCCCACGAGAAAAGUACAUAAGAUGUGUCAAAAGUUAUGUACAACACUCACUUUAGUGUUAAAAGUUUUCACCGGAUCACUGAAGUAUCAAAUCUAAAAAAAAAAAUAAUCACUUAAGUGCUUCCGACGAGAAAUUUUUGCCAAAAUAUAUGCAUUCCAUUUAUAAUUAAAAUUUUAAUAUGACUUGACAUUUUUUUUUUAAAAAAAAGGGGGGGGUCUGUAUAGCAUUUCCAUAUGUACAUUUCUCCCCCUCUCCCUCUACAUUAUUUUUUUCUUUUUUUCUUUUUUUUUCCCUUCUCUUUUCUCCCUUAUGCACCGUCACUACUUCACACCGUACAUGGACUCCUCGGCUACAACUUCAUCAACGCUCACCCAUCACCACCCAGACCUACGAGCUUUGCCACAACCUCAACAAACAACACCAAUAAGAGUGUUGUUCAGUCAAAAUUGUUUGGUUUCAUCAAAUUAGAAGACACGAAGCACGUCCAGCAAUCAAUGAACGCCGAGGUUGGAAGGGAAACAAAGAACAAGCACGCGAACCUCACACAAACAUUUCAUCGAACAUCUAAGGUACAACAACCGGAAAGCAUUCGGGCCACAAAUUCAGACCAGAACUAACCAUAACCAGAAAACAACACUAGGACACAGAGAAAGGAAUGAGCAGGCCCAAAACGCAUGCAAACCAAGGCCGGUGAGCCUCGUUCCGUCGAUUGCUAGGUAGAUCGGAACAAAACGGCUUCAGAAACCGCCUCGAGGGACUUGGCCGGUGAAGAACGCAACACCAACCGUGAUUCGAACUCGCCGAGAAUGGAUCCGACUGAGCCUCCGGUUUGCAGCUUUUCGACGAAUCGACUCUGUUAACGGCGGAUUUUGAGGUGGUUUUGAUGAAUUGCCCAGACAAGAAACCAGAGAGAAAUUCCCUGCUGCAUACCCUUUCUAUCGAUAGUUGAGCAAGAAAUUGAUUUUUCUUGCUGAACAAAGUCGUUUUGGGUCAUGCAGGCAACUGAAACUUGUUAAACUACGUAGUUUUGAGCUUUUAUGCUGAAUAAGGCUACCAACAAGCCACACGGUGAAAAAAAUAUCAAAAUUUUGCCCUAUCAAAUUUCUAGUAUUCGAGAUUAAUACUUAAAUGAUCAUUUUUUUUUCAUUUAAGUGACAUUUAAGUGAUCUGAAAAAUAAAAUAAAAAUAAAAAAACUUUUAAUAUUAAAAUGAGCGCCAUAUAUAACUUUUGACAAUUCUAAUGUACUUCUCCCUCCUCCCACUCCUAGCAACGGCCGCUGUCAAGACGCCAACAAGUUCUAACCAACCCUCGAGGGCUUGAUGCUGUCAAGGUUGCAGUGAGCGUCCAGAUCUGGAGGUGCAUCCUUCUUAUCUAGAGACUCAACUCCUCCACUCCAGAUCUAGGAGCAGCCAGAUCUGGAUCUAUCGCCCUCAACAGACCUAGUUGCUCCUUGAUUUAUUGCUUGACAAAUCCAUCUUCCAUAAAAAAAGAUAAAAUUUAUAAAUCAUUAAUGUCUCUGCCAUUUUCCUUAUUUUAAGCUAUCUAACAGGGACAUGUACUUCUCUUUUGUGUCAAUUAAGUUAUCAUCCACUUGUUUUUAAAUUAAUGCAACCAUGAAAACCAUAUAAUUUGCGUUUUUAAUUUUAUGAGCUACUUUUACGGUUCUGCAAUCGGCAUGGAUGCGAAGGGCACGCCCUCACAUCCCCACUUAGCAUUGAACGGUUGGACGUGCAUCUUGUAUCCGUCUAUCAUGGAGGAUAUGGCGAUAAGAGGACAAAGAGAAAGAGACAGAUAGAUAGUGUAUCAAAGUGAAAAUAUUACUAGGCCGUUUGGCAGUCACGGGCUCGGUGUGGCUAGCCUAUCCCGUUCCUUAGCUAAUAUCUAACCAGAAAAGGGAAAUCAAUAUCACUUUUGAGAAAAAAAAAAUAGUUGAUGGAGAAAUAUUUUUUAUAAAAAAAAUUGUUUUCAAGGAAAAUGACUGGUUCUCAACAGUGUAUUUAAAAGUGAGAUGGAAAAAGGUUUUUCACGUUCAAAUCUUACUUUUAAAAUUUAUUGUCUCCAUUCUAACUAUAUUUUGUUCCAAAUAUAAGAUACUAAAUUGAUAUUGAAAUGCUUGCAUAUCGUAAUAAAAAUAUGCCACAUCAUUUAUUUUAUGAAAUAUAUAAAAUAGUCGUAGUGCGUUUAAAAUAAUAAUAACAAUAUUUGAUUAUAUUGCCACGCUUCACACCCUAUAGUUCCAUGGGCUUCAAACCGUAGGGUGUACAUUUUUUGAAACCUUAGAGAACAUACAUAUAUCUUCAAGAUAGACAACGUAAAAUUGAGGACCAUAGAACGUUCUUAUAAGUUUAUAGUACUUCCCUUAAUGGAAUUAGUCAAUACUCGAUUUGUGCACGAGACGGCAGUGUUAAAUGUAGGUAAGACUGAAAGUGGAUCACCGGAGGAGAUGGGGAAAUGACUCUUUCUUAUGCUCAACUUUGCCCUCUUGUGGUGGUGGAGCUCAAUCCCUAGCCUCGGCGCUUGCUCACAAGACCAAACGGAUCGGCUUGCGUUGGCAUUCUUCAAAAAUGAUAUAGACAAAGAUCCAUUUAGAGUCUUGAGCUCUUGGAAUGAUUCUACCAAUCAUUGUGAGUGGCAAGGUGUUUUGUGCAGCAAAAGGCAUCCCGGGAGGGUCAUGUCCUUGAUCUUGAGAUCACAAGGCUUGGUAGGCUUCUUAUCUCCUCACAUAGGUAACCUCUUUCCUCAGGAUCAUGGUUUUACAAAGCAAUAGCUUUGGCGGUGAAAUCCCAUCACAGAUCGGCAACUUGUUUCGGCUCCGCAAUAUUGAUCUUAGUAACAACUCUUUUGGUGGGCCAAUACCCUCCAAUCUUUCCCGCUACUCAAACCUCGAGUCCUUGAAUUUUGUAGAUAACCGACUUGUGGGGGGAAUUUAUUCCAAUCUUGGUUCUUUGCCAAGGCUUAAAAAGUUGGCCUUGGCUAAGAAUGGUCUUGUAGGUCCUAUUCCUCCUUCGAUUGGAAACCUCUUGCUGCUACAACACCUCACUUUGACAGAAAAUGCGUUUCGAGGAGAAAUACCUGAGGAACUGUCCAGACUUGAGAGGUUGUAGUUUUUCAACUAUCAUCGAACAAACCAACCGGCGAGAUUCCACUAGGGAUUUUUAACAUCUCUGGAAUUAAUUACUUCUAUGUUGGUUGGAACCAGUUGCGGGGAAGCUUUCCUUCUGAUAUUGGCACCACUCUUCCUUUUCUCUAUUACCUUGGAGGGCUCAAUAACAUGUUCACCGGGAUAAUUCCGUCAUCUUUGACGAAUACCACCAGUCUUCGGGGACUUUACCUUGCUAACAAUAAUUUCCAUGGACCAAUACCGAAAAAUCUGGGAAGGCUAAAGGGCCUUUAUGUGAUUGCAUUGGGUUUAAACCGGUUGCAGGAUGACUUGAGUUUUAUUUCUUCUUUAGCUAAUUGUUCCAACUUGGGAAUUCUCUCGGUGGACGCGAACUCGAUUCACGGAUCAUUGCCAACAUCCAUCUCCAAUCUCUCCACCAGCAUUAAGCAAAUUUCAAUGUCAAACAAUCUGAUCCAUGGAACUAUUCCUUCAGCCUUCGGAAAUCUCUUCAACUUGUCGUAUUUGAGUUUGAAGAAUAAUUCUCUAACCGAUCGCCUUCCUGAUUCUAUUGGAGCACUUUACAACUUGCGGCUACUUUCUUUGAGCAGAAACAUGUUUACUGUAGAGAGACCGCCUUCGAUUGGCAAUAUGACAUCUUUAAAUAGGCUUUUCCUUCAAGACAACAAUUUCCAAGGCUACAUACCGCAAAGUCUUGGCAAUUGCAAGCAAAUAAUCGAGCUAGAGCUUUCAAACAACAAUCUAAGUGGCUCAAUUCCAGUCGAAAUUGUGGGUCUUUAUUCCUUGUCAAUCCUCUUCAAUUUAGCGCAUAAUAAUCUAAGUGGAUCUCUUCCAUAUCAAGUUGGGUCUUUAAGGAGUCUCGAAGAAUUAGAUCUGUUUUACAAUAGAUUGACCGGCUUGAUUCCGGCCUCCAUCAGCGGAUGCUUGAGAUUGGCACGGCUUCACUUAGAAACUAAUUCUUUUCAUGGUCAAAUCCCUCAAGCUUUAAGUCUAUUACAACGUCUAGAAGUGCUGGAUCUUUCCAAUAACAAUUUUUCUAGUCCAAUCCCAGGCUUUCUUACAGAGUUCUCAUUGCUUAAAUACUUGAAUAUGUCAUUCAAUGAACUAUAAGGACAAGUUCCGGAGAGCGGAGUUUUUCUCAAUGCAAGUGUUGUAUCAGUUUCUGGAAAUAGGGAACUUUGUGGAGGUGUUCCAACUCUGAAGCUUCCUCUUUGUAAAUUACCAAGCUCUAACAAGUCUUCUACAAUCAAGGCCAUAAUAACAUUUGUGGUCGCUAUCAGCUUGUUAUGUUUAGCUUUGUUGUUCCUGUCUAUUUUUUAUUACCGCAAAAAGAAGCAGACAAGAACCACUGCCUGGGUGUCAUCAUCUUUCAAGAACCAAUUCAUGAGGAUUUCUUAUGAUGAACUCCUAAGAGCUACCGAUAGAUUCUUAGAGACCAAUUUGAUUGGUAAAGGGAGAUAUGGCACAGUUUAUAUGGAGAUUCUUGAGGGCAUUGCCAUUGUGGCAGUAAAGGUGCUCAAUUUAACACAAAGAGGUGCUGCAAGGAGCUUUGUCUCAGGAUGUCAAACUCUAGGAACCAUUAGACACCGAAACCUCGUGAAGAUACUAAGCGUCUGUUCAAGCGUGGACAUUUGUGGCAAUGAUUUCAAAGCUCUAAUAUACAAAUUCAUGGCUAACGGGAGUUUGGAGGAGUGGUUGCACCUGGGAUUGUAGUAAAAGAAAAUACAUAUAUAUUUGUAUAUGAACAGACUAAUAUUAGUAUGUGGUAAUUAUAUUUGAAAUUAAGAUGAGAAUAAGCCGACAUAGAUUUGAUCAAUAAUAGGAAAUAUUUUUUUGUCAACACUUGUGAAUCCGGGCCACUAAAUGUACAUAGCAUAUUUUAUCAUAUCAUAGUCGCAUUAUUUUUCUAUGAUUCAUAUUUUAUCUCAUAGCAUAUUCAUGCUGUGAAAACAGACAGUGGCUAAUAUUGUCGUAAAUUAUGAUAUAAGAAAUUGACGAGAACUUGUGCUCUUUUGGUAUGCCAUGACUUAAGGUCUUGACCAUAAGUAAUUGACCCCUCACAGGGGAACCUUUCUUCUUGAGGCGACCUAUAAUUCUAUAUUCGUAAAAUAUGUUUAGAUGAUACAGCAUUUAAAGCGGAAAUUCAUGGGGAUCUCAAACUCAUAAAUGCAUGAUAAUAUCACACAACAUACACUAAUUGACUACCCGAUGGGUUCUAUCCAACUGUAAUUCUCCCUAAACGUCUUGUUUAGAGCAUGUCAAAACAAACUCAUGCAUUUACAAGUAUUAAUCCAUCACGUCAACAAAUCUCUCCAAGUCUCUUCUCCCACCUCCCCCACAAUGUUCUUUUCUUUGCCUCGUGUGGUAUAGGUAUUAAAUUGAAUUCAGAUCAGAAAAAUGAUGAGCCUCAUGUGUAUCUCAUGUGCAACCAGUUAAAACUGGUGGCUCAAAUUUAGUUAAUAGAUGUACUAAAUGCACUAAAUAGUUUCCACCAAGGCCUUCACCACAUAUAUAAUCUUCUUCUUUUUUUCCCCGACCUACUAAAUGACAAAGUCACUCUUGAUGUUCAGGCAAUUUGUUCAGCAAAAUGUGACAAUUUUGGGUGCACUACUUUUUGGACUGGAAGAGUUCUGCGUUGUUGACUGAUCUUUGGUGCACUUUACAAAUCCUAAAGUCUUAUCUUUGUGCGGUUGAUGCAUCUGACUUUUGCAACAAUUUUUACCACUUUAGCAUACGAUAGGUGCUAAGCAUCAGCUAUAGCCAAUAAACUAAACGAAAAUUAAACAAAUAUAUAUGAAAGAGAAAAAACCAAUGGGGGAUUUUGGGACCCUUUCCUUGGACUCUACCAUGCACAGCGAGCCCGUACGUGAAGUCAGUGAGGACUUGCGUGCCAUCACUCUAUUUGGGCGUGACUGGCGCAAGCCCUCAAAACUGUCUUAGGCAAGCUCCUGCGCAUUGACAUCGAGCAAAACCCCAUGAGAUUUAGGAACUUUUUUUUCAUACAAUUAUCUUCAAGAAAAAGUGUAUAUUCAUUCUUAUUUAAUGCUUUGAUGUAAUUUUCAGAGUAUGGCAUCGGACACCAAGUUUCUACACUUGGGGAUGCAUACAGUUACGGCAUUCUAUUAUUGGAGAUGUUCACUGGAAAGAGACCCACUGAAGAGGCCUUUGGGCAUUGUCUUAACCUUCAUAGCUUUGUCCAAAUGGCUCUUCCUGAUCGAGUGAUGGACAUUGUAGACUCAAGGCUUUGGAGUGAAGCCGGUGAUCGACAGCAGGGGAUGAGGAUCAAAGAUUGCAUAAUCUCCAUUUUUGAAGUUGGCGUCGAAUGUUCGAUAGAAUCACCACUGGAUCGGAUGGACAUGACUGAGGCGAUUAGGAAAUUAUACUCGAUCAAGGCAAGUUACGAAAUCAAAGAGAGGACAGGUAUGUAGCUAAGUAAAUUUUCCCGUUGCACCUUGGAAUUUUUUCACUAGCAGAGAAAAUCAUGUAAAGGCAAUGCUAGCAGAUUCACAUGAAUGUCUCCCUAACUAGGCUGCCUACCCAUACCCUUUAUGUAUGUUUUUAAUAAUUACACCCAUACUUAUAUUUAAAAUUGUAGAAAGUGGAUCUAUGGAGUUGGAGUCUACCUAUUUCCAUUAAGUAACCAUGUAAAAAUUGAUGAAUUUGCUUAUUAGCAUGAUUCUCUUGAUAUCUAAUGCCGAUGUUUACCAAAGCAUCGAUGCAUUGCUUAAUUACUUGAAUUAUCUGAUUAAUUCAUUUUAUGCACUUUAACCCGCGUUACCAUUUCAAUUAUAUGAAUAAAUGAUGGUUAAUAAUUUUGAGAGGUUUUCAAGUUGGUCGAGACUGAAUAUCAAACUAUACAGAUCCCUAAGCUUGUGAUAUUAAAUCCUAGAGUGUAAUAGAUGUGUGGGGAAACUAGCAAAUCCACGGAUUCCAUAAAAUUGACAAAAAUAAAUUUGGAACCAAAAUCCUAUUCGAUAGACUAUAUGUGAUAGGUUUCGGACUCCAAUAAACCUACAUGAUUUUUUAUUUUCUUUAAAGGCACUCAACUUUACAAAUGCUUAGACAUAAAUUAUAAAUAGAGCAGAAUCGUUAAACUCAGCCAGACCUAUUUAUUAUAUAAUGUCUCUAUAUUCAGUCUAACCCUCAAAAACAAUACCGAGCCUCAAAAUUCAUACCCAACUAUGUAACCAACUUACAUAUGUUCAUAAGAAUACGCGUCGGUCGAGUUAAAUCUAUUAUCAAAUUAAAAAUGAAAAAUUACAAAAAUUAUAAAUAUGAUGGAAAAAAAAAUGAAAAACCCAAUAUGAACUAUAUCAAAUAGACAAGCUAAAAAUUGAAAAAGAAAUUUCAUCUUGUUUGCAAGUAUGCAACAACUCUAACGUUUAGGAGUGAGCUGUCAUCUUCGGCGAAUCAAACCUUUCGUCAAGCCGUAGCCAUGGCUGGGCCAUUGCCCUCGCGCCUCCCCACGGCCCUCUCUCUGCAAGCUUGACCGAAUGAUUACGUGGCUAUGUCAAUCAAAUCCAAAGAGGACGAAGAGGGGGGCAGCCUCACGUGAGAUCAUUAGCUCAAGGCCGACUCUCAGUGUUGCAGUUGAGCGCGAUGUCACUAUCAAUUGGAAAAAAAAGUGCUUGAUGGAAUUUGAGCGAUGUUACCAACGGAAUUCUGCUGUGGCCAUGUUGCUGACACCGGCGGCCACCGUGUGUGACCCCUACCUCCUAUUCAGGCGACGAAGUCUCAAUGGACAGGCCAGAUAUGGAGGAGGCAUCAUCAGAUCUAGAGACGACUUGUGACCUCAUCAGUGUCGGCAACUUAAUUGUAGAUGACGAGAGGAGCUCCAUGCGAGGUUUUGAGACCUGCCAAAGGCAUGAACUUCACGUUCAGUCAAGCUCUGCACCCAUAAAGGAGAGAGGGAGAGUGAUAGCUGCGAAAGCAGGAACGACAAAACGACAUUGAAGCGAUAGGGGAGAGAGAGCGAACGGAAGGUGACACGAUCUCUCAUGACACAAGCUGCGCUUUUUUACAUCAUUAAUAAUUUGAAGUAAGUUCAGAAUCGAUAGUGAAAUCAAUUAUAUGAAACAAUUUCAGACUUAAUAGUUAAAUUAAAUAUUUGAAAUGUUUUUCAGAUGUAACGGUCACAUUAAAUUUUGAAAUGGUUUCAAAACUUAACGGUUACACUAAUAAUCCGAAACGAUUUCAAAAUAAAUGAGCAGUUUAAUAGUCUGAAACGGUUUUAGAUUAAUGACCAAUUAAUACUUUGAAAUAAUUUUAGAAAUAACAGUCAAAUUAAGUAUUUGUAACAGUUACAAAGCUUAUAACAGUUACAAAUAAAUGUCUAGAAUAAUGCUUUGUAACAAUUAUAGAGUUAAUGCUCAAAUUGGUGUCUAUAACAGUAAAUUUAUGUCCGUUAGGAGUUACGGCCGAAUUAAUUCUAAAACGAUUUAGAGUUAAUGCGCCGAUUUAAAUGUGAUAUGCACUGUCUAUAAAAGAUAAUGUAGAGAGCAGAUUACCAGAUAAUGAACGAUCGACAAUCGAUAAUCGAUAAUUGAAAAUGCUGAAACUAAUCAACAAAGCACUCACACAAGAGCAAUUGCUAGCACAAUUGCAAUUGUGAGUUCUCUCAAUUUCUCUCUUCUGUUCAAUGUGAGAAUUGGUGGUGUACCUUAACUAGAAGACAUUUGUGGGGCUGGAUCUUAAGAAAGUCAGAGCCUGUGAAGAAGAGAUCAGAUGUUCUACAUCUGAAGAACGUCAGAACUAGUAUUAUUGGAAGACGUCAGACGUUUGUGGUCAAAAAUCCAAGAACAUCAAAACCGGUGUUACUAGAAGGUGUCAGAUGUUCGCGAUCAGAGUCUGAAGAAUGUCAGAACUACUGCUGUGAGGACAUCAGACGUUUGUGUUCAAAACCCAAAGAAACUUCUCAACCAAAUUUUGGAGCACGGUACAAGGUUAAUAUGAUUAGUCCCUUUAGCUCUUCAAAGCAUUUUUUUUUAAAUGCACGUAAAUGCUAUGGAAACACGUGUAUAAGUGUUUUACUUCUGUUGCGAUCAAACAUUUGAUCUUAAUUUACUUAUGGAAACACGUGUAUAAGUGUUUUUACUUCUAUUGCGAUCAGACAUUUGAUCUUAAUUUACUUAUGCACGUAUGCUUGUCUAUUGAAACAAACACCUAACAGAUUUAUUGGCACAAAAGAACACAUUCGGAUCAAAUACAAAUCCUCGGGACAAACGAAGGAGUUUUCACGUAAUCUCUUUGACGUGUACCCUCAUUUAUUUUUAUUUUUUUCUCUUCCUCUUUCUUUUUUCGGUUUGAACACAUACAUUUUGUUUUGUUGAUUAAGAGUGUACCCAAACCACUUUUGUCAUCUAGUUGUUGGAAUUCUCAUCAAUACUCCAUCCUUUGUCUUCUGUAUCAUGUAGAUGUUCCUUUGGAAAGCUGGCAAGAUCGUACUUUGGCCAUAUUGAUAAUAGCUGCCGUGGCUUCCUUGGUACUUGGAAUAAAGACAGAGGUGAGACUGGCCUGCUCACAAUAUGAGUGUUGGUGAUGCGAUAUUGAGAUUUGUCUUAGUUUCUUUCUGGUUGCUUUAGCUUGAUUUUUUUUUUUUUUUUUGGUAUGUUGCCAAUCCUUGCCCAAACUGACAGCGAAAGGUAAUUAACAUCAAAAGAAGGAUGUGAAAGCUUCGCUGAAGGUAUUCGUUGCUUGGUGCAUAUAAUGGUCUUUAUCAAGAAUAUUUUCCUUUAUAUCCCAGCACAAAGAGUCAUUGGCACGUACGGACAAUAUAAGUUCCUACCCAGAUGUACCCCGUGUCAUGUUUACAACUAAUCAUUUAUUUAUUUUUCGUCAAAGCAUUUGAACACAUGUAUCUCCUAUCCGAACACCGGUGCUUAAGCCUCAUCUGACAUGUGAAUUCAUUUGUUUUUUUUUUUUUAAUAAAGCUUAUAUAACAAAACUUUAAUAACUUUUUAUUUAAUGAUCGAUUAUGCAAUCUAUUCCGUGUGUUUCUUUUAGGGCAUUAAGGAAGGAUGGUAUGAUGGUGGGGGCAUUGCUUUUGCUGUUAUUCUCGUCAUUGCAGGUAGGGUUGAGUUAGAUUACAAGACUUGUUUGUAUUGGAAUUUUGUUAACGCGUGUAUUAAGAUUUGAAAUCUUUUAUUUAGUAUCUAUUCACUUUUAAAAAUUUCAAGUAUUGCUUCAUGCCGACGCUGGAAAUGUUUUUGCUGAUUGAUCAGAUGAUAAAUUAUAUUCUCAGAAGCAACUUAUCAUGCCACAUGAUUCCUUCUGAUUAUUCAGAUCGCAACUUAUAUGCUCAGGAGACAUGUUAUGAUGCCGCAUGUUUUAACUUCUUCUGAUAAGGUUGCAGAAUAAUAACAUAAUAAAAAACAAUCAAUGUUUUAAUUUGCGGUGAAUAAUUUACUUCUUCCACUAUGGAUGCUCCACUAUGGAUGCUGUUGACUGCUGUAAGAUGCAAUGACAUAGAAAUUAUUCGUAAUGGGUGGUUUGUUAAUUGGGAUUUGAUUCCUGCCUGCAGCUAUAAGCGAUUAGAGACAGUCCCCUGCAUUUUCAAGACUUAAAUGAGGAGAAAACAGAUAUACGCUUGGAGGUGGGUACUUUAUAUGAGAUGUGUGAGUUACAUUCUUCUCUUUCCUGUAUGCAUAUGAUAGAUGUCAGAGGUGGCAGAAGAAUAGAAGUUUCAAUAUAUGAUGCCAUUGUUGGUGAUGUUGUUCUCCUUAAGAUCGGUGACCAGGCAAGUAACUAAAACCAGUUCUGCAUUUGGUACCCUCCUCAUGAGGACAGUGAAUAUGUUCUUUCAUUUGAUGUUCACUUUUGUCUCCAGGUUCCUGCAGACAGAGUCUUGAUUUCUGGUCAUUCCCUGGUGAUUGACAAAUCUAGCAUGAAUGGAGCGUGCAAAAUUGUAAUGUCUCACGGCAAUUAUGCUCUCGCUAGGUGAUCAAUCUAUCAACAAAUUGGCCUUUCUUAUUUUCUUUUAUUGUUUCGAUCAGGUUCACAAGGAUGCAAGGGAACCAUUUUUAAUGUCUGGCUGCAAAGUUGCAGAUGGCAAUGGCACUGUGCUUGUAAGUAUUUUUUCCAUUCUUCUACUUUGCUUUCCUCAUCAUACUUCUCUGUGCUUUUAUUUCACAUCACGGAGAAGAUCCACACUUCAUAAGUAGGCUAAUUUACUUGAAGCAUAUUGCUACGCUACCUUGUUGUUUGCUAAAUAUGGGUUGUAAAAUUGAAAGUCAUGGGUUCUUGAGUUAAUUUGGUGAAGGAGCAUGACUCUUUUAAUCUCAACUAAACUCUGUUCUGAGAUAGAGGGUAACCCUUAAAAAUGAUUUCAAGAAAGUACGGGAGAUAUUUAAAAAUAUACAGUUUAUUCUGUCCUUGAGGCCUCGUUAUGAGGAGGUGAGUCAAAUUUGAAUUGAAUGGAUGGCUCUGUCCCUUUGAACGUGCACUUAUACGCUUUGCUCUGGCUGUCCUGACUACCUGCGUGUUUCUCAAUGGAUUUCUAGCAGUAGGGUUGUCUCUGAUAUCAGAAUUAGUUUGCCAAAAAUGGUGCUUCCUGAGAUGGGGGUUUACUCUAUCCCAAGUCUGUCUUUAUCACAAAUCAAGGCUUAUUUCCAUCUGUCUUCUGCCUCACUUUUCUGUUUUUGCCUCUCAGGUGAUGAGUGUGGGUAUUAACAUUGAGUGGGGUUUGCCCAUGGCUAGUUUUCGGAAGAUACUGGGGAAGAGACACUCUUGCAGGUUAGUUUCUCUAAACUCUUUAUUUUUUUCCCUGUUUUUGGAAGAUAUGGAUUUUGGUUGUCAUACCGAUUUCUUCACUUUUAUAUUAGGUGGGUAUACUACUUUCAUUGCUGGACUGCAUGCAGCUGUUGCUGUUUUGGCUGCUCUUUUAGCAAGUUAACUGUUAUUGUAAUGUAAACAAAAACUGCAAUUUUAUUUUAUUAAUUCCUCUAUCUCUGAAGUCAUUCCUCAUACUGAAACCGUAAUAGAUCUUACAAACUCAACCUUUGUGCAGAUUUUUUACUGGAUAUACAAAAAAAUCCAAAUGGCACCAUUCAGUUUAAGGCUGGGAAGACUAUCGCUAUUGCGUUAUUGUAGAUGGAGUGAUCGAAAAAAUCACUGCAGCAGUAAGUGUAUUUCUGAUGGAAUAGUUUUUGUAAAUUAAUUUUAGGUAGCUCGUCAGUAACUUUCGAACCUUCCAGGUUACCAUUGUAGCAGUUGCAGUACCUAAGGGCCUUCCUUUAGCUGCUAAACUGACGUAAGUUUGUCCACUAUGAAGAAUAGACUUCUUAAUACAAUAUUUAUAUCGGUUAUGACCUGUCCAAGUUUCUGUUACUUUUUAUCUCAUUGGUUUUUUUAGAAUUUGAUAUAGCUGGAUAGUAUUUCUUUUCUGUAAUCAUCUGCUGGCCUUUAAACGGAUUUAUGUGGAAGUGUACAAUGUUCAUACUCUCACUUUGUACCUUUGAUGCAAUGAGCAGACUAGCUUACUCGAUGAGAAAAAUGAUGGUGGGAAAAGCUAUGGUAUGGAGAUUUUCUACUCCUUACGGCGACCUUCAUCUGAAUCUUUUAUGGCAGUAAAAUGGAAUUCCUAAAAACCAACAGUAAAAAGUUCAGGUGCGAAGGCUUUCUGAAUGCCCGACUAUGGGAUUUGCCACAACUAUCUGAAGUCAUAAAACCGGAACCUUGACUUUAAAUCAGGUACGUUGUUUUACAGGUUGCUUUUGCUGAUCUAAGCAUGGUGUUGAGAACUCCUUAUUUGCCAUUUAUCUGAGUGCAAGUAGAUUUGAACUCUUAAAGAGCUUUUUAGCUAUUGUAGCAGUGAAACAUGCUCGUUCUCACAGAGACAUCAUAUGAGGGUGUUGUCGGUAACAUCAUUUUUGAGACAGUAGUUUGACUAUGAAUGAUACUAAAGGAGUUGUGGUUCUGGAAUGAACUUUGAGACUCUUAAUAACGUGAAGAAAAUGUCCUUCUUGUGACAGAUGACAGUUGUCAAGGCUUAUGCCAGUGGAAGAAAAGUUGAUCCUCCAGACAGCACCUCAAAGUUAUCAACUUCUCCGAUUUCUCUACUGAUUGAAGCCAUUGCUCAGAAUAAUGCGCCUGAGGUGGGUUUGCAACUGUUGGUAUUAGUGGAAGCGUGCGCUUGAUGUGUGUGUAAUAUAUCAAGGGAGCAAGGGAACUAAAAACAAUGUGUGUAAGAAUUGAUUGGGCAAAGAAGCAACCAGAAUGUUUUGUAAGAGAGUGGCGGCAAGGGAGCCCAAAGGAACAAAAUGAAGGCUUUUGUUAUUUGAUGAGAACUACAAAGAGAAGAGGGAAGGAGCUGAACUUGUUGGUCUGCUACGCUCCACACCUUGCUAUUUAUAAGCAAGGUUCACCGACUUAUGGCCCACAAUUUAUAACUUUUAGUAGAAUUUUAAUCCUGCAAUUUUUUACUUCAACAAUCGACUCCUCAAGGAAAACAUCUCUGCCAUUUGCAGAGAUAAUUUUAUGGACUCUUCCACUCAAAUUUAGUAGACUCCAGACUCUUCUUGCGGGCCAAGCACUAGAUUUUUUUUGGAUUUUUUCAUAUUUCUCUAGCAAAUACUUAUGCUAGAAAACUCUAGGAAUUGGAUCAGCAUUUUAAGAGCAACAUCAGUAAUGGCUGUUUAAUAGCGGCGACCAGUGAUAACUUCAUGUGUUUUUACUUCUUUAGACAGUGGGAGAUGUAGAGCUGUCUGCUUCGCCAACUGAAAAGGGCAUUCUACAGCGGGGGAUCAAGGUUCUUGCUUAAGUUUUAUAUCGCUUACUUAUGCUCUUCACUCCUAUCUCUAGUUCAUCUAUUUGUUUGACGAGUGAUGUCAUUAGACUACUCAUGAUGCCUCAUUUGCAGCUGGAGAUGGAAAUUGAAGUCGUUCGGUCAAGUUCCUCUAUAAUUCAUGUUUUCCCUUUCAAUUCUGAGAAAAAAACGAGGUGGAGUUGUUGUAAAGCUGGUAUAUUUCUCAGUCCUUAGUUUUAUUGAUCACGCGUGCACUGCUGAAGAGGACAUUUGCUACAAUAUGCACAUUAUAUCUUAUUGUUAUUUAGAGUGCGAAUCUUGUCAUGCGGAUUGGCACAAAUAAAAAGAUCUAGUUAUGCAGACAGUAUCAGUGUCAUUGCAAUACCUUUUGAGAUUGUACCGAGCUGCUAUAACAGUAACUAAAGUUUUGGGAAAGUUGCUUUUGUAUGCGAAACUAACUCCCAGACGGUCAGGACACUGUUGUUUUUGCCCUUCAACAGCUUUACUUUUAAGGCAGUAUUAGUGCGGUGCUUUUCUUUGUGCUUACAUCGUAAGCAGGUCUUGACAACAAAGGAGUUAAGAUUCUAAGGCACAGUAAAAUGGUGGAAUACCCACUUGAUUGAAAAAAAAGGUGGUACAAAUCUCAGCAGUUUGGGCAAGGUAACCUAGGUUUUUCAAACUUCAAAUCACGAUUUUACUUAGUGAUGGCUUGGUUUGGGGUGUUUGAAGGACUAUAUUAUAGUUGAAUCUGCAUUAGUAAGUUCUUUGAAACUUCUAAAGUACUUAUCAUUUGAAAGUAAAUAGUUAGAGGUCUGCUGAGCUUAAAUUUCAAAAAAUUAUAUCUGCAGAUUUAAUGAUAUUGACAAGUUCCCAUAGUACAAUCAUCUGAUUUUGUCAUGUUGGAUGCAAUCCCAUUAAUAUGCUAAAAUAAUAAGAUCUGCAUAUUGGUCCUUAAGUUUUAGAUUGAACAGUAGUUGGAUCCUAUAUUAGAUUUGAGAUUUUGCUAGCCAUCACUAUGGGGCAAAGCCAUGCAUCCUUUCUAUACGAUAGGUGUGUAAAGGUCAUUUACUGUUGGGUUCAUGAAUCAUUUAUUUCUUUCUCUUAAACUACUCUUUGGUGGUUUGAACAAAAAAAGAAUUUGCUGUUUAAGAAAAUUAAGUUUUGGUCUUGGCUGGUACUUGCUUAUGAUGCACACCCAUAUUGUGCACAGUUAUUGGGUUGAGUUACAACAAUGUUAAAUCUCCUGCAGAUUUAUACUACAAUUGUAUUGUGAUGCAAUGUAAAUCCAUCGUUAAUGAUUGUUUUUAAACUUUCAAGCACAGCAAGACUCAGAAGUUUGCAUGCACCAGAAAGGAGCUGCUGAAAUAGUUUUGGCUUUUUGUACAAAGUACAAGGAUGCAAAUGGUCAAGUGGUAGCAAUGGAUAAAGAUCAGGUUUGGGAAAUAAUUGGCUAUUAUAGCAAUUCAAUAGCUGCUAGCUUUUUCCUUGCUGAAAUCUUUCACAGUGCUAUUAUAGUUUGAAAUAAUUUUGGCAAAUCUACAUUUCAUAAAUGCCAUGUUUUUUCUGUGACAGCAGAGCACAUAUUCUGGUAUUGCACUUAUGUUCUUCAUGGGAUUAUGCCUUGACAUUUUCCUGAUCUAAUUUUCACCAUUUAGUUUUGGAAGUUUUGUGCAUUACACAUUCCAUUCCAUGGGAGGCAGAUCUUGAAUCCUCUGUACUACUCUUUCCUACGCAACCAUUCUUGAAUACCUUGUAUUAUGUAUGUAUUUCACAUUUGUUGCUUUUAUAUUCAUGGUUACACUUUUAUCCAUGAUUAGGCUUUUUGCAUAGUCUCAGAGUCAGGGUGGUAAAUUGUUUUCUUGAUGUUUUCUUGCCUUGUUACAAGUCAUUAAUGAUAUUGAUGGAAGAUCAUUAAGUGAGUUUCCUCUUGUUUUGCAGAAGAUGUAUUUCAGAAAGGCUAUUGAAGAUAUGGCUACUGAUAGUCUGCCCUGCGUUGCCAUUGCAUAUAGAUCAUAUGACACAAAAGACAUUCCUCUAGAUAAAGAACAGUAAACCAAGUGGGCAUUACCAGAAGAUGAGCAUAUCUUACUGGCUAUUGUGGGCAUAAAGGUAAUUCUUGUAUAGCAGUGAACAAGAUAUUAAGUGAAAAGGACAUCAUUGAUUUCUAUUUUUUCUCAUUUCUGGUUAUGAAAGGUUCCCUGCAAGAUGAUAUGACUCUAGGAAUGCUUAAAUUGUUGGAGGUUUUCUAACAUUCAGAGAAAACUUCUGCUUUGGAAAAUUCAGUUCUUUUCCAUGACUUUGAAGAGUUCUUGUUGGGGACCUAAUGAAAUUUAAUGUUUUUGUUAUUUCAUUGACACCAGCUGGUUGAUCCAACUUUUUAAAUAACUUUUGCUGGAAUCCAUAGAACUCUGUCUCGGUACAAGUGGCUGGCAAGUGAAGAAAGAAAAUAUUUUCUUACGUUUGGCCGGAUGCGCUGUUAAUCAUUUGCUGUACUUACUCUUAAUAUGUAUGCAGUUUAAUUGUAAGAAUGAUGAAUUCUCUUGCACGCUCAUACCAUGCAGGAUCCUUGUCGUCCUGAAGUAAAAGAUGCCAUGAAACUAUGCCAAAAUGCUAGAGUUAAGGUAUGUUAAUAUUUUUUAUCAUUUUUUUCAGUUGGUUUAUUUGGGGAUAUGAUCCUUCAUCCUUCUGCUGCUUCUUUUUUAAUUACUUCAGGAACUCAAAAUUUGAGUUUCUCAUCAUUUGCAUCCUUUUAGGUGGUCAUAUUGGAUAUUUAUGUUGGUUCGAUGCUUUUCUUUGGAAAAUGGAUUGACCAUAAUUCAUUUUGGUAUAAUGAAGUUGAUAUGAAGGGUAAGACAUAGAGGUUCUGUUUACGAUCGCGAUUGAGAAGUACAUUGUCAUUUAGUCAUUUCAGUAAAGGGUGCUUUCAAGAUAUUUUCUUAGGAUGCUAAUCAUUGAUGCUGGAUUCCAAAUAGUAAUUUGCAGCAGCAUUACAGAUUGAGGAUAGGUACUUAUCUAGAUGUGACCUCAGUAUGUGAUUAAUCUUAUUUGGUGAUAGGUACGAAUGGUUACUGGUGACCAUCUCCAAAUUGCCAAAGCAAUUGCUUUGGAAUGCAGGAUACUAGAUCCAGAAGCAGAUGCUAUUGCGCCAAACCUUAUUAAAAGAAAAACUUUCCGUUUCUUAAGUGAUGAGGAAAGAGAAGAAGUUGCUGAGAAGAUAUCAGUAUGGCAUUGCUUCUCUUCCGUGUAAUUAAUCAUGUCUUCUAUUUGAAGGUGUGCUUAUGUGAUUUGCAACAGGUUAUGGGAAGAUCAUCUCCUAACGACAAGCUUCUGGUUGUUCAAGCAUUGGGAAAGCGAGGACACGUUGUUGCUGUAACUGGGGAUGGCACUAAUGAUGCUCCUGCUCCACAAGGUUGACACCAUUUUUCUGAGGGUUCCUUUAAUAAUGUCCUAAUUAUCACCUUUUCUAUUAAUUCAUGACUUCUGUCAUUCUAGCGUCUAUUCAGCAGAUAUAGCAGACAGAUGCCUUGAAAUCCUUCUAUAGAACUGGUUCAUAGUCUUGAAGUCCCUGGAUGCCUCAUGGUAUCUUUCUGUGCUAAGAUGAGUUGCAAUAUGUUGGUAAAUUUGGUUGUAGUCUUCAAGUCGCUUCAUGUCUGGAAGUUGUCUUGUUCUUAUAUUUACUACAAGGUAAAUAGAUUGCAAGGUGUUAAAAAAAUGUGGGAUCUUAGUUUGCCAUGUUUUUAGAAAAUAUUUCAUAGUCAUGAAUGGCUCUCCAGUGUUCAUUUUUUUGGUCCGCUUAUACCCAUGCACUUCUGUUGUGCCUUGACUUUGAACUCUUUUCAACCAAUAAUUUUGUUGCUUGGAUAUCUCUUUUAUCUUGGAGUUCAGGCAGAUAUUGGCCUUGCAAUGGUAUUCAAGGGAUGGAAGUUGCAAAAGAGUUUUCAGACAUUAUAAUGGGGAGUCUGCCUGAAUUUCUAAAGCGGAAUUCAGCAUCCUCAUGACAGAGUUUAUUGUUUGAUUGAACUUUUCUGGAAAGAGGUGUCAACUAAUGGCAAUGAGUUAUAGUGGAGCUUCAGUACAUAAGUUACUUGGAGGGUUCUCUCUCUAGAAAGUUGUCUACUUAUUUUACUAGAUGGUACUGUGCAUAUUUACUUGACUCAGAUACGUAGUCCAGAUUCCUCAAACGAGUACUCCACAAUACUAAAACUUCACCUGCAAAAUUGGAAAAUAUUCAGAUUUGGAAAACAGCAAUAGAAUUGGGUGGUGGCAAAUCUUUUUUGGGUUAUUGAUUAGUUGAUUCCACAUUGUCAACUUAAUUGUGGGUUAUGAUUUUGGAUCUGAGUGCUUUUGGUUGAUUAAUCCUUAGAAAGUGUAGUGAUGGUUGACAGACCUCCAUUUAUCUAGUGGGGAAGAUCUGUACAUUCAAAUAUUCAUAAACUUAUCCAGUGUCAGCUUAUAGUGAAUGUUGCAACUCUUAUCUUUAACGUCGUUGCUGCUUUUUCCUCAGGUGAUGUUUCAUUGAAUGCAGUGCAAGUACUCUCUCUCUCUCUCUCUCUCUCUCUCUCUUGCACGCGUGGGUGUGCAUGCACGCACAUGUGGGCGCCCCUACCCAUUAUUGCUUCUCUUUGCCCACUCUAGUUCUCAACUUUUCUCUUUGCUUGCAGAUUCUAUGGGUUAAUCUUAUCAUUUCGAACACCCUUGGUGCAGUAGCACUGGCUACCGAGCCUCCAACUGACCACCUUAAGCAUAGGCCUAGGAGGUAAGAGUUCCCAGAUGUUAUUAUUGAGUGCAACAUAUGUGAAGAAUUUUGGUCACAAGCUUGGAGAUCCUCUUUUUUCCUUGUCAACUCAAAUCCUUGAUUUCUUUAGAUGUGUAUUGGGAUUUCUUCACUUGCCGGAACCUGUCGUUUACCCUUACUCUUCAAGUACGCACUGGCUGGGUGAUUUUCUCAAUUGCAGAGAACCUCUCAUCACAAAUAUCAUGUGGAGGAAUUUAUUGAUACAGGUAUAGCCACCAACACUUUAUUAGAAAGGGUUUUUGCUGGCUUCUUGCUCCUAACAGAGGAAUUUGGGUCUUUAGGCUGCCUAUUAAGUGAGUGUCCUGCUCGUUCUUGAUUUCCGUGGUAUAAGCUUUUACUGAAAUUGGAGUAUGGUAGGAACGGUCAUGCUCACAAAGUGAAGGAUACCCUCAUCUCUGUCUUUUGCCAAGUAAGUUUGGUUCCUUAGUCAAAGAAGACCAAAAGAUUAGUGGUUCUGGGCUGCUAUUGUUGAGAUUACUCAUGCGUUUGCUGACGGAAUUGAAUAGGUCGGAUCUCUAGUAAGAACAUCUGGCAAUAGAAUUGUUUCACCAGCUGAGAAGACUGAAUGAAACGCGAACCGUAUUUCAACGUCGAAUCUUUUUACUAGGGCAAGGAAACAAAUUGACACUUGUCCUCCAAAGAGAACGCCUCCUUAGGCAGUGUGCCAUCUAGCCCACUCGUCCGUCGACCCACGGCCGCGCCUGCUUUCAAGCGCCGAAGCUCCGGUAGGCCCCGGCCCUGUUCUUGUGCCCUGUUUUGGCCGCGCCGGGCCGGAGCUUCGCGGUCGUCCAGCCCACGCGAGCUCCGCCCCGACCUUCCUUUGUUUGUUGUGCACGUCCUGGAUUGAUUGUCGAGGGUUCCGGCUCGGGUUUGAGCCUCGGUUGAGCGGAGGAUCUCUCUUUUCCAUGGUGCAUUCCACCCGCUCGACGAAACGCCUGAACCAGAUCUAGCUUUCGCGUCUUUGUUUCGGGCCGGCGUUGAUUUGUCCGGGCAUCGUCUCGUCCGGUCCAGGCGUCCCGGCGAUGCAGGGCUUCUGGGCGUCGGCCCGUCUGGUUGGUUCGACGCGUGCGCUCCGUCCCCUCCGCCAUCGUCGAACAGAGCAAAGGAGGAGGGGGCCCGUUUCGGUUAUCCCACGAGAUCCCGCCACGGCCGCACCCUCAGCAGCCGUCUCGACGUGCCGGGACGUAUCUUGGCCGGCCGCCCAGACCUCGGAGCCCCGGCACGCCCUCGGCUGAGCCGAGACGAGCGGCGACGCUCGGCGCCGUCGUGUUUGUCGCGGCGAAGCGGACGCGGCCAGGGAGGGCCCAGUUGGGUCGGCACGCGGAUCCGGUUGACCCGGUUGGCCUCGGGCUAGGAUUUGUUUGGUCUUGGGCUGGGCUACAUUCUAUUAAUUGCGUUUCUUUGCAGGUGGGCAUGUUAGGCAUCUUCGCCGAAGCCCAGUUCAGCCGAAGACCUGGGCUGCGCGCCCAGGCUGGCCUCGACCGGGUCGGACGUGGGGUCCGAGCCAGAUCCAUUUUACAUUAUAUAAUAUAAUGUUAUAGGAAAAAUGUCACAAAUGAUUCCUGAACUUUCAUCUAAUAUUCAAUUUUAUCCUUGAGCUUUCGAUUUGCUCAAUUUGAUCCCUGAACUUUCAUCUAAUAUUCCAUCUAGUUCAUAACCAUUUGAAAAUUGAUCAAUUUUCCUUUUUUUUAAUACCAAACUGUUUUUUUAUAAAUAAAAAACCACCAAACUAGUUUUUUUUUUUGUUGAAAAAAUACCACAUUUAUGCAAAUUAAUAAAGGUCAAUAUUUCUUUCAUUUCUUCAUAUUAAAAAAAAUGGAAAAAGGGGCAAUAAUAAUAAACAAAGGUGAAUCUUGCAUUUUGAUUUAUUUUUUGUAUAUGCAAAUUACUUGAAUCAAUUUUUCCCUUUUUGGUGAAGUCCGAUUGGUAUUUAAAAAAAAAGGAAAUUGAAUAGUUAGGGACUAGAUGGAACAUUAGAUGAAAGUUCAUGAAUCAAAUUGAACAAAUCAAAAGCUCAGAGAUGAAAUUGAACAUUAAAUGAAAGUUUAUGGACCAUUUAUGACAUUUUCCCGAAGGAAAAACAUAACAAACCGAACUACCAAAAUUCGGCAAUGCUGCGUGUCCCAUCAUUGACUUUUCUUUAUUCCCACGAUCCAAGGAUCCUCCUCUUUCUCUUUUUUUUUUUUUUCUUUUCUUUUUUCUAAUAAGACAGUUAGGCCGUUGAUAUUUUAUAACAUAUUUGAAAUGUCAGUUUGCUUCUAUCUCCGGCAAUCUUGGAAAAUAGACAAGUGGCAAUCCCAUGCAUAGAAUAUACGUGUCCUACGCCUCCAAUAUUUCAUCUUUUAAAUUCUACCGUGUAUUCUUUUUCUUUCCUUCUUUUUUUCUAAACAUAACGAGGAAACUGCAAAUUCUAAUCUAUAGAAUAUUUUACUGACCUCAAUAAUCAGAUAGGACACAGAUUAAAAUAUUGAAUGAGUGAUCCAAACAUGAGAUUAUUUAUACUAGUAAUGUAUGGAGUCGAACUAAUGUCUUGCUUUUAAUCCAUACCCUUGUGUCUAUUCUUUUGUUCCUAAGCCAAAAUGAGGGAUUGCAUGUAAUCAUUUAUGCAAUCAACUAUGAUAUUAUUCUUGAAUUGGUGGGUCUUCGUCAGUCGUGGCCUAUAGCAAGAAGUUUAAUUAUGACAUCUUUCCUGAAAUUGCAUAAAGCUACUUCAUUAUAAGUUCCAUUAGGUCAAUAAUUUACUGCCGUCUUCGUCGGUCGUGCCCUAGCACACUCCCGUUUUAGUUGUUAUUACUUUGUAUUAACAUCAAACCACAUCAUCUACAGCUUUUGUCAAAAAAAUUUAGUGAUUGAUUUAGGAAAAAAGUGUCAAUCGAUGUUAUAGAUUAAUCAUAAACUUGAUCAUAAGUUUGACAAAUCGCGGGCAUUCUGAUAAAUGGGCGGGUUUGAUUGAAAAUUUUGCGCUUGCUGGUGGGCUCAAACAACACAUUCGAGGGCCUUGUUAGUGAGUGGCCUAGGCUUGAGCAAUGGCUUUGAGGCUUGGCCAAGUUUGCCCAUUAAAUUUAUCAAAAAUUACAUUGAUAAAAUAUUUAUUUAAGUUUAUCUACCUUGUAAUACAAAAUUAAUAAAUAUUGGAAGAGAAAUUGAGGCUUAAAACAGAAAAAGAAAAGUAUUUAUGACACACUUAAAGUAAAAUACAAAUAAAUUAUGGAAUUAUUUUCUGUUUAUGUUUCCAUUUUAUCUAUGAUUUAGCUCAGCUUUUUUUUUUCUUUAAAAAGUAAGACAUUGCCCAUCUGAUUGGGCCAAAAAAUUCCAGCGAGUGAGCUUCGCACUUGCCAAAACCCACUGGAUUGGGUUUGGAAAUGGCCCCUAAAAGUUCAAACCGAACUUGUUCAGUAAACAAGUCCCAUCAAGUGUAUCCCAUGUUCAGAUAUGUUUUCAACUAUAUUUAUUAUUUUCUUUUAUAAAGCGUUCCCAUCAUAUGAAAUUGCAUCUACUAGCUCUAAGAAUGGAUAGGACGUGGUCUUUUGACCAUAAUUAACGUGGGGAUUGGGACUAGGCCCCCUUAUUCCCUUCAUCGUAGGGUAAGGGGUGAGCUAAACUAGCAAGUAAUUGCAUUAAAAGUUAAUUAAACAAGAACGACGCGACAAUACACUAGGAGAUAAUUUGAAUGAGAAAUAAAAGUGUGACUCACAUUUUAAUCCACCAAUGGAAGCUUCACGAAUCAUUUAAUAAAGAUGAUUUGAUACAUAUUCGUAGUGCAAUUAGCAUAUAUCUAACAUCAAUAAAGAAGGCGCCUUAUAAUAUUGUUGAUAGUUAUUAUCAAAUUUCUAAUCAUAGCUCAAAAUAAAUAUCUUACGCACGUAUUUUAUUUUUGGAACUCGCUUUCAUGCAGAGAUAAGUUAAAAAAUUGAUAUUGCAUCAACUUGACUACUCGAGCAAGAUGUUUCAGCUUUUGGCUCUCGACUCAUAAUUGACUUGGACCAUAAACGCAUGAAACGCCAAAAUAAAAAAUCAAAAGUUCGGGAGAAAGUUUUGACCCAAGACACGACAGAUGUAAAUGGGAUUUUGUGGAAAGCGAGAAAAGAGUUUCGAAAUAACUUUACCUUUUAAUGUGUCCCACGUUCAUGUGAAGAAUCGAUGUAGCCAUCAUUUGUCGAGAAUAUGAAAGCUUCAUCCUAUAGCUAAAAUUUAUAAAAAAGAAUAUAAUAUAGUGGGAGCGUACGCCAGCAAAUGACAAGAAUAUGAUUGCUCGAUCCUCUCGUGAUUGACGGAGAAUAUAAGGCACCAAUUUAUUUAAUCUCUAGUUGUCGGUCUUCAUCUCCAAGGGCUUGUACAAUACAAAGUACCAAUAUUAAUAUUACUUUCUCUCCCCUCAACUUUGUAAAGUUGCGUCCUAUCGGACAAUACUAUCUUAUAGAUCAGUAUUAAUAUACCAAACCACAUGGCUGAUUAUAAGUGAAUAAUAAGCCAUUUUUUAAUAAUUAAAAAUAAUAUGCCUCAUCGUUUAAUGUACCAAAUUUAUUAAACAUUUUUAGUGUGUUUGACAUUUUUCUUUCUUGUUUUUGUUGUACAAAUGAAAACUAAUGAUGUGCUGAUAUAUGAAUGACACCACAUAUACUUAGACUUUACUCGAAUUCACUAAAUGAAAUGAUGUGCAAUGUGGUAUGCACCCAUGCACAGUUUCCAUGUUAGAAGUUGGAGUCGCAUGAUCGAUGGAAUCACGGCGAGAUUGGAUGGAUGUGACCAAGAUGAUCAAGGAAAUAUAUUUGGUCAAGGUGAGUUACGAAACCAGACAGAGACGUCCAAGGAUGUAGCAAAGUAAAUUAGUCGCUAUAUUUUGGAACUCUUUCACAAUGGCAUGGAUGCAUCUCUAGGUAAUCUACCUACUUAUACCUAUUAUCCUUAUCAGUUUAACAUUAAUAUAUAUGUGUGUGUGUCAUAAAAAGUAAAUAUAGGGAGUUAGAGGCUCCCUAUUUCCGCCAUGUAACCAUGUAAAAUUUGAAAAAAUUGCUUCCUAAACGGUUCUCUUCAUUUCUGAUGCCAAUGUAUAUCAUAUGAUCAAUACAUUGCCUUGAUGCCCAAAUUUUGUGAUCAAUUCAUUAUCAUCAAUUUAAUGGCAUGUUGCCAUUUCAUUUGGGAAAAUUAAAUGAAGAGGUUGUCGAGUUGGUCAAUUCUUAAUAUCAAACUAUACUACUAAUGGUAGCAAUUUUAGGAGGGUUCUGCUUGCUUAACACAAGUGUGAUUUAAUCUUGACGGACCACUUCACUACCCCCACAAGGUCCGGCUUGAAAGCAACAAGCGAGGUACUGAGUAACUUGCGCAAAAGCCGUUGCACGUUAGCGCAACUGUUUUCUUGCUUGUUAGCGCUAACAUUUUGAUUGCAGUUUAGACUCAACUUACAACAUAGAAAGGCUUUUUCUGGCUUGUUUGAGACCAGAGUAGGCUUUCUUCCAUCGGCAAAAAGAGAUGGAUGAGAAGUCUGAUAGGGUUUUAAGAGAUAGAAACUCCAGCGGUGAGAAAGAGUCAGAAUCGGUGGAUCACACACUUGUUGGAGACGAGGGCAGGCUCAUGGACAGGUCUAACUCUAUUUAGAAAGAAUACGAGUGUUGAAAGAGUGAAGUCUGGGGACAAGGGUAAACGUGGGGAAUGGGAUCUCCAUGCCGUAUUAAAUAAGAUCGCAAGCGAGGGACAUGCCGAAGACCCACCUUUCCAGCUAAAUCCAACGCGAGGACCCUUAAAUUGACUAUGCCAUCCGUGGUCAGCAAGCAACUGACAAGGCCCGGACUCCAUAAAACUAACAAACAUUGUUGAAGAUGCUAUUCAAGAAAUGAUACGUGAUAAGUAUUGGGCUCCAAUUGACCCUACAUUAAAAAAAGGAAAAAUCGGCAAGCAAUUUUACAACGGAUGCUUAAAAUUUAAUUAUAAGUGUGGAGCAGCAAAUGAAUGGUUGAGUUUGGAGGAUCAGUUGGAAAUGGGUCGACUCAUUUUGACUCGUUAAGACUUAUUUCUUCCAUAAUGACUCUAUAUUCAACCUAACCCAUCAAAAUUUAUACCCACCGGUUUAACGAACUUAAUUAUUAUAAUAAUAACAUAUGUUAGUUGAGUAAAAUCUAACACCGAAUCAAAAAAGAAAAGUUACCAAAUUGAUAAUAUGUUGGCAAAAAAGAAAAAGCAGAUCUGAACUUCAUAUAAAAAAGAAAAAAGAAAAAUCAUCUCGUUUGCAAAUAGGCAACAAUUCUAACGUCCAACAUUGAGCUGUCAGGCUCCUGGAUCGUUGUUGUGGUCAAGCCGUGGCCGAGCACGCGUGCUUGUGCGCUAAUCACGAGCUAAAGGCCAACUCUUGGUUUCGUGCUUGACUGUGAGUUUGCAGUCAAUUGAACACCAAGCUUCAUCCAAUAGUUACGUGACUAUUUCGAUCAAAUCUCCAGCACAGUAACUUCUACCCAAGGUUGAUGCGCUUACUUCAGGCGACAUUGCCGACGGAGUUCAUUGUUGUGGGAGAUAUUGCCAACACCAACGGCCACUGUGCGCAGCUCCCCUUUUUUCACUACCGACCGUGCCAUAUAGGAUGGUUGACGUCUACAUCAACAAUUCCGACUAACAUUGGCUGGAUGGAAAGAUGAAAAUGUUUAGGAUUCAAUCCGUAUAAUUGAAAUGUUUAGAAUUGAAUUGGCAAAAACACAAUAAAUGUAGCACUUAAUAGGUAAUUUACCCAGAUUUAAUGCAAAUUGUUAAUACAUUUAACAUUUCUAUAACCUCAAUAAAGAGGGCACCAUAUAAUUAAGCCAUUUGGUGCUUGACUUAUAAUUGACUCUGACUUUAGACCAUUUUCGCGUGAAAAGCCAAAAGAAACAAUCAAAAAUAGGGGAGAAAACUUUAACCCAAGACACGGUAGAUGGAAAAGAAAUUUUGUGGAAAGGGAGAAAAGAGUUUCAAGAUAACUUUACCUUUUUAUGAGUCUCAUGUUUAUAUAAAGAACCGAUGGAGCCACUUUUUGUCAAGGAUAUGAAAGUUUCAUUCUCACCGGAUCUUCUUGUGAUUGACGGUGAAUAUAAGGCACCAAUCUGUUCAGUAUCCACUCUUCGGUCCUCAUCGCCAUGGACUUCAAAGAAUACAAGGCACCAAUAUUAAUAUUGCUUUCUCUCCCCUCAACUUUUUAAAGGAGCGUCUCAUUGGACAAUGCUGUCUUAUAGAUUUGUAUUAACGUGCCAAACCACAUGGCAGAUCAAAAGCAAAUAAUUAGCCAUAUUCGAUAAUUAAUCACAAUAUGCCAUGUCAAUUAUUACACCAAAUUUAUGAAACAUUCUUAGUGUUUUUGGCAUUUCUCUUUAUUGCUUUGGUUGUAAAAAUGAAAACUAGCGAGAUGAUAUAUGAAUUACUAAGACUUUACUCGAAUUUCUAAAUGAAAUGGUGUGCAAUAUGCUAUGCACCCAUGUCAUCAAAUAAGUGUGGAAUUAGCAUUAGAAUGGAGAUUGUUAAAAGGAGGAAAGAGAUAAAUUGAGUAAGAUCAAUUAAAGGAAAUUUAGUUUUCUGUUCCAUCAUCAUUUCUUCUCAAAAUUUAGGAGCUGUCAUUCAAGUUUGUCCGACAAUCGUUGAAGCAAUUCGAUGAUGCCUACCAUAUACACAAUCCAAUUGAUCUAGAGAUGGCUCCAUGGAUUCAUGACGUGCUUUUCACUAUAUAGCACUUUGCCUCUUUACAAGGUUCAAGAAAUAGCUCCCCAGGAGUAGGACAUUAUCCCACGUAACACUUGGUUCUAGGGGUGAAAAAGAAGAAGAUUUAAAGAACAGUUUGGCCUAGAUUAUACGGCCAACUUUUUAAGGUUUGAAGUGGCCCGGGUUGAAAUUUAGGGUCCCCCCUUAUUCUUUUUUGAGCCAAUCCGCACCUUCAGCUUUAGCAUCUUCAGGAUCUCAGGAUAAAAUGACUCGAACNNNNNNNNNNNNNNNNNNNNNNNNNNNNNNNNNNNNNNNNNNNNNNNNNNNNNNNNNNNNNNNNNNNNNNNNNNNNNNNNNNNNNNNNNNNNNNNNNNNNUUAUACUCCGAACACUUGAAUAAACUCAUAAGUAAGUUAAAAUAUGAAAAUAUAAAAAAUGAUUUUUGAGGCCCAAAAUAUAAUAACUAAUCUAUUUUUAAUUCAUAAAAAAUGAGACAAAAAUCCGCUAAAAAUAUUAAACUUAUUUUUUUUUCCCAAAAAAUAGGCUCUCUGGUCUCUCUUCCCCUCAUCGGUACCAUGGACAGUAUGUCGUAUUGAACAGUGACAAAGAGAUCAGAUUGCUUUUCACAGAGUGAUACAAAGCUUUAGCGAAUCAAUUAGAAUAUUUUAAUGCAAAAAUCACUUGUAAUUUUCUUGAAUCCAAAUGCACGGCACGCAAUCUCUUUUCACAACAUGACUCAUGUACUUUCUUUUUGGAAAAAUUACCAAAAUAUCAUAAACCUAUUGUAGUUAUGCUGUAAUAGUCAUAAAUCUAUUUGUUUGGCCAAUUAAGUUCUCAACCUUUUACAAUUUAGACCGGACCCGGAUUCGCCGGUUUACACUUAUUUAUUAUUAUUAUUAUUUUAAAAAUACAAAUAUAAAAAAUUUUCAAAAAAUUCUGCAAUUAGGACAAGGCUGAAAAAUAGUUUUUGAGUAGUUUUCUCAAAAAAACAAAUUGCAUGAAAAAUCCUUUAAAAAAAAAAAUCUUAUCUUUAGUGAAUACGGUGAUCUUCUUCUCAAGCCAUUUGGCUUGCAGCUAAGAUAUCCAUCCAUUCAUCCUCUCACUAGUUGAUUAAUUAAUAUAAUCAAGUUUCCGAUCUUAAUUUUUCUAAUCACAAUAUUUUACUUAGAUUUUUAAUCAAUCGACUAUAAAUCGAAUUAGUGGCAGCUUGCAGGUUAAAAAAAAAACGAACUGUAAGUCACGAACUAGUGGGCUUGGGAGAGUCUAGACCAAGCCUAGGCUUAGAAAACCAUUAGCCUCAUGCGCUUGCAGGAGGCUUCAAAGAGGUAGUGACAAAUGUGUUGCUAGGUGUCAAAUUUUCAGCUUGCGAACACUAUUGGUGAAUAAGCAAAUUAUCGAUUGAAUAAGUAAUUGACCACCUCUUCUUGCGAUUAUAAAUGCUAAUAUUAGUAAACCGCACAUAUGAUAUUCAAUGAUGCAUCAAAUCCCACCAAUAUACUUGGUUGGUUGCCCUUGAAGGAUAUUAAAGGUAGCUCUCCUUGUUUCGAGAUGUGGUUCUCACUAUGUAUCACGUUACCUUUAUAAGAUUCAAGAGAUGGCUCUUACGAUAUAACACUUUGUCCCACGUGAAGCUUAACUUUAAGGGUAAGUAAAAAAGAUUAAAAGCUCAUAUAAGCCUUUGGAUGGCCCGAAUUUUUAGGUCCGGCCUGGGUCAAGAUUUCGCGCUCCUGCUUAUUUAUACUCAAAGUACUUUGAUAAAUUCAUUAAUAAGUUAAAAAAAUAAACAUAUAAAGAAGUGAUAUUUGAGGAGAAAAAUCUAGUAACGAUAUCUAAUUUUAACACUAAUAAAAAAAUCGAGCUAUGGCCCAACCAGCCCUGUAUCUCUAUUUCGACCUCUACCGAGCCUGCAAAUUCCAUGAAGUUGUAAAUGCUCGCGUAAUUGACGGAGUACUAAAAGACUUCUCUCUUUCUUUUUUUCUUUUUGGUUGGGUUAUGGUUGCCUGCUUUCACGACGCACUUGAUGGAAUGUCGAGUCUUCGUCUCCAUGGUCUUCCCAAUCCUCACGUAAUUGACAGUGAAUAUGAGGCACCAAUUUGUUUAGUCUUCAGUCUUUGUCUACAUGGACUUCAUGGAAUACGAGGCACCAAUUUGUCCUUCACAUGGACCUGUCGCUUUUGUAAUAUAUUUAUCUUAACAUGCUAAAUCACAUGGCAGAAAAUAAGUGGACGAUAAGCCAUGCGCAAUAAUUGAUAACAAUAUGCCACAUUUAUCUUACGAAAUUUAUAAAAUAGUCUUAGGGUGUUUAAAAUAUUAAUUACAAUAUUCGUUUAUACUACCACACUUUGCACCCUAUAAUUUCUACUAUUUCAUGGACUUCAAAGCAUAGUGUACGUUACUUCCCAUAGUGGAAUCAAUCAAUAAUUGAAUUUUGUGCAGGACCGGAGAGUUAAAUGCAGCUAAGACUGAAAGUGGAGAUCACAAGAGGAGAUGGGGAAACAGCUGUUUCUUAUUCUUCACUCUGCCCUCUUGUGGUGGUGGAGCUCAAUCACAAUCUUUGGAGCAUACUCGCAUAACCAAACAGAUCUGCUCGCGUUAGCCUCCUUCAAAAACGCAAUACACAAAGACCCAUUUAGAGUCUUGAGCUCUUGGAAUGAUUCUACUCAUCAUUGUGAGUGGCAAGGUGUUUUGUGCAGCAAAAGACAUCCUCGGAGGGUCACAUCUCUGUACCUGAGAUCACAAGGCUUGGAAGGUUUCCUAUCUCCUCACGUAGGUAACCUCUCUUUUCUGAGGGUCAUAUUUCUGCAGAACAACAGCUUUCAUGGCGAAAUCCCACCACAUAUUGGCAACUUGUUUCGGCUACAUGUUCUUGUUCUUAGUAACAACUCAUUUGGUGGUUCAAUACCCUCCAAUCUUUCCCGUUGCUUGAACCUCGAGAUCCUAAAUCUCAUAGAUAACCAACUUGUGGGAGGAAUUCAUUCUAAUCUUGGUUCUUUAACAAGACUUAAAGGCUUGGGCUUGUCUUUGAACAGUCUUGUAGGUCCUAUUCCUGGUUCGAUUGGAAACCUCUCGCUGCUACAAAAGCUCUCCCUGGCAGAAAAUGCGUUAAGCGGAGAAAUACCUGAGGAAUUGUCCAGACUCAAGAGAUUGAUACUUUUCCAACUAUCUUCCAACAAACUAACCGGUGAGAUUCCAACAGGGAUUUUAAACAUGUCUGACAUUAUUACAUUCAAUGUUAAUUAUAACCAGAUGUGGGGAAGUUUUCUCAAUGAUGUCGGCACCACUUCUCCUUCUCUCUAUUUCCUUGGGGUUGGCAAAAACUUGUUCACAGGGAUGAUUUCAUCAACGUUAAUGAAUGCCACAGGUCUCGGAAAGCUUUACCUUGAGCACAACAAUUUCCAUGGGCCAAUACCGAAAAAUCUGGGUAGGCUAAAGGGCCUUUACAGGAUUUCAUUGGCUGAUAACCACUUGCAGGAUGACUUGAGCUUUAUUUCUUCUUUAGUGAAUUGUUCCAACUUAGAAAAUCUCGAGAUUUCGAGGAACUUGAUUCACGGAUCAUUGCCGAGAUCCUUCUUCAAUCUCUCCCCCAGCAUUGAGCGAAUUUAUAUGUCGGACAAUCGGAUCCAAGGAUCUAUUCCUUUAGCCCUCGGAAAUCUCUUCAACUUGUCUUUUUUGCGUUUAAGCAAUAAUUUUCUAACCGCUAAUAUUCCUCAUUCCAUCGGAGCACUUUCCAACUUGCAGCAACUUGAUUUGAGCUGGAACAUGUUUACUGGAGAGAUACCAUCUUCAAUUGGUAACAUUACGUCAUUGGGUAUCCUUGACCUUUCCUCCAACAUUUUCCGAGGCUACAUACCACAGAGUCUCAGCAACUGCAUGCAACUAAUUGGGCUUGAUCUUUCAAACAAUAACCUAAUUGGCUCAAUUCCUAUCGAAAUCAUGGAUCUUUCUUCCUUGUCGAUAAUCCUUAGUUUAGCAAAUAAUAAUUUAAGUGGAUCUCUUCCAUUGCAAGUUGGAUCUUUAAAGAAUCUUGGCAUAUUAGAUCUGUCUCACAAUAGAUUGACUGGCUUAAUUCCAGCAUCCAUCAGCAUGUGCUUGGUAUUGGAACGACUUCACUUAGAAGCUAAUUCUUUUCAUGGUCAAAUCCCUGAAGCUUUACGUCCAUUACGGGGUCUACAAGAGCUGGACCUUUCCGAUAAUAAUUUUUCUGGUCCAAUCCCGAGCUUUCUCGCAGGGUUCUCACUCCUCAAGUACUUGAAUUUGUCCUUCAAUCAACUAGAAGGACAAGUUCCAAAGGGUGGAGUUUUUCUAAAUGCAAGUUCUAUAUCGAUUUAUGGAAAUACGGAACUCUGUGGAGGUGUUCCUGGUCUGAAGCUUCCUCUUUGCAAAUCAUCAAGCUCUAAGAAGUCUUCUUCAACCAAGGCCAAAGUUAUAUAUGUGGUAGCUGGCAGUUUGUUAUGUUUAGCUUUGUUGCUCCUAUGUGUGUCUAUCUCCUAUUGCAAAAAGAAGCAGACGACAAGCAAUGCCUCCACUUCAUUAUCUUUCGGGAACCAAUUCUUGAGGAUUUCUUACGAAGAACUCUUGAGAGCGACUGACCGAUUCUCCAAGACCAAUUUGAUUGGUAAAGGGAGAUACGGCACAGUUUAUAAGGCAAUUCUUGAUAGUGGUGCCACGGUGGCAACGAAGGUGCUCAAUCUAUCGCAAAGAGGUGCUUCGAGGAGCUUUAUCUCCGAAUGUCGAACUCUAGGAACCAUUAGACACCGAAACCUCGUGAAGAUACUAAGUGUCUGCUCGAGUGUGGACUUUCGUGGCAAUGACUUCAAAGCUCUAAUAUAUGAGUUCAUGGCUAAUGAGAGCUUGGAGAAGUGGUUGCACCCCGGGACUAUAGGACAAUAUGAUGAGCACAUCAAAUUGAGAAAUUUGAGACUAGUGCGGAGGUUAAACAUUGCCAUUGACAUAGCUACUGCGAUCGAAUAUCUCCACAAGAGUUGCUAUUCAAUAAUCAUCCACGGAGAUUUGAAGUCGAGUAAUGUGCUUCUAGACAACGACAUGGUGGCUCGAGUUGGAGAUUUCGGGCUUGCAAAAAUCAUUUCAACAGUGUCUGCUGAAGCCAUAAGAGUUCAGGAUCAGGGUAGUUCAACUUCAAUUGCAGUUAAAGGAUCCAUUGGUUAUGUGCCUCCUGGUAUGAAUCUAUCAUAUUUUCUCGAUUAGUUUUUGAUUGAAUAAACAAGAUCCUUGAUAUUUUGUUAUGCUUCGUAUGCUCUAACACCUCUCUCUCACAACAUUAUUUCCUUUUUUUUUUUAAUUAAUAGCUUCAACCGAAGAAGAAAAUACAUAUGUUUGUGUACGAAAAGAUUAAUAGUAGCAUUUUGUAAUUGUAUUUGAAAUUAAGAUGGGAAUAAAUCAUCUUAAAUUUGAUCAUUGAAUGGAGAUAUUAUUAUUCUUUUAUCAAAACUUGUGAAUUCGUACCAAUAAAUAGAUUAAGCAUAUUGUGUCCUAUCAUAGUUACAUUUUCUUUCUAUAAUUUGUAACUAUCUAUCUCAUGUCAUGUUGAUGCUGCGAAAAUGGAUUGUGUCUAAUAUUGUCAUAAAGUCCCAGUAUGAGAAAUUGAUGAGAAAUUGUGAUUCACUUUUGGUAAGCCAUGACUUAAGGUCUUGACAGUAAGUAAUUGACCCCUCAUGGUGGACCCUUUCAUUUUGACUUGACUUAUAAUUCCAUAUUUCUAAAAUUUGUUUAGAUGACAGGACAUUUAAGUCUGAAUCCGCUCGAGGUCUUAAACCCAUAAAAGCACAACAAUAUCACACAACAUACACUAAUUCACAGCAUGAUGGACCCCAUCCAACUUUCACUCCCCUAAACUUCUUGUUUGGAGCAUAUUUAGACAAAUUUACGCAUUUAACAAUUAUAAAUCCAUUAGAAAUAACAAAUCACUCCAAGUCUCUUCUUUUUCCCUAGUCUUCUAGGCAUUUUCUUCUAUUCUUUCUUGUAGAAAAGAAAUAGUGUGGUAUAGGUAUUAAACUGAAUCCGGAUCAUGAAAAUGAAGAGCCUCGUGUGUAUUCCAUGCGUGUCUAGUCAAAACUAGCGGUUCAAAUUUAGUUAAUACAUGUCUAAGUGCACUAAAUAGUUUCUGCCGAGGCCUUCAUUGCAUAUAUAUUAUUCUUUUUUCUAUUUUCCUCCUAUACCCUACGAGAGGAAAAAGUCACUCUUGAUGUUUGGGCAAUUUUUUUUAGCGAACAUGUGACAACUUUGGGUGCACUUAGUAGUUUUGGAAAAAGAAGAGUUCAUAUGUUGUUAACUGGUAUUUGGUGCACUUUUUACAUCCUAAAAUCUCAUUUCUCUAUGGUCGAUGCAUUCCAACUUUUGUGACAAUUUUUACCACUUUAGCAUCCAACAGGCGAUAAACACCGGCCAUAGCCAAUAAACUAAAUGAAAGUCAAACAAAAAGAUAUGAAAGAAAAAACCAGUAGAGGGUUUUAUGCUAUGUAGCAUGCUCCAAUAGAGGAUCACUUGGCCUCUACCAUGCAUAGUGAGCCGGACUGUGAAGUGAGUGAGGGCUUGCAAGCCGUCAACAAGUGUCGAAAAAUCCGACACGUGGUCAACUCUUUCCGACACGCUCCGACACGCGAGUCUAGAAUUCCGACACGCGAUUCCGACACGCACGGGGUCAAUUUUAAAAAUUUAUAAUACUUGAGGGGUCAAAGUAUAAAUAUACACAAAAGAAGUAAUAAAAGAAGUAAUAAAAUUGCUAUAAAUAUACACACACGAGGUCAAUUUUUUUUUUCAGUUUUAUUUUUUUAGAAUUGUUUUAUUUUUUUUAAAAGUCUUUUACUCUGAAAGAAGUAAUAAAAAAUGCUAUAUAUGAUAAAUAAAUAAAUUUAAAAAUAUAAUUUCAGCAUUUUUCUUUAAACAAUGUUUUUUUCCUCUAAGUUUUGUGUAUUAUUGUAACAAAUUAAAAUAAUGAAUGAUAUUAUUUAAUAUUUUUUGUGUAAAUUAAUUCUAGUCUGCACUUUUUACAUCCUAAAAUCUCAUUUCUCUAUGGUCGAUGCAUUCCAACUUUUGUGACAAUUUUUACCACUUUAGCAUCCAACAGGAAAUGACGUGUCGACGUGUCGUGUCGUAUCGUGUCACGUGUCACGUGUCCGUGUCGAUGCUACAUAGGUUUUAUGACCAUCUACCUUGCUCCAAUAGAGGAUCACUUGGCCUCUACCAUGCAUAGUGAGCCGGACUGUGAAGUGAGUGAGGGCUUGCAAGCCAUCACUCUAUGUUGUGUGUGACUGGCGAGAGCCCUCACAAUUGUCCUUGGCAAGCUCUUGCAAAUGGACAUCAAACAAAAUCCCAUGUGACUUGGAAACUUUUUUCUAAACCAUUAACUUCAAUAAAAAGUGUAUGUUUGUUUCUAUUAAUGUCUUAAUGAAAUUUUCAGAGUAUGGCAUGGGACACAAGGUUUCCAUACUUGGGGAUAUAUACAGUUACGGCAUUCUAUUAUUGGAGAUGUUCACUGGAAAGAGACCCACUGACGAGGCCUUUGGGCACUAUCUUAACCUCCACAACUUCGUCCUAAUGGCUCUCUCGGAUCGAGCAAUGGACAUCAUAGACUCAAGGCUUUGGAGUGAAGUUGGUGAUCGACAACAAGAGAUCAAGAUCAAAGAUUGCAUUAUCUCUGUAUUUGAAGUUGGACUCGCAUGUUCAAUGGAAUCACCAUCGGAUCGGAUGGACAUGACCGAGGCGAUCAGGAAAUUACACUUAAUCAAGGUGAGUUACGAAACCAAAGAGAGGAGGAUAGGUAUGUAGCUAAGUCGGUUUUCUCAUUUCAUCUUGGAACUCUUUCACUAGUAGAGAAAAUCGUCAUGCAAAGGCAAUGCUAGCAAAUUGACAUGAAUGUAUCCCUAACUAGUGUGCCUACCCAUACCUAUUAUGUGUGUUUUUAAUGAUGACACAAAUAUCUAUAUUUUAAAAUCAUAGAAAAUGGAUGUAUGGAUUUAUAGUUGUUGCGAUCUACCUUUUUUUCCUAGAGAGGAAAAAACAUAAGUUUAGGUAUAAUGCUUAAAAGGCGGGCCUAUAGCCCCUAAUUAGGCAUAGGCUCUCCCAAGCCCAUGCCCUGCAUGACAUUGGGGUGUUUAAUUUUAGUUUCAAUUAAAGCUAUAAGAAUUUUCUAAUGAUGAGUCACCACUUGCCUGUUGGGGUUAGUUAAAAAUCAAGUACGAUAUUGGAGUAUAUUUUACUUUCUAUGCAAUCAGAGAAUUCAGGAGCGAUGACUUAGUUACACUAUUUAAUCAACCAGUGUCCUUGUGUGGUACAUAAUCUUGUUCAUUUUGUCAGGCAACUCGAAUUGAUUUUAAACCUAUCAACUAAUAUAUGAGAUGGUCAUACAGGUGUACAAUAAUUAAAAUAACAAUAAGCAACCAAAGAAGUAUAAAAUAAAUUGCAAAGAAAAAUUAGAAUCUAACGCUAAGUAGGCUAUGGGGAAACCAACUUCAACAUAUCAAAAGUGCACAACCAAUUGGCAAUUGAAAUCGUCUUAUAGAACAUUCAAAUCUUGGGCUAAAGAUCUAAGAGGUUAUUCAAUUUUGAGCACAGUUUUUAUCAAAGAUUUUCGCACAUUUUAAAAAGAAACUACUCAAAAACCAAUUUUUAAGCUUUUUCCUAAAGAUUUCUGAAUUUUCUGAAUUUUUCUGAAUUUUCUAAAUAAUUUAUUAAUUUUUUGAAAAAUAUAUAUAAUAUAAUAUAAUAUAAUAUAAUAUACUCAUCCAACCGGGCUCGUCGGCCCGGGUUCACUGUUGGACUCGGCUCAGCUAUUGAGCCCAGUCCGGUGAAACCCAAAACAAAAUAAAUAUAAAAACUAAGCCCAACCCACAAUGAAAUAAACCUAAGUUGAAGCCUCAUUAGACCCACUGAAACCAUAUCAACGCUCAAGCCCAGCCAUUUGAUCCGAAUUCUUGUUUCUUUUUUGAUUUUUUGAUUUUUUAAGUUUCCUUAUUUUAUUCUUUUAUUUCUUCCCUUCUUUUCCACGUCGUCUUAUUCACGACGUCCCCUUCUCGAGCGAUGUCCUUCACCCCAAGCUCCGAAUUUCUUAGACAAGCCUCGGGCCAAAGCUCAAAGUGCCGCGGAGCCACCACCCUUCAUCAGUCGUCUACUCCGACCGCCACUCGGCCGUCGACCUCCCCGCUGCCGGCCGAGGACCUCACCACUCGGCCGGCACCAACACAACAGGAAAAACGACAGGGCCAAAGCGAACAAAGCCACGGGCGGCCCCCGAACAACGUCAAGCUCGAAAUCGCAGCAAAACGAUAAGAUUAACAACACGCGGGAACUUCGAUUCAGCCCCGAACCAAGAACACGAAAGCGGAUCUAACUUAAGCAUUUCAUCGAGCAGUUAGAGCGCACUGUCUAAAACGACAGGAAAACGAACCGGCCGAGCUCAAAUUGCCCCAGGACUCAUGAAAACCAACAUACAAAAACACAGACACAAGAAACAAGGACGAAGUGGGCCGGAGCUCGCGUGAGCCGGAGGCCGCGAGCUCCGGCCCGGCAUGCCCAAAAACAGGGCAAAAACAGGGUCAGGCUUACUGGAGUUUUGGCGUGGGAAAGGAGGCACGGCGGCGGGUCGUCGGCCGCGAUUCCGACGUGCUGGCCGGCGGUCUCUCCCUCCAACUCUCCUUCCUCGCUUGAACUCUCACUUGCUGCUCUCUCUUUCUCGGAUCUCUCUCUUCUCUCCCCCCCAAAAAAUUUUCCCUCUUCUUCUCUCCCUUUUAAGCUCUCCAGCUGGCGCGCAUGGCAUCGUGCCAUGCCAGCUGGUGCUGCCGUUCUUCCCCCGACCACCAACUCCGGUACGACGCUUGCCCUCGUCUCCUCUGCCUCUGUCGUGUCCGCCGUCCUUUCCUCCGCUCUCUGUUCUCUGCAGAGGCGUGAAGGAAAAGGGGAAAGGAAGGAGAUGGGGGCCGGGCCAGGAAACAAGGAGCGGGCCGGCCCAGGUGAAGAGAAGAGAAAAAGGAGCGGAAAAACAAAAAGGGGCAGAGCAGGCCCAGCCUUGGCCCGGCUUUGCUCUCCCAUUUUUUUUUUUUUCUCUUUUUGGAUCAAUAAUUUUAAUUUUUAUUUUUAUAUAAAUUUUAGUAUUGAUAAUGCGAAAACUCUAAAUACCUAUAUGCUAUGCAAUUUAAUAAAAAUUAUUUUUGCUAGGGGUUAAAAAUUAAUUCCUAAUUUUUCAAUGCAAUUAAUAAAUAAUUAAAUAGAUUACCAAAAUUUAGGUGCCAACAGUAAUCUAUCUAUUUCCACCAAGUAACCAUGUAAAAAUAUGAUGAAUUUGCUUAUUUGUAAGGUUCUCUUCAUUUUCGCGGACAUUGUAUACCAUAGGACCAAUGUGUUGUUUAAUUACCAUGGCUAGGCCAUUACCCUUGCCUGCCCACCUGGCCCUCACCAAAAAAAAAAAAAAAAUCUUGAUCUUCUCUAUGCUUAUGCGAUUGUACACUACAAUACAACCUCAUUGUGAGGUCACCAGCUCAAGGCUGACUCUUAAUGUCGCGCUUAAUUGUAAAUGGGACAAGAUCAAAAAGGAAACAUGGAUGCAUAUUUUGUUGCACUCCUUGGUGUGCUAAUCACAUUGUAUAGUACUAUUUGUCAAGUCUUCUCACCCAACCAACGCUCUCUCUUUCUUCACCAUUAGCCAUCGUCUCCGGCCGUUAUGGCCACUUGUCAUCACCGAUGCCUUCUUCAAGUCUUGAUUAUUUUGAAGAUAAUUUUCAUUAGAAAAAAUCAUCUUCUAAUUCAGAAUCUUUCUUUCGAAUUUAAAUUACAAAACUUUAGUUACCCCAUUGCCAGAGCCAGUUUACGCAAGGGUUGGCCAUGGCCUUGACGUCCCACCCGCGCCACUUUGUUAACCCGAGCCUAUUUUCUCUUUAAGCCAUAGGCGGGGACCGUGAAGUCAUCAUGUUUGGCUUUCCAACCGAAUGAUCGUCGCAUUUGGUCAUCGUUCUAUAGCUUCUUGAGAUACAUUAAUGUCAAAGAUCCUACACCUCUGAAUCUUCAUUUGCGAGAUGGUUGUCUCCAAACAUCGUGUUCCCAUGAUCUUUCCACUCCGAUACCAAUUGAUGUAGUGGAAAAACUCGCAAUUUGCUACACGAGCAAGUAACUCGCAAAGGCACAAGUGAAGCAUACACUCGUGACACAUAUAGAGAGAAAUUUAUCAUUUUUUUUUGUAUUAAAUUAAAUUACAAGAGAAACAUAAUCUAUACUCAUAUUAGAAAACCUAAUGAAUUUCUAAGUAUAAGACAUAAUAUAGAUAUACUAAUAAGAAAUUCUAUACUACUGAACAUUAAAUAUCCAAAUUAAUAACUAUUAAAAGUUGAAACAAAUCACCCAAUAUCCCAACGUAAUUUCUAAAAUAAAAAGAUAAGAAAAUAUAUGUCUCGUCUCAUUAUUAUUGUCAUCGUCCUAUCACAAACUAUCUUCCACGGUUUAAGAAGGGCAAGACAAAAUAACUGAGGCUAUUGGGCUGACAAGUCAGUUGAAAGACUUGUGCAAAGCAUAUGUCGACCCAUCAAAAACCUUUUCAAGUUCCACCUUAUCACCCCAGGCACGAGAGGCUAUUACAUCUGCCUACUUGGUAAUAGCUGUUUUUGAAGAUAUGAUGGGGCAUCUACCUACACCUCCCAAGGCCCCCCAAGUUUCGAGAUGAAAUCUUUUUCUUCCCCACCUAGGGGGAAUACUUUCGAGAUUUUCCAUUACAAAGUUUAGACGAAAUAGUUUAAGGACAUGUCUUAGGAAAAGACUGUUGACCAAGAAAAAAAGGGAGAAUAGCGUGACAAAUCAAACCGCGGAAAUUCCUCCGGGGAUGUCGCUCUUCCCAUCGUGGCUUUCCACCAUAUCUCCAACCUCGUGAAAAACGUUGACUUUUCUGUAUUCCCAAGAGACCCAACUUUCUUGUUUAGACCGUUUCUUCUCUUAUUAAUGAUAUUUAUAUUUCUGAAACCUUUUGAACUCCUGAAUUUGAUUGGCUUGAGCCACGAAAUUAUAAUAUAUGUUUAAUAAGACAAUUAUGUCAUUGGGAUUUGAUAACAUAGUUGAUGUAAAAUGUUGCUUUUGAUCCCGACAAUCUUGCAAAUAGACAAACUAAAGAUCUCCUGCCUCCAAUAUUUCAUCUUUUGCGUUCUGUUGGAUACAUUAAGCAAUUGAACUAAUUCAAUUUACGAACCAAACUAAACUAGCCUUACUUGAUCGGUUCUGCAUUUAAUCACUUGGGGAUUGGGUAGUUUUUGUUUCCAAACAAUCCUUAGUUCGAAAACACCAAGAACCAGGAACUGAACAUAAUAAGAUCCAUUUUUUUUUAAUCUGAAUCUAUCUAUCCUGGAGCUAAUCUAAAUUCUAGCAUAAGGCCGAUAUGCUUUUUCUUUCCUUUUUUUUUUUUUUUACCAUAUAGAGAGGAAUCCGUCUUUAAUAAGUAAGUUUGGAAUCUAUGAAAUACUAACCUCAACAAUCGGAUAAGACGUGGGUCAAAACACUAGAUGUGUGAUCCAAAGAUGGAAUUAUUUACGCUAGUAACUUACAAUGUUGGACUAACAUCCGGCUUUGUUGGUAGACAAAAACAAAGAACUAAUGUCUUGUUCUUGAUCUACACACUCAAUGUCUAUUCUAUAGUAGCUAAGCCAAGAUGAGGAAUUGCAUCUAAUCUUUUGUGCAAUGAAUUGUAAUAUUAUUCCUGAAAUUGCGGGUCUUCGUCGGUUGUGCGCCCAUAAAGCAAGUGGUGGAAUAUAUGUUGAGCGAAUAUUGGAGGGCAAAACCGACAAAGACCCACAAUUUCAGGAAUAGAAUUAUCUUUUACAUAGCAAACACUCGGAACAGAAAAACUUUUCACAAGUGGCUUUAAUCAUCGUGCGAGCAUCAGCUCCUUAGGCAGCUUAUUCCUUAUAUGUACACUCCCCCCGAUAAAAUAAGGCUAUUUUACUUUGGCCGGCUAAAUACAAUCAAGCCUCUAAGUCAUACAAAAAAUAUGUAUACCUAUCCUUUUCUUUUUUGAUCUGACCCUUACACAUUUAUCUAUAUCUAUAUAAAUAAAACCAAAACACCAUUUGUCUCAAUUUUAGAUGUUCUAGAUUGUCAUUCAAUUUCUUUCUCUCAUACCAUUGAAGCAUCCAUUUUUUGUAUCUCUUCACAAUAUUAGAUUUAUUAGUUACCCUUGUUUCCGUUAUUUUAUAUUCACCCAUUUCAUAUAUAAGUACUCCAUCUCUUUCUAUACAUAAUUACCUCAUUAUUCGCUCACGUGUGACGCAUGCCUAACAUAACAAUAGCGAUGAUAACAUGGAUGAAUGGCCAUUUCCGUUUGAGCGAAGUGAUUGCAUUUAUUGUAAUUUGAAGAUAUUUUCAAAUGGACAAUAUACAUUCUCAUGGUGAAAUAGAUGGCAGUGUUUCAACGGUGGUGAUACAUUCUUAUGCACAAAACACAUGCAUCCUUAGUCAAUGCCUAAAUCACAGGUGAGAUGACGGUGGUGAUACAUUCUUAUGCACAAAACACAUGCAUCCUCAGUCAAUGCCUAAAUCACUGGUGAGAUGAUCAAGUAGCUCGAGCUUUUCAACCAUCAUAAAGUAAAUUACGAGUCUAUAUCAGCUAUGUCAUUGCUAUUUAUAUUCUCUUUUCAAGUUUAUAUAAAGUGUAGGUGUGAUCAUGGAUUUGGCAACCUGCAUGCACAUCAAUAAAACCUACCUGUUUGGGUUUGGGCAAGGCCUCUAGAAGUUCAAACUGAGCCUACUCAGCAAUUAGGUCUAAUUGUAAGAAUUUUUCUGAUGUGGGCUAAUAUUAAUUAAUAUUAUAAUUUACUAUUUUGAGGAAUUUAUCUAAUAACAUGAGAUAUAAGAUUUCUUAAUUGGUUUAAUAUGCUGCUGAAUAAUGUGGGUUGAGUAAAACCUGCCCUAUAAUGAGAUGGCUUGUGGCUUAAAACUAUAUAAAUAAUAUUCAAGUUUAUCCUCUAACCCUAAAGCAUUAAUCUCCUCACAUAAGGAGCAUUUACAAAAUAUUCAGGGUGAUGAACAAUCUCAUUGACCUAGUGAUAUAGAAGGUAAUAGAGGAGAAGAACGAUGAAUUCCAAAUUAGGUGAACAAAUCUCUUGAUUAUAUGUGUUUUUUAUUUUACUUAUGCAAAUCUUGAAGUGCCGUUUUCACGAAUUACACUAAUUAUAUGUAAUACUCAUAUUUAAACCUCUCUCUAUAUAUAUUAUUGUAUAGAGUUCAAGUGAAUGAGUGGUUUGCAGUAUUGCAUCUGCCAAGUCUAAGAAGGGAUGGGACCAUAAUUGACUUGGGUAUUGGGACCAGAUCCCCUUUAUCCCCUCCAUCCUAGGACAAGGGGUUAGCUCAACUAGAUAGUAAUGUUAGGAGUGUUACAAUUGCAUAAAAAUUUGCUUAAUUAAAUGAUGUGAUAACACACUUGGAGAUAAAUCAAUGGGAAAUUAAAGUGUGAGGACUCAAAACAAGGUUAUAGGCUUCGUUCAAUCGGCCAAUGGGAACUUUAUGAAUCCGUUGAUAAAGUGGAUUUAAUGCAUACUUUUAGUACACUUAGCAUUUCUCUAGCCUCAAUAACUAUGCACCACAAUUUCAAUUACUGACAUAUGAUAUCUUCGGAAGUUUUCAUGAAAUUUCUAAUAAUAACCCAAAAUGAUCAUCACACUCAAGUAUUCAAUAUUUCCAAACUCGCCCAGAUGCAAUCAUGUGUUAGAAAAGUCAAGAAUGCAUCAGCUUGACUAGUUGAGCCUGAUGUUUCGGCCUUUAUUGCGUGACUCGUGAUAGACUUGGACUCGAAACCAAUUUCGUGAAAAAGGCCAAAAGUAAACAAUCAAGAGGAGAGAUAUACCCAAGAGACAACAUAUGUAAAAAAUUUCACGUGGAAAGAGAGAAAAUGAUCACAUGAAGGUGACACUCCUUCAUCAAUCAAUUUGACCGGCAACUCUAGGCAUGGCGGCCUAGUUUGAACAUUCGACUAUUCCAUGCACAGAUUUUUCCACAUAAUCACCCUAUAAAUACUCUUUUAGCUUUUGCUUUUCUCUUCAUCAAUCUUCCUUCCUUCGCCAAUUUUCUUUUGGUCUCUCACAAUAUGAGUUCCCGUAUGACAAUCCCUCUGCAUCUUAUUUUUCUCGUCGCGUUAACCCUAGCAUUGAUCCCUCUGUCGAUCGCCCAAGACUCGCCCCAAGACUAUGUCGCGGCCCACAAUGCGGCUCGCUCUCAGGUUAAUGUGGGCCCGAUGGCGUGGGACGAAACCGUCGCUGGCUAUGCCAGGGAUUACGCCAACAAGCAUGCCAGCGACUGCACGCAACUCGUUCAUUCAGGCGGACCCUAUGGGGAGAACCUUGCGUGGGCUUCCCCCGAUCUUACUGGCACCGGAGCGGUGAACAUGUGGGUCGGAGAAAAGCCUGACUACGACUACAAUGCCAAUUCAUGUGCACCAGGAAAGAUGUGUGGGCAUUACACUCAGGUGGUGUGGCGCAACUCUGUUCGGCUUGGAUGCGCAAAGGCCCAAUGCGCAACGGGCGGUACUUUGGUCACAUGUAACUAUGAUCCUCCCGGGAAUGUUGUUGGCCAGAAGCCUUAUUGAAUUACAAAAAGUUGUAUGUCGUAUGAUGAACUAUUAUGUCAAAAUAAUGCCUCAUUAUGAUGAGGCUAGUGCUUUUGAUGCACCAAAAUUAAAUAACAUCAUAUGAAUGAUGCAUGUCAAUCUCUUUACUGAAUAAAAAGUUAACCUCUUUCAGUAUUUAUUUAUUUUCUUUUUUUAUUUUGCAAACGAGAUUCGGCAUUUUUGAACCACGAAACACUCGGUUUCCAUUUCGGAUGGUGCCGCUACAGUUGGUGGCGAACUCGCUUUUCUUUUUUUCAAGUGAGAGAAAUUUCGAUCAUUUGUCUAACCUCCUCAGCUCCAUGCUCUCAAGCACAUCACUAUCCCUUUGAAGCCUCAUCACACUGUGAAAGAGAAGCUAAGCAUGAUCUCUAUUGCGCAUUUUACUCUUGAGUUAAUUAUUUUUGGUGUUUCUAUUGAUUGUAUGUAGUACAUAGCAAUGGCUGUCUUGGCCACAUAACGAUAUGUUCCCGUCAAUAAGCUGAUCAUUCAUGGCAAAAAACAUUAAGAUAUGGACCAAUAUUAUUUAAUAAUAUGGACUUGGUGGUAUAUUCGUCGAUAAAUUUUAUGUAUUGAUGAAUUGAACUCCUUCAGUUGACCAAGUAAGUAAAUGAUCUCUAAUUAAUCAACUUGGUGUCGAUAAGUACCAGUCAAAAUUGCCUAACUUUGUAUUCUAUUUCAAUCCAUAUAGCAGCCUAGUAUUCUAGAAAGGUCGUUGACUCGUCACAGUUGGAAAAUUCUUCCCUGAGGGUUUCGUGUGCUUGGAUAUAACCACCUAAAUGAAUUUUCAUGUCAUCUCAAAUUACGAUGUUUUAAAAAUUAAGACGGAAGAACACGCCAAAAUUUGCGGUCAAUGAAAUCUGAUUUACAAGUUUUACGUCUGUGGAGUCAAUCAUCGGAAUCGAUACGAAGUCGUUGUAUAUGACUAAGUGGAUGAAAUGAUUAACCUAUAAUUUGGGAAAGUAUUGCGAAAGCUCUAGAAAUCUUGCUUGUUGAGACAGCGUAAUACAAGCCCUAUACUUUCAUCUGGAGAAUAGAAAAAACAAAAAAAAAAGAGUUCAAGUCCAAGCCUGUUAAUAAUUCCUGAUGGAUGAUGACAAAUUUUAUUCAUUUCAUUGGCAAAUAUUGGUUCUAACAUUCAUCACUAGAACUGCGCAUGUUAAAAAAGCAAUAAUCACUCACUUCGUCCUUCCUAUAUUAACAUUAUAUUUAAUCUGUUUUAAUGUUAUUGCUUAACUGAAAAUAAUUGACAACAUUGUAUUUUUUUUGUCUAGUAUACGUGGAUAAGAAAAUCUCGAUCAAUUUCUUUUCUUAUUUUCUUAAUUAUCUAGGGUCAAAGUUGGGACUGCACGACCUGACAUUAGUCACCAGCAAGCCACUUCAUCCGCAUACAGGCCAAUUGUGAUUAUUUGACCGACGAAGCUCGUCGAGGUGGACGUAAAUUUUACUUCCUAUUUCGAAGAGAAAAUUAUUCUCUCUGCACUAGAAGUUUUGAUUAAUUUUCUCUAUACACUGGAAGUUUUGAUUUCUUCUGUAACAAGUUACAAAGUCCUAGCUUUGCAUAGGCAUAGCAUACCUAUAUGUAAAUAUUUUAUCCGCAUAUGUUGGUAUUUUCACAUGUUAUUUUUAUCCAUGUUAAAAUAUAAAUUUCAUCGCUUAAGUUCUCGAAAAUACUGGCACUCAUGUUAUUUCUAUGAAUGUCUUGGACCUAUAUCAAUGCAUAAAUACUUAAAAAGCACUUACCAUCGUUUUAACUUAGCUUCUAAAGGAGGAAUUUGAGUUUAGUUCUUCACGAUACAACUCAGCAACCCACACCCAUAUCAAGCGAUUUUGAUAAGCAAUUCACCAUGAAAACGAGCUUGAGUCAUGCUCGAAUUGCCAUUCUUCCCUCAAUUGACGUACUAACUCUACAUACCCUUUAUUCUUCAAUUUUUUCAUACCAGAAACAUUAACUUGCUGCAUAGACAUGUCAAAAUUUAGCUUCAUUACCAUGGAGAUCCCAAAAUCUUCUUCUCCGUUGGUCCCUCUUUCGUCCGUCCCCUUCUUAGUUCUUUCUAUUUAUUUUCUCUUUUUCUUCUCUCACUCUUAUCUCGCUUGUCUCCACCACAGAAAGGAGACCCAGAUAGAUUAGCUACCUUAAUGAAUCAUGAAAUCCACUUAACUCUCCAAAGUGUCCACCGUAGACUUUAAAGCCAAAAUAUAAUGGACUAACUCAUUUCAUGCACGUGUCACGGUCCCAAGGUUUCCCAUGCGCCAAAAAUUAUGUAAGAUAAAAGAAGAUCAAGCCAAGUCUCUUGGAGCUUCUAGAACAUUCCCAAAGACCAGUGAUACGGUUAUUGUACCAACUUCUGGAGUCUUCUUGUCAUGUUUUUUUUUUUUUUUUUUUUUUUUGGUGCUGAAGGAACCGCUUUGGCUGACAACCAUCACGUAAACCCUUAGGUGACGCUAGCUCAGGACCCACCACCAGGGCGCCACGCUUAAAUCACCUAAUGAUCCGCCAGCCUCCCUGCAACUUGCGUUGCAAGGGCUUCGAACUCUGGACCUCCCGUUUGGAGGUAUGGAGCCUACCCAGCGGAGCCAUCACGGCCGGUGGUUCUUGUCAUGGUUGUUUUUUUUUUUUUUUUUUUGGUGUUGGAGGAACCGGCUUGCAGCUGACAGCCGUGCCAUAAACCCCCAGGUGACACUUAAGCAGGAGGAACCAUCACCCCUGAGUCACACUUAAUACACCUAGUGCGGAAAAAUGCAAUCUCCUCCAUUAAAUCGAAAGGGCAUCGAUGGUUGUAUUGGGAGGUCUCUAGUAUCAGAAGGAGUGUUCUCCCCUCUCAUUUGUAAUAAUUUAAACACUUCAAAUAAGUAAAAACAUCAUCUCCCAGGGCUCCUCUCUCCAUGAUCCGGGUGAAUGAGUGAUCGAUCGUUGGGAAAGGCAAGGCUUGGUUUAGGCGCUCAAAUGAUUUAAAGAACCCUAAGUCACCACACAAGUCCGAUCCGAACAAUUGACUUGUGACACAUGGCUCUUGUUCCACCACAUUUAUAAAUUGAAGAAACCGUAUAAAAUUGUUACCCAUUAUUCAAUUUAUGGAUUCACUUUUAUUUCUUGAGCAUUUGCAUAAUUUAUGUAGAUAUGAGAUACUUUUCAAAUGCUCACUAGACAUUAUAUAUGCAUUGUGCAACCACGAAAUCAAUAUGUCUUAUCCCAAAUCAUGUAGAUAAUUCUUAUUGUCACAAUCUCAUAAUGUCUCGGAUGGAUGUCGAAUUGUCACUAGGUGUCAAAAUUUCAACCUGCAAACACAAUUAGUGAGUUAACCUCAAUGUUGAGUGAGCAAAUUAUCGACUGAUCAAGUAAUUGCCCACCUCUUCUUGGGAUUAUAAAUGCUAAUUAUAGUAAAUCACAUAGGAUUUUGACCAUCUGCUUACAUGAUGCAUUCAAUCGUCUCCAUUGACUUCCCAAAAUCGGUAUCUAAUUUGAAUAAAUGCAGGAUUUCAGCAUAUAAAAAAAAGGGGGAUAUGGCGAAAUUGGUAGACGCUACGGACUUAAUUGGAUUGAGCCUCCUCAUGUAAUUGACGGGGAAUAUGACGCACCUAACUUGUUCAGUCUUCAGUCUUCAAUCUUCGUCUCCAUCGCCUUCGAUUGACUUUUCUUGAACGGGCUUCUUGUAUGUUUUCGAUCGGACUCAUUCCCUUAGGAGAUAGGGUCCGUGAAAAUCUCACUUAUUUACUCUCUCAUUCCAAUUUUGAGCUCUGCAUCCAAACAUUGUGGAGUUGGAUCAAUAAUGGUGAAACUACGAUCUCAGGCUAUUCAUGGCUGUGGAUAGCAAGUACGCAAUGCAUGAUUGAAUUGGAAAGAUCAGGUUUGUACUAUCUAGGCCCACCGAUCUCUCAUGCGUUAUGCAGACCUUCUUCCCCAGUCACAUUGCCAAAACGGACAAGGGAGGCGAAGGACGACGGAGGCAAAAAUUAAUUGCCUUCACCUAAUAACAACACUGGAGGUUUUUAUAGAACAAGAGGCCAUCACGCCACCACCUCUCUCUCUCCCCACGUACACACCUUCAAGCGUCAUCCCUUUGGUCUCCAUAAUUAGUAAAAUGGGACUUCAAUAAUUAAUUUAUGGAAAACUUUACUAUCAUUUAAAAAAAAAAGUACUCUAUUAUUCGAAACAUUCAUGUUCACAGUGAAAAUAUUUUCUUCAGUGCAUUUUUUUUUUUUAUAAAUACAAGUGAUUAUUUUAAGAAAAUUACAUCAACAACAUUGCUUUUCGCGAAUUGAACGCUCCAGACAACAAAUUAUUUUGAAGAGAAAAGUCACAGAAAAUUCCAAAUUAGACCUAUUAUGACUCAUUUACCCAAAACGUGUUAUAUCCACUCAAGAUUGAACAUGAAUUUUUUUGUUUAAAAAAGGGACACAAAAUAAUAAUUUUAAAACGAAAGAAGACUGCACGAACGUCUUCCAUUGAGGAUAUAACUAUAAGAGGACAGAGAGAGAAAGAGACUAUCAAAGUGAAAAUAUUACGAGGCCGUUUGGCAGUCACGGGCUAGGUGUGCCUGGCCUAGCCCGUUCCUUAGCUAAUAUCUACCCAGAAAAGGGAAAUUAACAUCGCUUUUGAGAAAAAGAAAAUUAGUUGAUGGAGAAAUAUUUUUUAUAUAAAAUUGCUUUCAAGGAAAAUGACUGGUUCUUAACCGUGUAUAUAAAAGGGAGAUGGAAAAAGGUUUUCGAUGUUCAAAUCUUACUUUUAAAAUUUAUUCUCUCCAUUGUAACUAUAUUUUGUUCCAAAUAUAAGAUACUAAAUUGAUAUUGAAAUGCUUGCAUAUUUUAAUAACAAUAUGACGCCUUAUUUAUCUUACGAAAUAUAUAAAAUAGUCUUAGUGUGUUUACAAUAAUAAUAAUAUUUGAUUAUAUUGCCACACUUUGCACCAUAUUGUUUCAUGGGCUUCAAUGCAUAAAGUGUACGUUUUCUGAAACCUCAGAGAAUAUACAUAUAUCUUCAAGAUAGACGAUCUCAAAUUGAGGACUACAUAAUGUUCUUAUAAGUCUACAAUACUUCCUUUAGUGGAAUCGGUCAAUAAUUGAUUUGUGCACAAGACGGAGGUGUUAAAUGUAGGUAACACUGAAAGUGGAUCACUGGAGGAGAUGGGGAAACUACUGCUCAACUUUGCCCUUUUGUGGUGGUGGAGCUCAAUCCCUAGCCCUAGCGCUUGCUUGCAAGACCAAAUGGAUCGGCUCGUGUUAGCGUCCUUCAGAAAUGCUAUAUAGAUGAAGAUCCAUUAAGAGUCUUGAGUUCUUGGAAUGAUUCUACCAAUCAUUGUAAGUGGCAAGGUGUUUUGUGUAGCAAAAGGCAUCCUAGGAGGGUCAUGCUCUUGAUCCUGAGAUCCCAAGGCUGGGGAGGCUUCUUAUCUUCUCGCAUAAGUAACUUCUCUUUCCUCAAGAUCAUGGUUUUACAAAACAAUAGCUUUGGCGGCGAAAUCCCAUCACAUAUCGGCAACUUGUUUCGGCUCCGUAAUCUUGAUCUUACUAACAACUCGUUUGGUGGGCUGAUACCCUAUAAUCUUUCCUGUUGCUCGAACCUCGAGUCCUUGAAUCUCAUAGAUAACUGACUUGUGGGGGGAAUUUAUUCAAAUCUUGGUUCUUUACAAAGGCUUAAAUUCUUGCGCUUGUCUAAGAACAACCUUGUAGGCCCUAUUCCUCCUUUGAUUGGAAACCUCUUGCUGCUACAACACCUCUCUUUGGCAGAAAAUGCGUUUCACGGAGAAAUACCUGAGGAACUGUGUUGCGACUCGCGACCUACCCCUUGGGAGAGGGAAUAGGUUUAGGGAUAUUGUUUAAAAGGCGGGCCUACGGCCCAUGAUCAAACAUGAGCUCUCCUAAGCCCAUACCAUAAGCGACAUAAGGUAUUCAUAAGAAUUUUGUGAUAAGGAGCCAUUACUGGCCUAUUGGGGUCAGCUAGAAACCAAGUGAAUAUGUGGAUUGGGGAAAAGCUUGACUAUGACUACAAUUCCAACUCAUGCAUACCAGGGAAGGUACGUGGACAUUACACUCAGAUGGUAUGGCGCAACUUGGUUCGACUUGGAUGUGCAAAGGCUUGAUGUUCUACAGGCGGUACUUUGGUUACUUGUAACUACGAUUCUCCCAGCAAUGUUGUAGGCCAGAAGCCUUAUUGAAUCACGAAAAGUUGUAUGUUAGAUGAUGAACUAUUAUGUCAAAAUAAUGCCUCAUUAUGAUGAGGCAAGAGUUUUAGAUGCACCAAAAUUAAAUAACGUCAUAUGAAUGAUGUAGGUAAAAUUCUUUACUGAAGAAAAAGUUAACCUCUUUCAGUAAUUAUUUUUUCUUUUUUUCUUUUGCAAUUUCUAUUUUUCAAGUGAAGGAAUUUCGAUCAUUGAUCUAACCUCCUCAGCUCCAUGCUCUCGAGGACAUCACUAUCCCUUUGAAGCCUCAUCACACCGUGAAAGAGAAGCUAAGCAUGAUCUCUAUUACGCAUUUUACUUUUAAGUUCAUCGUAUUUGCUAUUUCUAUUGAUUGUAUGUAGAACAUUGGAAUGGCUGUGUUGACCAUAUGACGAUACGUUCCAGUCAAUAGGCUGAUCAUCCAUGGCGAAAAAAAAUUAAGAUAUGGACCAAUAUUAUUUAAUAAUAUGGAGUUGGUUGUAAAUUCGUUGAUAAAUUUUAUGUAUUGAUGAAUUGACCUCCUUUAGUUGACCAAGUAAGUAAAUGAUCUCUAGUUAAUCAACUUGGUGUCGAUAAGUACUAGUCAAAAUUGUCUAACUCAUAGCAGCCUAGUACUCUAGAAAGGUCGUAGACUCGUCACAUUUGGAAAAUUCUUCCUUGAGGGUUUCAUGUGCUUGGAUAUAACCACCUAAAUGAAUUUUCAUGUUAUCUCAAAUUAUGAGGUUUUAAAAAUUAAGACCCAAGAACACGCCAAAAUUUGCGGUCAUCUUCAAUACCUAUCAUCUUCCUCUCCAAAAACCCUACCUAAUCUUCUCACCAUCCCCAUAUCCCAUGCCUUACAUAUCCCUCUUUGCACGCUCACCCAUUAAACCCUAAAACCACCCUCCUCAACGAAACCCCUUUUCACUUCCAGAAAUAUAUAACUAUCUCUGCGAUGGAAGGUUUCUACACAACUACUAUUCCAUUGCCAAGCUCCCACAUCUUCAACCUGCCUUACCCUACUCGCUCGGAAUCCCCAUAGUCUCCUUUCAUCUUAUCUUCUAUCAUGUUGUCACUAAGUACCAAGUAGCCCUCGAAUCUUUAAAGCCCUUCGUAUCUUAGUCUUGUCGCCGAGUCUUUAGGUAUAGAAGCAACGCGUAAGGAUCUUUAUUCUCAAGCAUUGUUCUGGGUUGGUCCUGGUGGCUUUUUGAAGUUGAAUAUUUCACCUGUUUGUUGUUUUGCCUAACUGAUUACUAAAGUUCAGAAAUGAAGAAUAGAAAAGCUGAUCCCCAACUGGAGCUACUAUGCAAGAAAUUAGGAGAUAUGUGGUCAGAAAAUGACAUUAUUGAUCUAGAAGAAAUGGAUGCCUCUUAACAACAAAAUGACUGUAAAGUGAUGUUGAUCGGUAAGCUGUUCACAAGCCCCUCUAUUAAUUUCCAAGCUUUCCAAAGUACAAUGAAAAAGGCUUGGAAAAUAGAUAAUGUCAGUAUCACUCUGUUGGAACAAGGUCACUUUCUGUUUGCUUUCAAAUCUGCUAUGGAUAUUAAACGAGUGUUGGAUGGGGGUCCUUUGUCUUUUGCCAACCACAUCCUCUUGUUGAAACCAUGAGAACCUAAUACACCUCCUCAUUGCUAUGAUUUCACAAGAGGAGCUUUCUAGGUGCAUAUCUAUGGCUUACCUGUUGAAUGGCGUAAUGAAAGAGCUGUAAGAAAGAUAGUCAUGGAGCUAGGAAAUGUUAUAGAAAUCAAAACAAAAACAAAAGGCUCUGCGGCAUUUGCAUCAGAGAGAGUGAAAGUGGCGCUCGACUUGUAUGCGCCUUUGAAACAGGGGAGUGUAAUUAAACGUGCUGGAAAAAACUUUUAGGUUGAGUACAAAUAUGAGAGAUUACCCCACUACUGCUAUGCAUGUGGCAAACUGGGUCAUUUUACCACCCACUACACUUAAAAUUCCGAUUGAUGAAGACAAAAUGGAGAACCUAAGGUUUAAAUUUUGGCUGAAAGCAGAAGCUCGGGAGUUUAGUCCAAUUUGGAAGCUAUUUUAUGAAGACAAAUGGGAGGACGGGGCAGUAGAGGAAUUCAUACUCGAAACUCAAAACCUUUCGAACUAAAUGGAGAUUAUCCAACCAGCAUACCCCCAACCUAGUCAUUCAAACAUAGUUGAGAAGAGAAAGGAGAUGGACAGCGAGAGUUCAGGUGGCAAUGAGGCAAGUGAUAACCCCAUUUUCUUGCUACUAACAUGGCCAGAUAAGGGGAAAGCUCCUAUUUCCAACAUAGGAAGAAAAUCUGCAGAAACAAACUAGAAAGUAGAAGGAAAUAGGGUUAAACUAAGUGCUAAAAAACAAAAAAGAUUCAGCAUUUAUGCUCCAGAAAAGGAUAUGUAGUUAUUAAUUGAUGAAACUCAGUUGUUAAAACCCCUGUUCAAGUGGUGAAAGGAGAUGGUCAAUGGGCUUUGGUGGUUAGCCCUAAUAAGCCACCGAUGUACCAAUGAAAAUCUUAAGUUGGAAUUGUCAGGGGUUGGGCAAUAAUUCAAGAAUUUAGAGCCCUAGUGUUUCGAGAAAGGCUCAAUGUAGUCUUCUUAAUGGAGACAAAAAAGCAGGAAACCAAUGGUGCAAAGGAUAAAGAAAAUGUUAAAUUACCAAUUUCUUUUUGUUGUGAAUCCAGAAAGUAUUGCUGGGGGGGGGGGGGGCUUGCGCUAAUGUGGAAUGAAGACAUAACCUUAACAAUAGAUUCUUUUGCUGAUGAUUUUAUUAAUGCUACCUGCAGAUGGGAGGCAAACAAAACAAUUAUGAGACUUACACUAAUCCAUGCCCCAUAUACUUUUCAGAUGAGAAUGAGGUUAUGGGAUGAAUUAAGACAUAUCAGGUAUUGCAACUCUCUUCCUUGGGUGUGUGUAGGUGAUUUUAAUGAAGUACUCUAUCAUUGGGAGAAAGUUGGAAAAAGAAUGGCGGAACAUUACCGGAUGCUGGCAUUCCGAGAAGUUCUAAAUGAUUGUCCAUUGAUGGAUUUGGAGGGAAAAGGUUGUGCAUUUACAUGGUCAAACAAUCGAGAAGGAGAGGAUUACAUCAAAGAACGACUAGACCGGGCUUUAUGCAACAUGGAAUGGAGGGUUUCUUACCUUGAGGCUGAAGCUUUCACUUUUCCUACAGUAGGAUCUGAUCAUAACCCCCUUAUUGGUGUUGUUAUCAACUGAAAAGGUGAGACGAAGAAAGGAAUUCAAAUACGAAGCUUUCUGGGUAGAAGACAUAGAAUAUGAGGACAUCAUUGAAUCGGCUUUGGCAGCAUCCAGUGCAGAAAACCUGAGUUGGGAACAAAAGCAACAAAAGGUUAAAAGAACCCUUAUGGAAUGGAGUAAAAAAUUCUCAAAUGCCCACAAACAAAUCAAAAUUCUCAAAGCCGAGUUAGUAUCCAUCACAAAUAAUCAAGAGGCUAAUCAUGGAAGGGGAUGAGCCCAAAGCAUCAAAUGAGAAAUUGAAAAACUGUGGAAACGAGAAGAGAUGUAUUGGGGAAUGCGUUCGAGGAUUAUGUGGUUAAAGUGGGGUGAUAGAAACACAAAAUACUUCCAUGCCACAACAAUACAACGUCGACAAAGAAAUAAAAUCUCCAUGCUGCAGCUGCCAAAUGGUGAGUGGUGUAGAGACACCAGGAAAUUAAAAGAGGUGACAGUUCAAUUUUUCUCUGAUUUAUACAGCACAGUUGGUCCUCGUAAUUUCUACCCAGUGAUAGACCAAUGGUCAACAUUAGUCCAGGAGGAGAUGAAUGAAGCAUUGAUAGAAAAAGUUAUACUACAGGAGGUAAAGGAUGUUGUCUUUCAAUUAGGAGCCAUCAAGGCUCCAGGGCUUGAUGGUUUAAGUGGUUAGUUUUUCCGCCAUCAUUGGAUAGACAUCCAUGAGGAUCUAUUGAGGUUAGUAGGGGGUUUUAUGGAGAAAAAUAAGUUCAACCCAAACUUUAAUAAAACCCAAAUUAUCCUCAUUCCAAAGGUUCCAAACCCAGAAACACUAGAUCAAUAUAGACCAAUUAGCCUAUGCAAUUUUACUUAUAAAAUCAUCUAUAAGGUUUUGGCAAAUUGCUUAAAGCUCCUUCUUCCAGAAUUGAUCGAAAUGGAACAGAGUGCAUUUGUUAAAGGGCGACAAAUCCAAGACAACAUUCUUAUUGUUCAGGAGGUGCUUCACCAGCUAAGAGCAAGGAAAAGAAAGAAGAAAUUUCAAGCUGUGUUGAAGCUUGAUAUGAAGAAGGCAUAUGGCAAAAUUGAAUGUGACUUUUUCAAGGCUUAUAUGUUGAAGAUGGGGUUUUGUUAGAAGUGGGUCUCAUGGGUCAUGCAUUGUUUCACUUCAGUCUCUUUUAGUGUCAAGUUUAACGGAGAAUCGUUACCUUAUUUUCAGCCAUCAAGGGGACUUCGUCAAGGUGAUCCCCUCUCCCCUUAUCUCUUCAUACUAGUAGCAAAUGUCUUAUCCCUUCUUAUGAAAAAAGCAGUUGGGGAAGGGAGAGUGAAAGGCAUAAAGCUAAACAGCAAUUGCCCAACACUAUCUCAUCUCUUAUUUGCGGAUGACUCGAUAUUCUUUUUGGAUGGAAAGGUGAAGGAAUGCCAAAAUUUGGCUGAUGUUCUUAACCAAUACUGCAUGGCUACUGGUCAAGCAAUCAAUUUGAACAAGUCUGGAAUAUUUUUUAGUUCGGAUUGUCCUCAGACUUUAAGGAGAAACAUGACAUGGGAAUUGAGAGUACCGAACCGGAAAUUGAUAAAAUGAGGAAAUAUCUAGGCAUUCCAUUGGAUUGGGGAACAUCUAAAAAACAAAUGUUUGCUUGGAUAUUGGCUAGAGUGAAUAUGAAGCUAGAAGGAUGGAAGGAAAAGUUGAUGUCCAAAUCUGGGAAAGAAAUUCUAUUGAAAGCAAUUAUUCAAGCAUUAUCCCAAUACGCGAUGUCCAUCUUCAAGAUCCCAGUAUCCAUCUGUAAAGCUAUAGAGAAAAAAAUUGCGUCCUUUUGGUGGAAGAACACUAAAUCCAAGGCUAGAAUUCAUUGGAAAAGUUGGAAUGUGCUGAAGAUGUGGAAGGACCAGGGAGGAAUGGGUUUUACAAAUCUAAUCACAUUCAAUAAAGCAAUGAUAGGAAGACAGGCUUGGCAAUUGAUAGAAAACCCUGCGUCUUUAUGGAGUAAACUAUUCAAGGGUCUCUAUUUCCCUUCUACAAAUUUCUAUCAUGCCAAGAUAGGCCAUCAAUCAUCAUGGGGAUGGAAAAUUCUACUAAGUGGUAGAGAUGUUAUUUCAUGCUUAGCAUUAUGGGCAGUAGGUAAUGGUGCAUCAAUUAAAAUACAUGAAGACAGAUGGUUAAAGUGAGGCAUAAUCCCUGGCCUAGCUAAUCAAGACAACCCCCUGAUGGUAACCAAGCUCAUAGAUACGAACAAUUCAACAUGGAAGGAAGAAAGCCUUCAAAACUUGUUCAAAGACAAAAUUGUAAGUGAAAUUUUGGCCAUCCCCUUACCAUCAGAUUGAAGGGCAGAUAAAUGCAUUUGGAUGGCGACUAAAUUAGGCAAUUAUUCAGUAAAAAGUGGGUAUAAUCAACUCAAAAGUUUAGAAGACCACUUGGCCUACACAUCACCCUCAUCUUCAUAUAAAAAAACCCAAACAACUGUGGAGCAAAAUCUGGAGUCUACGCACCCUCCCCAAAGUUAGAGUGUUUAUGUGGAAUUUAUGUCAAAAUUCCCUUCCUAGUAAAGAGAAUCUAGCCAAAAGAAGAGUCUUACCCAAGCCAUGGUGUCCCCUAUGCAAAGCGUCCCCCGAAUCAGCAGAACAUUUGUUCUUACUCUGCCCCUGGACCCGUGAAAUAUGGUCAAAUCACCUCCUCCAGAUUCAAAUACAAAGUAUAGAAUUAAGGAGCAUAGAUCGCUCAUUUAUGGAGUAUUAAAGCCACCCGUCUCAAGCUCCCCAACCCAAAAUAGUUGCCGAAGCCAUCUAGCUCAUCUAGAAACAGAGGAAUGCAUUAGUUUUCUAAGUAAGGAAGCCAGAUCCGGAGGGUGUAGUGGUUGAUCUGCUCACAUCAUAGCAAAAAUUAAUGAAUCAAACUCCAUCUUAGCAGCAAAAUACUGAUCAAACUCCAUCACAGUAGCAAAAUACUGGGAGAAAUAACGCAGAACCUGCAAGAUGGAGACCGCUGGACCCAGGAUGGGUGAAAAUCAACGUCGCGGAGCCUUCACACCAGAGACUAAUGACGGAUCUGUAGCAGGGGUGUGCAGGGACGAGAAUGGUGUGCUGCUCAACGGUUUUGCUUGCUCGGUUAAAGCGCAAUCCCCCUUGCAUGUCGAAACCCUAGCUGUUUGUGAAGGUCUGGAAAUGGUAGCGAAGUGGAGGAAGAAAGAAGGGUCAUGUGGGGUAGCUGUUGCAUCUAACUGCUCCACAGUAGUUCAGACGAUUUUGGGGAUAGAUCCUCCCCCUUGGGAAGUCAACUACGUAGUCCAGAUGGGCUAGGCUGUGCUCAUUUCUAAUCCAGGUUUAAAAUUGACCCAUGACUCGAGAGAGUUAAAUAAAACCACGGAUUGGGUUGCAAAAGCCCAUCUCCGCCAACCUCUACCUCGGAAUUGGGUCUCUUGUCCCCCUCAAUCUCUUUUGGACGUUCUUUGUUCUGAAGCUCAUUUGGGUUGUUCCUCUAAUUUUACUACUUGAAAUGAAAUGAGGAAUCUUUCGACAAAAAAAAAGAAAAAAAGAAAUCUGAUUUACAAGUUUUAUGCUUGUGGAGUCAGUUGUUGAAAUCGAUACAAAGUUGUUAUCUAUGACUAAGUGGAACCCAUAAUUUGGGAAAGUAUUGCGAAAGCUCUAGACAUCUUUACUGUUGGGACGGCAUAAUACGAGUCUGACACUUUCAUCUGGAGAAUAGAAAAAAAAAAACAGUUAAAAUUCAAGCCCGUUAACAAAUUCUGGUGGAUGAUGACAACUUUUAUUCAUUAUAUUGGCAAAUCUUAGUUCCGACAUUCAUAUGUAGAAUUGCACAUGUUAAAAAAUGUAUAAUCACCGACUUCGUCCUUCCUAUUUUAACAUGAUUGUAUGGAAAAUAAUUGACAAGAUUGUAUUUUUUUUUUCCUUUUUGUCUGGUAUAUGUAGAUAAGAAAAUCUUGAUAAAUUUAUUUUCUAUUUUCUUAUUUAUUUAGGGUCAAAGUUGGACGUCACGGCCUAGCAUUAGUCAUCGGUGAGCCACGUUCAUCCGCAUACAGGCCAAUUUCGAGGUGGAAGUAAAUAAUUUACUUCCUAUUUCUAAGAGAAAUUUACACUAGAGUUUUUUUAUUUCUUCUGUAACAAGUUACAAAAUCCGAGCUUUGCAUAGGCAUCCCCAGGCGUAAAUGUUUUAUCUGCAUAUGUUGGUAUUUCUACAUGUUAUUUUUAUCCGUGUUAAAUAUAUAAACUUCAUCGCUUAAGAUCUUGAGAAUGCUGGCACUUAUGUUAUUCCUAUAUAUGUGUUGGACCUAUAACAAUGCAUAAAUACUUAAAAGCACUUACCACCGUUUAACCCUAGCUUCCAAAGGAGAAUUUGAGUCUAGUUCUUCACGAUACAACUCAGCAACCUGCGUCUAUAUCAAGCGCAAUAUUGUAAGCAAUUCUCCAUGAAAACGAGCUUGAAUGAAAGGUAGAACUGCUGAUUUUUGCCUCGAUCAAUGUACUAACUCUUCAUACCCCUUUAUUCUUCAAUUUCCUCACACCAGACGCAUCAACUUGCUACAUAAACAUGACAAAAUUCCCUUGUCUUGCUUGUCUCCACCAUAUCACGGAGACUCAAAUAAGACUAGCCAACUUAAUGAGUCAUGAUAUCCACUUAACUAUCCAAAGUGUCCACUGUAGACUUUAAAACCCAAAAACCAAGAGACGACGGACUAACACCUUUUCUUGCACGGCUCUUGGUCCCACUUUCUAGAAAUCAAAGAAACCACGUAAAUGAUAUUUGAGGUGAAAAACCUAACAAUUGAUCUAUUUUUGAUACUUUGUCAAAAAAAAAAAAAAAAAAUCUAUGUUUUAUACGAAGGCUAGGAUUCAACCAGCCCGGACCUCAAUUUCGGCCUCUACCGAGCCUGACAUGGACUUGUCGAUGCUCACGUAAUUGACGGGGUACUAAAAGACUUGUCUCUUGAUUUUUUAUUUAUUUUUUUGGUUGGGUUAUCGUCGGCUGCUUAAACGACGCACCUAAUGGAAUAUUCAGUCUUCAUCUCCAUUGACUUCCCAGUCCUCACGUAAUGGAUAGGGAAUAUGAGGCCCCAAUUUGCUCGGUCUUCAGUCUUCGUCUGCAUUUUGAUUCCGUGGAAUAUGAGGCACCAAUAUGUCCUUCAUAUGGACCUUUUGCUUUUGUAAUAUAUUUAUUUUAACAUGCGAAAUCAUAUGGCAUAAAAUAAGUGGAAGAUAAGCCAUACACAAUAAUUAAUAAUAGUAUGCCACAUCAGUUAUGAUACCAAAUUUAUAAAAUAGUCUUAGUAUGUUUACAAUAUUAAUAACAAUAUUCAUUAAUACUACCACAAACCCUGUAACUCUAUUGCUUCAUGGGCUUCAAAGCGUAGAGUGUACGUUGUUUGAAACCUCAGAGUAAGUACAUAAUUCUUCAAGAUAGAUGAUGUAAAAUUGAGGACCACAAAAAGUUCGAAUAAGUCUGCAAUACUUCCCAUAGUGGAAUCAGUCAAUAAUUGAAUUUUGCGUACGACCGAGGUGUUAAAUGCAACUAAGACUGAAAGUGGGUAUCACAAGAGAAGAUGGGGAAACAGCUGUUUCUUAUUCUUAACUCUGCCCUCUUGUGGUGGUGGAGCUCAAUCCCAAUUUCCGGAGCAUACUCACAAAACCAAACGGAUUGGCUAGCAUUAGCCUCCUUCAAAAAUGCAAUACACAAAGACCCAUUUGGAGCCUUGAACUCUUGGAAUGAUUCUACUCAUCAUUGUGAGUGGCAAGGUGUUUUGUGCAGCAAAAGACAUUCUGGGCGGGUCACAUCUCUGGUCUUGAGAUCACAAGGCUUGGAAGGCUUCCUACCUCCUCAUGUAGGUAACCUCUCUUUUCUGAGGGUCAUAAUUCUGCAGAACAACAGCUUUCAUGGUGAAAUCCCACCACAGAUUGGCAACUUGUUUCGGCUACGUGUUCUUGUUCUUUGUAACAACUCAUUUGGUGGGCCGAUACCCUCCAAUCUUUCCCGCUGCUUGAACCUCGAGACCCUGAAUCUCAUAGACAACCAACUUGUGGGGGGAAUUCAUUCCGAUCUUGGUUCUUUAACAAGACUCAAAGGCUUGGGCUUGUAUCGGAACAAUCUUGUAGGUCCUAUUCCUCGUUCGAUUGGAAACCUCUCGCUGCUACAACAGCUCUCGCUGGGAGAAAACUCGUUAAGCGGAGAAAUACCUGAGGAAUUGUCCAGACUCAAGAGAUUGAUACUUUUCCAACUAUCUUCUAACAAACUAACCGGUGAGAUUCCAGCAGGGAUUUUAAACAUGUCUGACAUUAUUACAUUCAGUGUUGGUGAUAACCAGUUGUGGGGAAGCUUUCUCAAUGAUGUCGGCACCACUUCUCCUUCUCUCGAGUUCCUUGGCGCCAGCAAUAACUUGUUCACCGGGAUGAUUCCGUCAACGUUAACAAAUGCCACAGGUCUUGUGCAUCUUUUCCUUGGCAACAACAGUUUUCAUGGGCCAAUACCGAAAAAUCUGGGAAGGCUAAAGGGCCUUUACCUGAUUUCAUUGGCUAAUAACCACUUGCAGGAUGACUUGAGUUUUAUUUCUUCUUUAGUUAAUUGUUCCAACUUAAAAUUUCUCGACAUGCGGUGGAACUCGAUUUACGGAUCGUUGCCGAGAUCCUUCUCCAAUCUCUCCACCAGCGUUCAACGAAUUUCUAUGUCAAACAAUCGGAUCCAAGGAUCUAUUCCUUCAGCCCUUGGAAAUCUGUUCAACUUUUCUAUGUUGGAUUUAUCGAAUAAUUUUUUAAUCGAUCGCAUUCCUGAUUCCAUCGGAGCACUUUACAACUUGCAGUACCUUUCUUUGAGCGGGAACAUGUUUACUGGAGAGAUACCAUCUUCGAUUGGUAACAUUUCGUCGUUAGGUGUCCUUGAACUUUCCUCCAACAAUUUCCAAGGCUACAUACCACAAAGUCUCGGCGAUUGCAAGCAACUAGUUAUGCUUGAUCUUUCGAACAAUAACCUAAUUGGCUCAGUUCCUAUUGAAAUCGUGGGUCUUUAUUCCUUGUCGAUCGUCCUUAGUUUAGCAAAUAAUAAUUUAAGUGGAUCUCUUCCAUUGCAAGUCGGAUCUUUAAAGAAUCUUGGCAUAUUAGAUCUGUCUUACAAUAGAUUGACCGGCUUAAUUCCAACAUCCAUCAGCGAGUGCUUGGUAUUGGAACGACUUCACUUAGAAGCUAAUUCUUUUCAUGGUCAAAUUCCCGAGGCUUUACGUCCAUUACGGGGUCUACAAGAGCUGGACCUUUCCAAUAAUAAUUUUUCUGGUCCAAUCCCAAGCUUUCUCGCAGGGCUCUCACUGCUCAAGUACUUGAAUUUGUCCUUCAAUCAACUAGAAGGACAAGUUCCAGAGGGUGGAGUUUUUCUUAAUGCAAGUUCUAUAUCAAUUUAUGAAAAUACGGAACUCUGUGGAGGUGUUCCCAGUCUGAAGCUUCCUCUUUGCAAAUCAUCAAGCUCUAAGAAGUCUUCUUCAACCAAGGCCAAAGUAAUAUAUGUGGUAGUUGGCAGUUUGUUAUGUUUAGCUUUGUUGCUCCUAUGUCUAUCUAUCUUUUAUCACAAAAAGAAGCAGACGACAACCAAUGCCUCCAGUUCAUUAUCUUUCGAGAACCAAUUCUUGAGGAUUUCUUAUGAAGAACUCCUGAGGGCGACUAACAAAUUCUCUGAGACCAAUUUGAUUGGUAAAGGGAGAUAUGGCACGGUUUAUAAGGGGAUUCUUGAUGGAGGUGCCACGGUGGCAACAAAGGUGCUCAAUCUAAUGCAAAGAGGUGCUUCAAGGAGCUUUAUCUCUGAAUGUCGAACUCUAGGAACCAUUAGACACCGAAACCUCGUGAAGAUACUAAGUGUUUGUUCGAGCGUGGACUUUUGUGGCAAUGAUUUCAAAGCUUUAAGAUAUGAGUUCAUGGCUAAUGAGAGCUUGGAGGAGUGGCUACACCCUAGAACCAUAGGACGAGAUGAUGAGUGUAGCAAAUCGAGAAAUCUAAGACUAGUGCAAAGAUUAAACAUCGCCAUUGACAUAGCUACCGCGAUCAAAUAUCUCCAUGAGGGUUGCUAUCCAGCAAUCGUCCAUGGAGAUCUAAAGCCGAGUAAUGUGCUUCUAGACAACGACAUGAUGGCUCAAGUUGGAGAUUUCGGGCUUGCAAAGAUCAUUUCAACGGUGUCUACCGAAGCCAUAGGAGUUCAAGACCAAGGUAGUUCAACUUCAACCGCAGUCAGAGGAUCCAUUGGCUAUGUGCCUCCUGGUAUGAAACUAUCAUAUUUUCUCGAUUAGUUUUUAUUUGAUUGUGAUAGUAACAAGUGAGUGCCAAAAGUUUGACUAAACAAUUAUUUUUGACAUUAUGUUAUGUUUUGUAUGCUCUGACACCUCUUUCUCACAACUCAAUUCCUCUUUCCACUAUUAAUAGCUUCCACAAAAAAAGAAAAUACUUAUCUUUUUGUACGAAAAGAUUAAUAGUAGCUUGCCCUAAUCAUAUUUUAAAUUAAGAUGAGAACAAACCAUCAUAAUUUUGAUCAAUGAGUGGAAAAUUUUUAGACAACUUGUGAAUCCAUGUGAAUAAAUAGAUUAAGCAUAUUGUAUCAUCUCAUCUUUAUAUUUUCUUUUUAUAAUUCGUAUUUUGUCUCAUAUCACGUUCAUGCCAUUAAAACAGAUUGCGAAUCUCAUUUGGAAUGUUAUGACUUAAGGUCUUAACAAUAAGUAAUUUUUCCUUUAUGGCAGACCCUUUCAUGACCAAUAAUUUAAUAUUAGAAAAAUAUAUUAGAUGACAUGACGUUUAUGCCAGAAACCGUAGGGGCAUACACUAAUUGACAACACGAUGGGCUCUACCCAACUAUCACUUUCCCUAAACUUAUUGGUCAGAGCACAUUAAGACAAAUUUAUGCAUUUACAAGUAUAAAUCCAUCACCGUCGACAAAUCACUCUACGUCUCUUCUUUUCCCCCCUCUGUGUUCAUUUUUUGCCUGUUCGUCUUUGCAUUUUCUUCUCGUCUAUGCAUAAAAGAAAGUGUGGUAUAGGUAUUAAACAUAAUUUGUAUCAUGAAAAUGAUGAGCCUCACUUGGAUCCCAUAUGUAUGUUUCCAGUCAAAAAACCAACUAUUCAAAUUCAAUUAACACAUAGACUUCUGCCAAGGCCUUCACCCAACAUAUUUUCUUCUUUUUCAAUUUUCACCCAUAUCCUACUAAGGGACAAAGCCACUUUUGAUGUUUAGGCAAUUUGUGUAGCAAACAUGUGACAACUUUGGUCACACCUAGUAGUUUUGGAGAAGAAGAGUUUAUAUGUUUUUAACUGAUCUUUUGUGCACUUUAUGAAUUCUAAAAUCAUAUUUCUCUACCGUUGAUGCAUUUCUCAACGGUUAAUGCACUUUAUAAGAGUUCACACAAUAGGCGCUAAACAUCAGCCAUAUACAGUAAACUAAACGAAAAUUAAACAUAGAGAAAUGAAAGCAAAAAACCAGUAGGGGGCUUUGGGACCUCUGCCUUGCUCCAACAGAGGAUCCCUUGGCCUCUGCCAUGCACAGCGGGCCCGAUUGUGAAGUGAGUGAGGGCUUGCAAGCCAUCUCUCUAUGUUGGGUGCGAUAGGCGCGAUCUCUCACAAUUUUCUUUCGCAAGCUCUUGCAAAUGGACAUCAAGCAAAAUCCCAUGUGACUUAGAAGCUUUUUCUAAACAAUUGACUUCAAGAAAAAGUGUAUGUUCAUUCCUAUUAAUGUCUUGAUGAAAUUUUCAGAGUAUGGCAUGGGACACAAGGUUUCCACACUUGGGGAUGCAUACAGUUACGGCAUUCUAUUAUUGGAGAUGUUCACAGGAAAGAGACCCACUGAAGAAGCCUUUGGGCACCAUCUUAACCUCCACAACUUUGUCCGAAUGGCUCUUCCGGAUCGAGCAAUGGACAUUAUAGACUUAAGGCUUUGGAGUGAAGCUGGUGAUCGACAACAAGAGAUGAAAAUCAGAGAUUGCGUUAUCUCUGUAUUCGAAGUUGGAGUCGCAUGCUCAAUGGAAUCACCGCUGGAACGGAUGGACAUGACCGAGGCAGUAAGGAAAUUACACUUGAUCAAGGUGAGUUAUGAAGCCAAAGUGAGGAUGAUAGGUAUGUAGCUAAAUCAAUUUUCGCAUUUCAUCUUGGAACUUUUUCACUAGUAGAGAAACUCAUCGUGCAAAGGUAGUGCUAGCAAAUUUACAUAAAUGUCUCGCUAACUAGUCUACCUACCAUGCCUAUUAUAUGUGUUUUUUAUAAUUGCAUUUUAUAAUCGUGGAAAGUGGAUGUAUGGAGUUAAGUCCACCUAUUUCCACCAAGUAAUCAUGUAAAAUUUGAUGAAUUUGCUUAUUUUCCCGGUUCUCUUCAUUUCCGAUGCCAAUGUGGAUCGAUGCAUUGCUUAAUUAUCAUGGUUGGGCCAUUGCCCUUACCUCUCUCUCUGCGCACGCUUGUGUAUUAGAAUGUGACCUCACCGUGAGGUCACGAGCUCAAGGACAACUCUUAAUGUCGUGCUUAAACGAGAGCCCGCGGUCAGUUGGAGAUCGAGCUUGAUCAAAUCCAAAGGCAAGGAGAGGGAGGCAACCUUAUCACAAGAUCAUGGAGUCAAAGGCUAACUCUCGAUGUUGCUGUUGAGAGUGACCUCACUAUCAAUCGGAAGCCAUGCUUGAUCGAAUUUGGGCGAUGUUGCCGAUGAAAUUAUGUUGUUGUCAUGUUUGCAACACCAACAGCCACCGUGUGAGACCCCCCUACCUCCUCUCCAAACCUCCUUUUCUUUUUUCUUUUUUCUUUGCUAUGGCAUCAAAUUACAGACUUUUUCUUUUUUCUUUUUUUUUGGUCGAUAGAGAUAGAGAGUUAACAAAGACAUAAAUGGGACAUGAUAAAAAAGGAAACAUGGAUACAUAUUUGUUGCACUUGUCGGUGUGCUUACUACAAUGUCUAAUUAUCUUCAUCAAGUCUUCCCACUCAACCAACCCUCUCUCUUUCUUCACCAUUAGCCACCGUCUUUGGCCGUUGCGGCCACCUAUCAUCACGGUCGCCUCCUUCACAUCUCACUACUUUCUCCUUCGUGUCAUCCACGACCAUCUUUACUUUCUCUAUUUCCUGACCCAAAACACUCUCUCCUUCACUGUCUCUUCUCUCACCGCCAAAUUUCUAAGGUCUCCAAACCGCCAUUGAUGACCUGAUUUAGCCAUUAUGGUCUUUAAGAUCUCAUGCAAAUCUCAAUGGACAGGCUAGAUGUAGGAGGCAUCCCCAAACCUUGAGAUGGCCUUUUGAUCUCAUCAUCGUUGACAACUUGAUUGUAGAUGAUGAGAGGAGCUCGACGUGAGGUCUUGAGACCCACCAAAGGCAUAAACUUGACAUUUGGGCAAGCUUGGCUGCCCUCAAAUGAGAAAGGGAGAAAGAGCUAUGCGAAAGCAGGGACAAGAACCGACAUUGAAGUGAUAUGAGAGAGAGGGUGAACGGAGCAUGACACGAUCCCUUGUCAACACCAACAGUAAAUGGUGGAGUGAAGAAGGUCAUGAUUUAUAUUGGCAGUGGAGGCACGUUAGUGACACGAGUUGCGUGUGGUUGUAGGGCUCGGCAGGGGGCGGAGAUAGACUAGAGGGAGAGAAAAGAUUGGCAUUGGGAUUUUGAGGAGUGAUUGGGGAAGGUGUACAAUUAACAAGAGAGACUCAUGUCUUGAUCUGGCAUUGGAGACAACAGAUAAGUAAACCAAUGGUACAACGGAUCCGCAUCCAAUGACAUAGAUGUGGUGCAAAAUACAUAACACCACGGUAUAGUGACGAAAACACUAAGCAAACAAAACUGAUUCACGAUAUGGAUGGAAUAGGCUAUAUUAGGGCAAGUGCCCAUGAAAUAUAUACCAAACUGCAGGUCAACUAUCAAUAGUGUAACAACGCGCAAUAUAAUGCCAUCAAGCAGCUCAAGUUUGGCAUUAGGAUCAAAAUCAGGGGCACGCUGAAAACAUCAUGAAUUGAGAUCAUAACAGGAACAAUCUAAUGCUAAUAUCAAGUCACAAUGUAAGAGACUAUUGACUUUGUGUAUUGCUCAAUUGGACAAUGUAUUACACUAGAGGGAUAUUUGUAUCCAGGAUAAUAUACACAAGGAAGUAAUCUAUUAUGGGUGUUUAACUCCAAACCAUCCCUUCUCGUGGUAUCAUAAAGCGUAAAAGUUGAAAGAACACUUUGUUCUCAUGCAUCCUUUCAUUACAAAAGCAGAUAAUUAGUUGAUGAUCAAGAACACUUAAAUCUACAAAAGCCAUUUCAAACAUUUGCAAAAUAUUGCUAAUUUGCUAGUAAUAAUAUGCUUAAGAUGCUCUUAUGAGCAACAUGUUAUACAUCCAUAUUUUUCUAAACUUAGCUCAUGAAUCAUAUCAAGCUAGUCGUUUUUAUUUUCCCUUUAUUUUUUAUGUCACACCCAUGACGCAUAUAACAAUAGGCCAUAGGUAAGCUUGUCACUCUAAAAGCCUUUCCUAGUAUGGAAGUUCUCCUUCAUAGUUGCCUGGAGGAUCGUAGUUGCACACAACGUACCACCACCCAUUGUUACACUGAACCUUAGCACACCCGACUCGAACUGAGUCACACCAAACCAUUUUAGUGUAGUGCAAGCAAUCGCACCCGCUUGCGCAGGUGUUGGUGUUGUAAUUGUAGUUUUGCUUCUCUGUGACCCACAAACUGACGGCGUAGGUGCCAGUGAACGUGCCAGUGCCCUUGGCAAGGUUCUCGCCAUAAGGUCCAUUGGAGUGCACGAGGCCGCAGUCGCUGACUCGUUGGUUCGCAUAGCUUUGGGCGUAGGCAGCAAGCGUGUUGUCCCAUGUCAUGUUCGCCACGCCAACUUGCUUCCGAGCGGCAUUGUGAGAGUUGAGAUAGUCUUGGGGUGAGUUUUGGGCAUGAGUAGGUUGAAAGAGAGAAAUAGAGACAAGAGAGAUGAUGAUGGUUAGAGAAUUCAUGAUGCUCAAGGAAUUAGCUGAUGUUGGUUCAAGGUGAUAUAUUUGGUGAUCAGUUAUGCUAUUUAUAGAAAAAUAUUUUCUGGGCUUCAACUUACCAUGUGCAAUGAACUUAUUAGGGAACAUCUCCUUUGGACAGCACAACCUUGCGUUCAAAUCCAGUUUGAUCUGAAAUGAUAAACUAGUAACUGGUGCAUAAGGAAGUAGUUUUGCAUGUUCUUCCUUUCCUCAAAUGGAAGUAAAGUAAAAGACUUAAGUGAAGUUUGAAAUUUCAGCAAAUUGGAUACAUUAUAAUAAAAAGGAUGUUGGACUUUAUGUCGAGUAAUGCUAAAGGCAUUGAGAAUAGUGCGUGAGAUUAAAUUAUUAGGGGACAUAAAUGAAGUUUAUCCGGUUGUAACGAGCAAACAAGUCUUAUCCAAGCCUCCAAUAGGGAAUGCAGAUCAUUUCUCCAAAUUUAUUUACGAUACCAACCAUCGCCACUUACCGUCCUCCGAUGCCGCCCACUAAGCCAUUCAAAAGUCACCACCAACUCAUCAUCGCAUCCAUCGUCGUUGUUCUAAGAUCCACCAUCCAUCUUCAACCAGACCAUUUGUCUCUAGCGUCCCCCACCUCAUAACAAUACAUCACUACCCUCCCACAACCAGAACUAACCAUAACCAGAAAACAACACUAGGACACAGAGAAAGGAAUGAGCAGGCCCAAAACACAUGCAAACCGAGGCCGGUGAGCCUCGUUCUGUCGAUUCGACAAGACGGGAAAACGAGCUUGAGCGUAACUUGUGAAAGGAAAGUUGCUAGAUGCGAUUGCUAGGUAGAUCGGAACAAAACGGCUCCAGAAACCGCCUCGAGGGACUUGGCCGGUGAAGUAGGCAACGCCAACCGCGAUUCAAACUAGCCGAGAAUGGAUCCGACUGGAUCCAACUGAGCCUUCGGUUUCCAGCUUUUCGACGAAUCGACUCUGUUAACGGCGGAUUUUGAGGUGGUUUUGAUGAAUUGCCUAGACAAGAAGCCAGAGAGCAAUUCUCUGCUGUCCUUCCCUUUUCCCCUCUGCAUCCCCUUUCUGUCGAUCGAUUAGCAAGAAGUUGAUUUUUCUUGCUGAACGAAGUCGUUUUGUGUCAUGCAAGCAUGUGAAACUCGUUAAACGUCGUCAUUUUGAGCUUUUUAUGCUGAAUCAGGCCGCCAUCAGCAAGCCACACAGUGAAAAAAAUAUCAAAAUUUUGCCAUAUCAAAUUUUUAACAUUCAAAAUCAGAGUUGAGACUUAGUGAUCGUUUUUUGUUUAAGUAACAUUUAAGUGAUUUAAAAAAAAGGACAUUAAAAUGAGUGUUGUACAUAACUUUUGAUAUUUCUAGUAUAUAUCUCCCUCCUCCCACUUCUAGCAACAACUGUCGACACGUUCACGAGCUCUAACCAACCCUCAAGACCUUGAUGCUGUUGGGGUUGCGAGCAUCCAAAUCUGGAGGUGCAUCCUCCUUAUCUAGAGACUCAACCCCUCUCCAGAUCUAGAGGUAGCGAGAUCCGGAGAUCACCCUCAGCAAGCAGGUGGUCGUCGUUGCCCCUUGAUUUAUUGCUUAACAAAUCAAUCUUCCAUAAAAAAGAUAAAAUUUAUAAAUCAUUCUUUAAUGUCUCUGCCAUUUUCCUUAUUUUAAGCUAUCUAACAGGUACAUGUACUUCUCUUUUGUCUCAAUUAAGUUAUCAUCCACUUGUUUUUAAAUUAAUACAAGCAUGAAAACCAUAAAAUUUGCAUUUUUAAUUUUAUGAGCUACGUUUACGGUUCUGCAAUUGGCAUGGAUGAGAAGGGCACGCCCUCACGUGCCCACUUCUCAUUGAACGGUUGGACGUGCAUCUUGUAAUGGUGUAUCGCACCAUAAAUAAGUCUUAUAACAAAGAAAUUAUAAUGAGCUCGAGAUAUGUAAUAAAUUAAAUUUGAAUCGUAAAAUAUGUUUAGAUCAUACGUAAAUCCCACCUAGAUCUUAUCAAACUCAACAGUCGAGAUUUGGGAUGUGAAAUACUAUGUAAAGUAGAGUAAAGGUCCAUUAAGAAAAUGAUUUGAGUAAUUUCUUAUCAGUGUCAUUUUUUAUUUAAUUCUCGAUUUCUCCUUAAUUUAAAUUAAUUUUUUUAUUUGAAAAUCAAUAUAUUGGACACUUUGCAACGACUUUAGAAGAUGAUGUGUGUUACAUUGAAAAUUGUCCAAGAUUAGGAGGCAAUUUGUAAUGACAUGAAAAUCUAAGGGAUCUAUAUUGCCAUUCUCCCAAAUUUGCUGGAAAAUUUUUCCCUUGAAAUGGGCACCACCGAGUCAUGUGAGAGAACAUGACUAAAGUUUCUAAUGAGAAUUUGGCUAGAGUCCAUGCAAGAGAGAACAUUAGAACUAAUGUCAAAAUGCCAAGGUUAAUAUUGUAAAUACCGAGACAAAUAUAAGGAGCAAAUUGCCACGAUCGCAAGAACAUGGGGGCUGUAAUUAUCCCAAAGAAUUCUACUAUCGCUUCUAUAGUAGACUUGAUCCCACUAAAUUCCGGCCCAAACGGGAAGAAUUGGACUCUAGAAGUACUAUUAAUGGAGGCGAGAACUUGAAUCUUUAUUGAAUCCUAUUCUCCAUGGGAAUAAUCCAAAAUGGAAUGUGUUCAAUCGGAACAUGAAAUUGGGUCCAUGAAUCUAAAAAAUAGUGUGAAUUCUUGAUCUCUCUAAAUAUAUCUAUCAACUUGAAAAUUCAAGAAUUUGAAUUGAUGUCCUUUCAUAGAUUUCUCAUAAACUGCAUCAAUUUAUCCUAAAGAUUUCAUUUAAAUUGGAAUUUGGUUAUUCGUCAUGUGUGAGGAUCCUGGACAAGGGCCUUUUGCUGUAAGGCCCGAUCUAGGCCCACCUAGCCUGCAUAGUUUUUUUUUUCUCUUGAUGGGCUGGCUUGGGCCAUAAUAUUGGCCCAAGUGGAAGGCCGGGUCUAGCUCUCGCCCGCUCAUCAUGUUUCUGCCAGUAUAAUUCAGUCCUCGACAAGUUCAAGCAUAGCUCGCUCAAUACAUCAAACCUAAUUAAGAUUAGCAUAUUCCAACCGAAGUUGAUUCGCUCUAAAAAGAGAAAACAUUUGCACUCUUGAAAAUAUAACAAAAGAAUUCUUUAUCAAUCACACACUAGAAAUCGCUGACUCAUAUAGCAUCGAAUUUAGAGGAUCAGAUGGGUGCCGGAAACCCUAGGAUGUGAUAACCGCGCUAGAUACUCCAGUGAACCAAUUUCAUAAAUAUGUUGGUGGCACGAAUUGAAUCAAACGUGGACAGAAAGAAGAAGAUGAGAUGAAAGAAUUGGAGAUGAUGUCUUAUGUAUCUAUGCUAGUUUUAGUAUUUGGGAAGAGAGCACUCCUUGGGCAGGUUGUUUUGGAACCUUGCAUUGUCCUGGCAAUAGUCAUAUAUCAUGUGAUAUCUCCUGACCCAUUUGAACCACCUCCUCUGUGUCGAUGUUAAAGAGCUGAAAUCUUCAUUGUUCCACCAGUUUGUAGGGCUCUCCGCCCUGCAAAACC